UGCCUCUUGAUGUAUGUUUUGGUGAACACUUGCGGGUUCCGCCCAUGAACCUAUGCAUGUUUUCUUGACUCUCCGAUAGAAACUUUGGGGCACUCUUUGAAGUACUUUGUGUUGGUUGGAUGAAUUUGAGAUUGUGUGAUGCAUAUCGUAUAAUCAUGCCCACGGAUACUUGAGGUGACAAUGAAGUAUCUAGGUGACAUUAGGGUUUUGGUUGAUUUGUGUCUUAAGGUGUUAUUCUAGUAUGAACUCUUUAAUAGAUUGAUCCGAAAGAAUAGCUUUGAGGUGGUUUCGUACCCUACCAUAAUCUCUACGUUUGUUCUCCGCUAUUAGUGGCUUUGGAGUGACUCUUUGUUGCAUGUUGAAGGAUUGUUAUAUGAUCUAUCUAUGUUAUUAUUGUUGAGAGAACUUGCACUAGUGAAAGUAUGAACCCCAGGCCUUGUUUCCUAUCAUUGCAAUAUCGUUUACGCUCACUUUUAUCAUUAGUUACCUUGCCAUUUUUAUUAUUUCAGAUUACAAAAACCUAUAUCUACUAUGUAUUUUGCACUUGUAUCACCAUCUCUUCGCCGAACUAGUGCACCUAUACAAUUUGCCAUUGUAUUGGGUGUGUUGGGGGACACAAGAGACUCUUUGUUAUUUGGUUGCAGGGUUGUUUGAGAGAGACCAUCUUCAUCCUAUGCCUCCUACGGAUUGAUAAACCUUAGGUAAUCCACUUGAGGGAAAUUUGCUACCGUCCUACAAACCUGUGCACUUGCAGGCCCAACAACGUCUACAAGAAGAAGGUUGUGUAGUAGACAUCAAGUAUUAUCUUGGAGUACACUUUUGGUACUAAUAUUAUGUUCUAUGCUCAAUGAAGACCUUGUCCAUCCUAUCAAUGGUGAUGGAUUCUGUCAAGACCUUACAUAUCAGUAUGUGGUGUUUUGAUCUGAACACGAUUAUUGGCUUGCUGCAAUGCUUUCCAUGUGUGGAGAAUUUGUAUAUAAAGGUGAUGAUUUCACGCACAUUUAAAGCCCAUAUAUAAUGUACUAUAAUUAAUUGUUCAGCUACCACUCUUUCAACAUAAUCUUUUUUACACAUUAACUAUUUUCAGUCUUCAUCUCUAUUUAGGCACUAUCACAUGGAGAAAAAAGUAUAACCAAUCGAUGGUUCAAGAAGCAUCGGGAUUUUCUUAGAUCUCAUGACAUUCGUUUAAAGAAAGUAACACCGGAAGGAUAUGCAUCCAACAAUGCAAACACUAGCUUUGUCACAUUAUUCAUGUUGAAUGCAAGGGCACUAUUGUUCAUGAGGAUUAAGUUUUUCAACAAGAAAUUUCUUACGGCUGCAAGUGUUGAACAACAUAAAAAGAAGUUUUAGGUGGACCUAAGGGAUUCUGAUCGUGCUCGGCUUCUGUUUACAAUAGCUUGUCAUCAUGUACCAUUAGAAUUUCUGGCCGAGGAUCUUGAUUUUAUGGAUCAGACCGAUCCAUUUGAUUAUGACUGCCGAAAACUUUGGUUGAGUUAGAUGUCAUUGUCCUGUUCAAUCUGGAUUUUGUCUAAACCUGAUGAGCAAUUAAUCCUCAUGCUUUUGUACAGUUUAUGAGCUGGAGUUAUAUAUUGUUUCCCUUUCAAACUUGGUUUUGAUCCAUAUUUUCUUUCAUACUGGGCCAAUGGCUUGCCUUUUCUUUAAUUAAGACAUAAAUUAUAAGCAUUCACAACAUAGGGAAAGAACAUCACUCUCACGGGAUCCUCGAGAUCUUUGUUCAUUAUAGAACCCGCAAGUUCUUAGUGCCCACCAGCACCCACCAACUUAUUUUCAGCUAGCACACCAAGUGGGUUGUAAUUCUUAAUAAGAAAAGUUUCAUGGUAGUGACAGAUUUGGAUUUCUCAUUUGGGACCCACGAGGAAAAAGCCUAUCCAGGGUGGUGUCGACUUGACAGUAAACAUUGAGAAACCUGGUUUUAAAUUUACUGUAAAUCCAAAACUCGCUUCAAAAUCAUGAAAGUUUCCAUGGUGUUAUGACAUAGCACGAACAUGUUGUGGUAAAAAUUAGUUCAAUUUGGGACAAGUUUUGGUACAAACUUCUUACAAACCGAAGCUUCCCUAAAAAAGGCUCAUGGUUCCGGGAGGGACCUUGUCACCUAUGUGUAUGAAACGACAUACACUAUCUCUUCCCUCCUUGAUUUAUUUUACAGAGGCAACAUGCAACUAUAUACAGUAGUGUCAUCCUAACAAUAUGAAAUUAUUCACUGCUCGUUUUGCCUUUCUAUACAUUAUUUGAGUUUCCUAGGCAUUUUGGAACGUACUUUCGUGUGUGAAGGUCAUGUGUGUACUAGCCAGAUAUGUAAUUCGAUGUUCAAUCUUUUUAUGGAAUAAAGUCCUUAUAAGUUGUAAGUACAUAUGAUGUUGUUCUAUGUGCAAUGACAUCGCACACGGACCAUACUUGGGAACCCGUCGGUGAUGAUUUCAUCAAUCGCUGACAAUUGUAUACCACCAAGCGUUUGUCCACAACACACACGGCUUAUUAGCAGCAAUCGUCUGCGUUAUUAUUGGUCUUCACACACAUUUCUGAUUACAUGCUUGUUUGCCGCAUAUCACACACAUCUUGUUAUAUUGAACUGUUUCUAUUCUCUUGGCUCUAAGCAAACAGUUCAUCCGAGUGAACCGCAUGCCGUAUAUCGCACACACCUUGAUCUGGCUGACCAUUUCUUUUGUGUUGCCUAAUUACAAACAGUUCAUCCCUAGUGAACCAUAUGCUGUAUAUCGCACACACCUUCAUCUGGCUGCCCGUUUCUUUUGUUCCUCAUCAUCGCAAAUAGUUAAUUGAACUGAGUCGUAUGCCCUGCAUCGCACACGCAACUAAAAUCUGAACUGUGUUUGAUGCAUCAGUCAUUGCAAAUGUUUUGCACCUUUUUGACGGGUUUUUACACUACCGUUUGCGAUUAUUGCGUCGCACACAACAAUUUCGUCGAAGGGUCUCUGAUCGUAGUGUCGCGUUAGCAGCAUCCUGCAGUAGUGUGACAUAUCAAGUUCACAUGAUUACUUGCAACAUGAUUUCUCCCGUGACCUCAAGAACAAAAGUAACUAAUCACAAAUGAUAAUCAUGAUCAAGUUCAGAGGGGUAUUAAAUAGCAUAUUGGAUCUGAACAUAUAAUCUUCCACCAAAUAAACCAUAUAGUUUGUUUCUCACAAUCUAUUUUAGCAUUAACGGUGUUCAAGAAAGGUCUAUCAAAGAUAAUGGGACAAAAGUCGUCUUGUGGGGAACCAAGAACAAGAAAAUUAGUAGGUUAUUUUAUUUUCCCACACAAGACUUCAACAUCUCUAACAAUCCCAAUUGGUGAAAUAGUGUCUCUAUUAGCAAGUUUAAUAAUAACAUUUAUGUCUUCUAUCUCUCUGGGUGCUAUAUCAUUCAGAAUUUCUUGAUAUAACGUAAAGGGAAUAGCACUCACACUAGCUCCUAUGUCACAUAAACCAUGAUAACAAUGAUCUCCUAUUUUAAAUGAGACAACGGGCAUGCAAACAACAAAUCUAUGUUUAUCCUUUUUAUCGGGUUUGGUAAUUCUAGCAGCUUCUUCACAGAAGUAAAUAACAUGUCCAUCUACAUUUUCUUCCAGAAGAUCCUUAACCAUAGCAACACUAGGUUCUACUUUAGUUUGUUCAUCAGGUUUAGGUGUUCUAAUAUAAUUUUUGUUGACCACAGUUGAAACAUUAGCAUGUUCCUUUAUCCAAACAAGGAAAGGUGGUUUCUCAAUAUAAGCAGUUGGAACAACUGGAUCAACAUUAUAAAGUAUAGUUUCUUCUUUAGCUAGUACUAGUUCUUUAAUUUCUUCUUUAAUAUGUGGGUGAUAUUUAAACCACUUCUAUUUAGUGAGAUCAACAUGAGUAGCAAAUGAUUCCGAAAGGGAGGCUACUAUCUCAGAGUCAAGUCCAUAUUUAGUGCUAAUUCUUUGAAAAGCAUCGGUAUUCAUAACAGAUUUAACACAAUCAUACUUAAGCUUAAUGCCUGACUCUUUACCUUCGUCGAGUUCCCAAUCUUCAGAGUUGCGUUUAAUUCUUUUCAAAAGAUCCCACCAGAAUUCAACAGUCUUCUUUAUAAAAGAACAAGCACAAGAAGUAUCAAGCAUGGACCGAUCAUUAUGAGAAAGCCGGGCAUAAAAAUUCUAGAUAAUAAUUUCUCUUGAGAGAUCAUGAUUGGGGCAUGAAUAUAACAUUGACUUAAGCCUCCCCCAAGCUAGAGUGAUACCUUCUCCUUCACGAGGCCAAAAAUUAUAUAUGUAAUUCCAAUCACGAUGAACUAGAUGCAUAGGAUAAUUUUUUUGGUGGAACUCCAAUUCCAAGAUCCAAUAUCAUCGCAUAGCCUAUACCAUGCCAAUUCUUUUCACUUCAAAGAUAAAGGGAAUAUUUUCUUCUUAACUUCAUCUCUGGGUAAACCUGCAAGCUUAAACAAUCCACCAAUUUGUUUCACAUAUAUCAAGUGCAUAUCAGGAUGUUCGGCUCCGUCUCCUACAUAAGGAUUAGCUAGCAGUUGUUCUAUCAUACCCGAAGGAAUUUCAUAUUCAAUAUUUUCAGUAGGUGUAGUAGGUUGAGGGGCAGCUAAUUGUGGUUCCGGUCGAGGUGAAGAUACCCCGAACAAACCCCUCAAAGGAUUGUUUUCCAUAGUAACAAGUGACAGUAAAUUUCAGCACACUAUAUAAAUGUUUCCUUACCAAAUUCCACUUACCAAAGGCGCUUCACUCCCCGACAACGGUGCCAGAAAAUAGCCUUGAUGACCGACAAGUAUAUGUAAUCAUCUGUAGUUCUUUUCAAUAAGUAAGAGUGUCAAACCCAACGAGGAGCAGACGGAAAUGACAAGUAGUUUUCAGCAAGGUAAUGUCUGCAAGUGCUGAAAUUGUAAGUAACAGAGUAGUUUGAUAGCAACAUAAUUUGUAACGAGCAAGUAACAAUACUAGUAACAAAAGUGUAGCAAGAUAGACCAAUCCUUCUGAGGCAAAGGACAGGCCAAACGGUCUCUUAUAGUAAGCAAAGUGUUCUUCGGGUUACACGGGAAUUUCAUCUAGUCACUUUCAUCAUGUUGGUUCGAUCCAUGUUCACUACUUUGAUAAUUUGAUAUGUGGGUGAACCUGUGCUUAGGUGUUGUUCUUACUUGAACAAACCUCCUACUUAUGAUUAACCUUCUCGCAAGCAUCUGCAACUACAAGAAAAGUACUAAGAAUAAAUUGUAACCAUAGCAUUAAACUUUUGGAUCCAAUCGGUCCCUUACGGAAUAGCACAUAAACUAGGGUUUAAGCUUCGGUCACUCUCGCAACCCAUCAUCUAAAAAUACUCCACAAUGCAUUCUCUUAGGCCCAAAAUAUGGUCAAGUGUCAUUUAGUCGACGUUCACAUGACACCACUAAGGGAAUCACAACAUACAUACUAUCAAAAUAUCAAACACAUAUCAAGUUCACAUGAUUACUGUAACAUCCCAAUUUUCAAUUUGGAUGUUAUACAUAGGUCAUCAUAUGCAUAUCAUAUUUUAUUUGCAUUUUUGGUUGGGAUCCUAGAAAUCUUAAGCAACUCAAGGACCUAAGGAGAGAGUUAGAGAUUUCAUAAAUUUUCAUAUUUGAAUUUUUUUCAAAUUUGAAAAGAGGAUCAUUUUGGUUUUAAUAAUUUUCUCUCUGAAUAUCCUAAUAUCAAAAAUAAAAGAGAGAAGAUAAUUUGACUUCUUCAAAAAUAAAGGAAUAUUGGAGGAAAAAUUUUAAAAUCAAAUAAAUAUUUUAUUUGGAUUUUAUUGCUAUUUAUUUGAAUUAGAAAAAAAUGCAUUUUUUUUGAAAAUUGCAUCUUAGGCCAGAAAAAUGUUCACUUUAUUCUAAAUAUUUUAUUUAGACAGUGAAAAUUGUUUUUAGCAUUUUUAGAAUUUUUUUAUAUUUGUUUAGGAUUUUUAUUCGGUGGAAUUUAUUUAAAAAAAUCCCGUGCGAUUGGGCUGAAGGCCCAGCCGAGCAGGCCGCGGCCCAGCCCUCCCUCGCCGCCUUCCUCCUGUCACCGCCGUGCCUGGCACGGAUGCCGAGGGGGAGUCCGAGUCGGACUCCACCCCGGGCCGGCCCUCGCGCAAGCCACGCCGCCCCCGAGGCCUUUAAAUAGGNNNNNNNNNNNNNNNNNNNNNNNNNNNNNNNNNNNNNNNNNNNNNNNNNNNNNNNNNNNNNNNNNNNNNNNNNNNNNNNNNNNNNNNNNNNNNNNNNNNNNNNNNNNNNNNNNNNNNNNNNNNNNNNNNNNNNNNNNNNNNNNNNNNNNNNNNNNNNNNNNNNNNNNNNNNNNNNNNNNNNNNNNNNNNNNNNNNNNNNNNNNNNNNNNNNNNNNNNNNNNNNNNNNNNNNNNNNNNNNNNNNNNNNNNNNNNNNNNNNNNACGCCGCCCCGCUCGUCGAACCCCGCCGCCCCGCCUCGCCGGAGUCGCCGACUUGCCGGAAUCCCGCCUCGCUGCCGACCCCGGUUUUCAUCGUAAACCGGUAAAAACUGCCGGUUCAUUCGGUUUUUUUCGGUUUUCGAACUAGAUCGGUUUUAUUUUAGGGUUAGGGUUUUCUCGGUUUUUCUCGAUCAGAUCUAUUUAGCGAACGUUCACCUGAACGCCUCUAUUUGCAAAUGAGUUCGUUCGUUUGUCUCUUAUAACGAACGUUCGUUCGUUAGUCUUUCUCUUUUUAUUUUAUUAUCGGCCAGGAACCUAUCCGCGAUUAUUUUAUCACAGAUUAGCCCCUUUUCUUCAAACGCUCGCAACUUCUUAACCGUUUGUCCAAAUCCAGUGAAACCAACGCCAAAAUCUUAGUCUCGAACCUCUCUUUCUAGUUAAUCAACUUUAACAUGUUUUUGACAAUUUAAAAUUUUGGUUUCAAGCCGAUUUGUUUACGAACUUCUUUUGAUCGUAGUUUGAGUUUCAUAGCUCCGAUUUGAUAGAUUCUUUUUGCAAAUCGAAGCCCUUCAGUUGAACUUUCAGUUUGGAUCUUUUUAUUUGAGUUUUACCCUUGCAUCUAUGCUUGAUUGCUUAUGUAUGCUAUUGUUUGUUUGCGAUAGAAUUUCUGGAGUGUGAAGUUUGCUACUACGAGUCUCUAGGGUUUACAGAUCAUCAGCAAGGCAAGUAACAUUUUGAUCAUAUCCCUUAUUACCCAGUUUUUAUGCAUUAGUUUGAACCCUCAAACAUUGCAUGAGUAGGAACUGUUUAACAUGUGGGUACUGGGAAGUAGAUGAUGAGCUAGAACCUAUUGUCUUUUAUUUCAAACCGUGGGAGUUACUACUACAUUAUGAUUACACUACUAUGCUAUGCUCGUAGACGUGGUUUGGUUGAGUGAUUCAUGACAGAUGUGAGAGAUUAUUUAUGAACUAAGGGUUUAUUUAAGGUGGCUACUUUAAUGCACAUCUGGGUGAAUUGUUUGUGAGCACCUGGGGAAUCCAGUGUUGUCCAAGGAGAUCUCGGGGAAUCCGUGUGAUCAUCCUAUGGUUCGCCACCUAGGCUCAAAGGGAUCAUAAGAUUAUUCAUGCUAGAAACUUCCGUGUGCAGCCACAAGCCAUUAUGGGCUCUGGCAUAGUUGAGUAUGUUGUGUGACCUCUUUCAGUGGUAAACUAGUAGAUGUAGGGGAUGUAGGUGGUACGGUUUACCCUCGAAGGGGUUAAUGCUUCUGAAAGACUGUGUCUCGGUCAUCCAUUUCUCAAACACCAUGCAGUGCGAGAAAUUCAACGAACGAGAUCGAGUCUUGUGGGGAAAAGUGCGCAAACCUCUGCAGAGUGUACAGACUAAUCAUGAUUAGCCGUGUCCCCGGUUAUGGACAUCUUGAGUAUCUGGUUCUUGAAUUAUUGAUUUGAUCACAUCACUCUUAAUUAAUUUGUUGGGUUAUUGAUUAUUAAUUUUGGGAUUGAGAUGGGGUUUCCAUUCUCAAUGUUUUGCAACCAACUUUGUAGGUAAAUAAAAUAUAUUCCUUUGAAGUAGGGAAAAAUUGGCUUUACGCAAAAACAGUAACCAUAGAGCCUCCACCAGCCAUAUAUGCACAUAGAUAUAGCUGUUAUCUUGUUCAUUGCUCUACCGUGUUAUUUUACCAGCAUAUUCCAUGUGCUAACCCGUUUCGGGCUGCAACGUAUUAUGUUGCAGACUUUUCAGAUGAAGAGUAAGGUGCGCUAGGUUGUUGUCGUGCACUCAGCUAUGACUUUGGAGUUGAUGGACUCAUUUACCUUUGAUGCUUCCGUAGUUAUCUUAUUUAGAUGGCCUUAAGCCAUAUUAUUGUAAUAAGUUCUCUUUUGAGACAUUCGAUGUAAUAAGUGUGUGAUUGCACUCUGUUAUAAAUCCUUCAAGUAUUAUGUGUGUCAGCAUUACCGAUCCAGGGAUGACACUUAUGCACAAAGAUUUGAACGUUUGAGGUCGGGUCGCUACAAUUAGUUGCAACAUGGUUUCUCUCGUCACCUCAAGAACAAAAGUAACUACUCACAAAUAAUAAUCAUGCUCAAGAUCAUAGGGGUAUUAAAUAGCAUAUUGCAUAUGAACAUAUAAUUUCCACCAAAUAAACCAUAUAGUAAUCAACUACAAGAUAUAAUCAACACUACUAGUCACCCACAAGCACCAAUCUAUAGUUCCGCUACAAAGAUUGAACACAAGAGAUGAAUGAGAUGAGAUGGGUGUUGUUGAAGAUUUUGAUCCAGAUUGCCCUCCCCAAGAUGGGAGAGUUGUUGGUGAUGAUGAUGACGAUGAUUUCCCCCUCCAGGAGGGAAGAUCCCCCAGUGGAAUCGCUCCGCCAGAGGGCAAAAGUGCUCCUGCCCAAGUUCCGCCUCGAGAUGGCGGCGCUCCGUCCCGAAAGUCCUCUCUUUACUUUUUCUAGGUCAAAAUGACUUAUAUACCAGAAGAUGGCACCAAAGGUGGUCCUGGGUGAGCACAACCCACCAGGGCGCGCCUAGGCUCCCUAGCGCGCCCAGGUGGGUUGUGCCCACCUGGUGGGCCCCCUCUGGUACUUAUUGGCUCCAAUAUUCAUCAUAUAUUCCGUAAAAACUCUCUGUGAAGUUUCAUCUUGUUUGGAGUUGUGCAGAAUAGGUAGCCUGACGUAGCUUUUCCAGGUCCAGAUUUCCAGCUGCCGGAAUUCUCCCUCUUUGUGUAUACCUUGCAUACUAUGAGAGAAAAGGCAUUAGAAUUACUCCAAAAAGCAUUAUUAUGCAUAAAAACAUCAUAAAUAACAGUAAGAAAACAUGAUGCAAAAUUGACGUAUCAACUCCCCCCAGCUUAGACCUCGCUUGUCCUCAAGCAAAACCCAAAAUCAAAAAACAUGUCCACAUGCUUACAGAGAGAGGUGUCGAUAAAAACAAAAUACGGACAUAGAAGCAUCAUGUAGAUUAUUAUAACAGCAACAAAUUUAAACAUAAAACUUUUAUCAUGGACUUCUCAUGAAUAAGUAACAAUUCAUCACACUACCAAAGUAUAAAGGAUAAACUCUAUUAGAAACCAACAAACUAUGUUCUCAGUCAACUUUACAACUACAAUUCAUCAUCCUUUCAGGAAGGGUCGCGUAUCAGAGCCUUUAGGCAAGUGCACAUACUCAACCAUCAUAUAGUCUUCUAUAAUUGCUAACACUCACUGUAUACACAUGAGUAAAACAUUUCAACCGGACACAUAGAAAGGUAGGGGCUUAUAGUUUCACCUCCCAACGUAUUCACCUCAAGGGUGAUGUCAACAAUAAUAACUCAUGCUACCCAUAUUCAACUGGACAUAUGUACCUAGAUCUUUCCUCACCACAUGAUGCUUGACAAAGGAUAAAAUAAAAGGGAAUAGAGAGAAAAACUUUGACUCUUUGCAUAAAAGUUUGUCCAGUAGAUACGUCAACAUAUUUUGAAGCAACAACAAGCCUUCAAGCAACUCAGCCAGUAAUAGAAGCUAUAUCUCUGCCUAAAUCUUAAUUUUCCCUUCUCUGACCUGAUUAGUGGAAGGCUUUUUUAUCAAAGAUUACUGGAAAACUUGUGCAGUGAAUGUGCUUCGUCUCAUGGAGAUUUAGAUUUCUUCCUUGUAGAAAAAAUCAUCUUCCCAUGUGCUAUAUUUAGUUAGCGAGUCAAGUUAGAUGUAGGCAUCAGUUUCCUCUGCUGCAAGUAAGUACAUACUGAUGUACUAGUGUCUGAUCAUUUUCUGAUAUAGCCGUGUCUAAUCAUCUUUGAUUGAUGUAUAUAUAUUCUACCUACACUAGUAGAAAAACUACUUUACGUGAGCAACAUUAGUCCCGGUUUGUAAACGGACUGGCACUAAUGUGACCAUUAGUGUCGGUUCCAAUGGCUAGGGGGCGGGAAUCAUUAGUCCCUAUUCGUGUUGAACCUCUAGUAUCGGUUUGUGACACGAACCGGGACUAAAGGUGUGGUGACAGGCAUGUGUCAGGCUGGGGGCCCACUAGCAUAUUUAGUCCUGGUUCGUGUCACUAACUGGGACUAGAGAUGCACCUUUAGUCCCGGUUUGUAUAACCAACCGGGACUAAAGAUGCUCCUAUAUAAACCCUUCGUCGAGCCCGAGCUCUCUGUUCUUCCCCUUUCCUCUCCUCUCUGUUCUUCCCCUCUUGCUCGAGCUCAUCCUCCAUUUUUGCAAAAAUUUGUCAAGAUUUGAAGGCACCCCAUCCAUCCAAGUGUUCACAAAGGUUAGCAACUUUGUCCUUUCAUCUCUCAUUGCUAGAUUAGCUCUUGCAAUGCUCUAUAAGUAUAGUGAUUUGUGGGUUUAAGUUUGGGAGUAUUUAUAUGUGGUAGUUUAUUUGAUUUAUAUGCAAUUUGAGCUCAAAUUAACUUCUUAGUUUGCAUGUAUAGGUGUGAUUUACUUAGUGCCUUCCCGUCCACGCCCUGACCACCGUCGAUAACUCGCACCAUCCCGUCGCCGGCACCACCUUGGUGAGCCUCUUGUUCUUAUCCUUUUUUAUAAAAAAAUCAUGUUUGUGGGAUUUAGAUAGUUACUUGUAUAAUUUCCUUACCUGUAUGUUGUUUGUUAUACAUAGUGGCAUGGUUUUGAUAUCCGUCCCCAUCGGCCCUCGUCCGGUUUAUGAUUCGGAUGUGGUGUAUUCUCUUUUAUAAGUAUUUGUUGCAUUCAUGUUUAUGACAAAUUAUGCCCAUCAGAUUGACAUAGAUAUUUUUAUCUAGGAGGUAUAUGAACCGGAAAUUCCAACUGACCCUCUUGUCGAGAGGUUAAAUUUAGUUGAAAAAGAAAACAAUUACUUUAAGAAAAAAUUGAAAAGAAUUGAUGAGGAGAAGUUGGAAUUGGAGUUGCAUGUUGCCAAUGUCGUCGAUGAUCACAAGAUCAAGAUGGAUGCAAUGCGCUUGAAGAUUAGAAAGAUUAGAAAAUAUUCCAUUGAUAGUGAGGCUUGGUAUCAUUAUGUUGUUGGAUGAAUUGUUACCUUAGUUGCGAUCUUGAUCGCAUUUUUUGCUGCAUUUAAAAGAUUUAGCUAGAGAGUUUGUAUGUUGUUUUAUCAGAAUAAGUGUGUAUGAACUUGUAUCAAUUUUGUCUUUUCGGUGUUGUGUAAUGAAGAUGAGCCGGCAAUGGAUGUACGAUGACCGAUGCUCUCCCUAGUUCAUUAAAGGCGUGCAUACUUUUCUGAUCGCGUCUGAGGCAAACAAGCGAGUGGAUGGUUUUGUGUGUUGUCCAUGUGCUGACUGUAAGAAUGAUCGAAAUUACUCUAACUCAAGAACCAUUCACAUCCACAUGUUUGAGUCCGAUUUCAUGUUCGGCUAUAACUGUUGGACCAAGCACGGAGAAAGAGGGGUCCUAAUAGAAGAGAAUGAAGAAGAAGAGGAUGACGAUAGCUAUCAUGGACAUGGGUUCCCUGAAUACGAUGGUACAACAAUGGGGGAGAAGCUGAGCCAGCAAUGCAGUAAGAAGCUGAAGAAGAGGCAUCAUAUGAGCCAACUAAUGAUCUUGGUCGGGCCAUUGCUGAUGCAAAGAGAAACUAUGCAAGUGAAAAGGAGAGGCUGAAGUUGCAGCGCAUGUUAGAGGAGCACAAGAAAUUGUUGUACCCGAAUUGCGAAGCUGACAAGAAAAAGUUGGGUGCCACACUGGAAUUGCUGCAAUGGAAGGCAGAGAAUGGUGUAUCUCACAAGGGAUUUGAAAAGUUGUUGAUAAUGUUAAAGAAGAUGCUUCCAAAGGACAACGAAUUGCCCGACGGUAUGUACGAAGCAAAGAAGGUUGUCUGCCCUCUAGGAUUAGAGGUGUAGAAGAUACACGCAUGCCCUAAUGACUGCAUCCUCGACCGCUGUGAGUACGAGGAUUUGAAUGAAUGCCCGGUAUGCGGUGCAAUGCGCUAUAAGAUCAGCCGCGAUGACCCUGGUGAUGUUGAGGGAGAGCGUCCCAGGAAGAAGAUUACUGCCAAGGUGAUGUGGUAUGCUCCUAUAAUACCACGGUUGAAACGUUUGUUCCAAAACAAAGAGCAUGCCGAGUUAGUGCGAUGGCACAGAGAAGACCGUAAGAAAGACAGGAAGUUGAGAGUACCUGCUAAAGGGUCGCGGUGGAGAAAAAUCGAGAGAAAGUGGCGGGACUUUGCAGACGACACAAGGAAUGUAUUGUUUGGUCUAAGCGCAGAUGGCAUUAACCCUUUUGGGGAGCAGAGCAGCAACCAUAGCACCUGGCAUGUGACUCUAUGUAUGUAUAACCUUCAUCCUUGGUUGUGCAUGAAGCGGAAGUUCAUUAUGAUGUUGGUGCUCAUCCAAGGCCCUAAACAACCCGGCAACGACAUUGAUGUGUACCUAAGGCUAUUAGUUGAAGAACUCUUACAGCUGUGGAAUGAAAAAGGUGUACGCGUGUGGGAUGAGCACAGACAGGAGGAAUUUGACCUACAUGCGUUGCUGUUUUGUGACCAUCAAUGAUUGGCCUGCUCUUAGUAACCUUUCAGGACAGACAAACAAGGGAUGCCGCACAUGCACGCACUAUUUAGAUGAUACCGACAAUAUAUAUUUUGACAAAUGUAAGAAGAAUGUGUGCCUGAGCCACCAACCGCGACUAAAGGCAUGUGCUUCCCGCCGCUUCGGCUAGCCAAAAGUGACCUUUAGUCCCGGUUGGUGGCUCCAACCGGGAUCAAAGGGGGGCGCAUAUAUAUAGAGCACUUGAAAAUUUUCACAUCUCUCUCUACUUCUUCUCGAUGCCGCGCGACCACUACGACACAGAGGACGCCGCCAGGCUGCCGCCGUCACCUGCCCCGACACCGUCUCACCUCCCCCGACGCCGNNNNNNNNNNNNNNNNNNNNNNNNNNNNNNNNNNNNNNNNNNNNNNNNNNNNNNNNNNNNNNNNNNNNNNNNNNNNNNNNNNNNNNNNNNNNNNNNNNNNNNNNNNNNNNNNNNNNNNNNNNNNNNNNNNNNNNNNNNNNNNNNNNNNNNNNNNNNNNNNNNNNNNNNNNNNNNNNNNNNNNNNNNNNNNNNNNNNNNNNNNNNNNNNNNNNNNNNNNNNNNNNNNNNNNNNNNNNNNNNNNNNNNNNNNNNNNNNNNNNNNNNNNNNNNNNNNNNNNNNNNNNNNNNNNNNNNNNNNNNNNNNNNNNNNNNNNNNNNNNNNNNNNNNNNNNNNNNNNNNNNNNNNNNNNNNNNNNNNNNNNNNNNNNNNNNNNNNNNNNNNNNNNNNNNNNNNNNNNNNNNNNNNNNNNNNNNNNNNNNNNNNNNNNNNNNNNNNNNNNNNNNNNNNNNNNNNNNNNNNNNNNNNNNNNNNNNNNNNNNNNNNNNNNNNNNNNNNNNNNNNNNNNNNNNNNNNNNNNNNNNNNNNNNNNNNNNNNNNNNNNNNNNNNNNNNNNNNNNNNNNNNNNNNNNNNNNNNNNNNNNNNNNNNNNNNNNNNNNNNNNNNNNNNNNNNNNNNNNNNNNNNNNNNNNNNNNNNNNNNNNNNNNNNNNCCUUCCCCGCUUCACCCCCAAAUCUCCGCCAGCGCCCUGCGCCACCACCAACCCGCCUCCCGGCGCCACCGCGCUGCCCUACACCGCCCCUACGUCCCCGCACACCCUCCUGCCACCUCCCAGCCCGUGCUAAUGCGGGCCCCCUAAUCCUAGCACCCGACCACCACCGGAUCGAGACUGCCACGGUCCGCCGUGAUGCCUCCGGUGCCUCCCUACGACGGAUACGGCUAGAUCCAGCCCCGCCGCUCCUAGCCACCUUCCUCUCGGCCCUGGCCGUGCCGCAACUGGCACCGCAGUGGUACCCCGCCCCGCCCUCCCGCUGCCUCCCGCCAGGAUCCGUCCGCCGCAGCCAACCUCCUCCAUCGCGCGCCUACAACAAUCCACGACGGGGAGGUGCCCCUACUGCCUCGAUCUGAUCCCGACGAGGAGCUCCUCCCUCCUGCUCCUCUCCGGUGGGGCGUCGGGAUGGGUCCCCAUCAUGGCCUCUCAGUGGUGAAUCUUGGUCUCCCUACUCCCCCACCACUCUCCUCCGUCGGCAGAGCCCCUGGGGACGCCAUACGGUGGCUUUGCUAUUGCGACGAUGGAUCCCAGGCAGCCCAAAGGCGGCUACCCUGCGUUGCUUGUCUCCAUGAACUGCAGUCCACAUCGCCCCCCCAUCGCCACACGCUGACCCCAGGUAGUCGCUCCGGCAGCUCCUUCCCCUGUCCAGCGAAUUUUCAGGCGGCGACGGAGGCACGGUCCGGCACGCAUGAAAAAAAGCGACGAUGGGGGGCCAUGGCCUCCAUCCCCAAUGAUGCCUGGCCGCCUACAAACACCCCGGGCUGGAUCCGAGGCUCUCCUGCUUCUCCUAGCUCUCCUGCUUCUCCUAGCGCUCCUGGCGCCACUAGCUUCCCCGUCCGGCAACUCUCUCUCUAUCUCUGCUAACCAGCUCCCCUGAGCGGCGUGUACGGCUCACCGGGUUGCAGCUGUGUGCGGUUCGGCCGACACUGCAGUGCGGUUCACCUGUCGUGGUUGAGCAGCCCGCUGUCGAGCGGCAACCACAAAACAACGCCGACGUGCGGUUUGGUACCAGAUGCGAUACGGCUGGGCUUCAGUCAUUGCGUAGAUUCCGCACCGUGCGCGAGAGUUCCUCUGGGAAUUAACUUGCAGUGCACAUGGCUUCAUGGCGUUGGUGUUGUGUGUAGUUUGACGGAUGGCUUCAUUUUUUUAAUAUAUUUUCCUUUGUCGUCUACAUGUAUUUUCCUGUAAACGUGUGGAGUCCUAGGUCAACGGUGGACAACGCGGUUCCCCAUUGCCAAUGAUCCAGCUCGCUGUCGCCGUGGUGCACUCUGGUGUUCAUUUCUCCUCUCCUACAAAACUAUGAAAACAGUACUGCACGAAGAACGAUGACCACACUGCAUUAAAACUCAACCGCAAGAAAACGACAAUCAGAGAUGCAGUUCUUUUACUUUGUGUUGUGGUUCACUUGCAUGUUCAGUGAACAAUUAAAGAGACUAGAUGACAUUAUACGUGUAUUUUGAAGGGUUGUUGUGCAAAUUGAAGAGAACAAGUGCAGUGCAGUGCGAUUUCUGUAGCAGCUCAUUACCCUUCAAGUGCAAUUUGUUUGUGUGUCUUAAAAAUCAGUGACUAUCAUCAACACUUGCAGUGCGUUGGGUCCUCGAUGUGGUUCAUUUUUGAGAAUGAUGCUGUUCACUUGUGCCCAUCUUGAAAAGUGCGAAAAAUUUAGCAAAACAACAAGAUAGUAAUGCAGUUCAUUUCGAUAUAUGUCGCGUUUCACUUGUCCUCGUCUCUGAAGUCCACUCUAGUACAUUAAAAAUGUUGAAAAAAAGACAAUAAAAACUCACAAAACCUCAUCUGAGAAAGUUUUCGUCUGACAAAAAAAAUUAUGAAGUUCAGUUGACCAUCUGAUACAGUGCAAUUUUUUGUCCGAUGCAGUGCGGUUUUCAGUCGGAUGAAGUACGCACGUCGAUUUGGGUGUCGCGAAAAACAGAGUGCCCGCAUUUUGGUAAUUUGAAAACUGCUCUUAAACCGUAAUGAAUUAGAGAGAGUGUUCUACAUGAAAAGGUUGCGUCUCGUCGAUAUCUUUCCAACGGCGUACGAUUUGAAUUAUUCCGACCAGCCGUUCGUAAAAAUUUCGCAAAAAAACAGCCGCUGCCUCUCGAAGUCAGCCGCACGAUUUUCAAAAUUAACUAAAAACCGUAAGGAAUCUCAAAACCAUUUCAACAUAUGAAAGUUGCGCCUUGUCCGUAGCUUUCCAACUGCGUAUCAUACGUCUCGUUUCGACAAACGGUUAAAGAAACUGGAGCAAAAACAGUACCGAAAAUUUCAAAAAAUUUAAAAAACAGAGUUCCGCGAUUUAGUAAAUUUGAAACUGCUCUUAAACCGUAACGAAUUAGAGAAACAUUUAUAUAUCAAAAAGAUGCGCCUCAACGAUAUCUAUCCAACUACGUAUCAUUUGCUUCAUUCCGACAAGCGGUUUAGAAAAAAACGCAAAAAAACGCUUGCUGCCACUCGUCAUCCGCCGCACUAUUUUCAAAACUGCUCUUAAACCGUGUGGAAUCUCGAAAAGUGUUCAACAUGUCAAAGUUGCGCCUAAUCCAUAGCUUUUCAAUGGUAUAUUACACGCCUCAUUCCGAUAAACGGUUAAAAAGUUAGAGCGAAAACAGUACCAAAAAAAUAACGCGUGCAGUUUUUUCCGACGAGAAGUUCACUAGUCUUUAUUGCAGUGCUUGUCGUCAAAAUGAUGCAGUGGAGAGGUUUCGGAAUUUUUUGAGAAAGGAAUAUUAUUAGGGUAGUUAUAACUUAGGAAUUGGACACUAUAAUUGAAAAGAGGAUAUUUUGCUCAAAAUUUCCUGAUAAAAUAUCAUUGCAUAUAUAGGAAUUUUUUUCAUAAGAAUUUGUUCUCGACGUCAACGAUGCCCGGCCCGCAUCCUCCCCGUCGACGACGUCCUGCUUCAGAGGCGCCAUGUCCGGGACUGGGCUCCGCCGGGCUGGCACUGGGAGGUGCUACCUUCAGGGGCACGCAGCUUGGUGAGGAACCCGACCCUGGGUCCCGUUGUCGACCCGGAGCUCCUUUGGUGCCGUUCGCGUGGGCCACUUUCGGUGCGGAGGCAGCCGGCCAUGCCCGAGGUGGUACGUCGUCGUGUCAGGGAGGAGGACGAGCACGUCCGUCGCUACAUGGAUGAGUUGGACGUCGGGUUCUCUGAUACCUGGCAGUUUCUUCAGGGAUCUCACCCAAGCUAUGACCCUGUGAUCGUUCCUUCUCUUUGGGUGUCCACCGCCCGCGCCUCAGGAACCGCGAGUGAACUAGAUUCUUCGAUAAUAUUUGAUCUGUAUUAGCUAGUGAUGUUAUAUAUAUGAUAAUAUUCGAGAUGUAUUAGUGAUAAUACUCGAGAUGUAUUCAAGAUUAUAUUCGAUAAUAUUCAAGACGAUGUAUUCAAGAUUAUAUUAUUCGAUAAUAUUCGAGACGAUGUCUUCGAGAUUAUAUUAUUCGAUAAUAUUCAAGACGAUGUAUUCGAGAUUAUAUUCGAUGAUGCAUAUUGUCUGGAUUAUUCGAGAUGUAUAUAUAUUAUCUACUAUGAUUUAGUAUUUCCUUAUUGAUUGCAUGCAUGCAUUCUAAUUUGAAUACUAAAUUGUUUUAUCUUUCUUCUGGAUUAGUUAAAUAAAAGCUAUGGACAAUACCGGCAGAGAAGGAGAAGAGGCCAUGUUCGAGAUCAUAUGCUCCCCGAGACCAGAUGAGAGUGAAGAAGAUGACGACUCGCAAUAUCUGAACAAUACCAGUGAGGGUAUGAUAUUUGAUGAAGACGAACGAAUAGAUGAAGUCCAGAACAAUGAUGACGAAGGAAAUUUUGUUCUACAAAUAACAAAGACCAGCGAGGUAUAUUUAUAUAAGGCAUCUGGUGAUCAUCACACAUUUUAAUUGAUUUGUAUAUAUAUUAACGAAUCAAUCUUUCUUCUUUUAGCCCUCAAGAUAGAGCAAAUCUUCUACAAGCAGCAGGGCAUGAUGGAGCUAUAUACCUAGGGUAGGGUCAUAGGCCUGACCUACACAUCCUCCCCUAGGACAUCACCGUAAAGCCAGAAGCAUUCAAAGGAUAGAAUCAUCCACUCGACCAUAGGCCUGACCUAUUCCACUCGGAAGAUUCAUUGUCACUCGGCCGUAACAGAAGCCACUCUGCACAGCAACGGUCGGGCGUUUAUUCCAUAGACUUAAUGAUCAUUUAUGUCACUUUAUUACUAGCAUUACUAGUAACGCCAUCUCUUUAUGUACCUUAAGCCCCUUGUAACGUGGGUUGGCUGGGGUCUGGGCGCACUCUAUAUAAGCCACCCCCCUCCACUGGCACAAGGGUUCGCACCCCCUGUAACACACACACACGCAUAAUCCAGUCGACCACCUCUGGGCACCGAGACGUAGGGCUAUUACUUCCUCCGCGAAGGGCCUGAACUCAUAAAACUUGUGUGUACAACUUCUCCAUAGCUAAGAUCUUGCCUCUUCAUACCUACCCCCAUUCUACUAUCAGUCUUAGUACCACGACAGUUGGCGCCCACUGUGGGGCCGGUGUCUUAGCGACUUUUUGGUGAAGUUGCGAUUUUCCCGACUCCCAUCGUCAUGGUUUACGACGGUGGAUUCGCUGAGGGCCGCGAGACCCGUCUUAGCGCACUCGUCAUCGUGGCCGGCGACUCCGCCUGGCUUCAGGAAGCUCCCCUCGACGUUGAUGCUCUCCCCAUCCGCAGGGCGACGCACUUUCGCGCGUGCGUCUGCCACGUCCUUCUCCGGUAGCCGUCGACCCAGUAUCGGUCGACUCCUGUGGUGUCCUCGCUCCUCGCUGUUCGCCGGUGCAAGCAAUCCGGUCAGUCACGACUUCAGCGGUGAGUGAGACACGCGGUGGCCCGCCAGUUGGCCACCCCACAAGUCGCGGCAAUCGAGCCCGACGAAACUCUCUAUGACAUGUUCGACCUGUCGAUUGGCUCCAUCGAGACCGCAUCCGAGUGCGAUAGCAGCGAUCCCGCGGUUGAAGUCUUGAUGGUCAACGGACCACGUAGUCCUCCUGGCUUCCCCCGUGAUGAUGGCGGUGAUGGUGGCGGCGAUCCAUCACACGUUCACGAGGAGUACCGCCCCGAGCCCCUUUCUUCGCAGCACGGGGAGAGCUUCGCCGCUGCAAUAUGGGCGCGCUUCACACUCCCAUCGUUGGAGAAACCCCCAAGGCCCGGGCCUUGGAGGAGGAACGCCUGGCCAACUUCGAUGAGCGCACUCGACUGGAGAACCUUCAGCAUGCUCUCGACGAGCAUGCUUGGCAGCGGAUCCCUCAAUCCAGUCGACGACAGCUUUUCCCGCCUCAACCUCAGGUAUACUGCACUCCGAUUCAAAAUCUCAUAGCUGCAGCCCGAAUAGCAGAGUCAAUUCAACCUUCCCAGUCGGAGAGCAGAACACAGUAGUGUCUCAGUCGCGGAAUAGGAUUCAUAGCAGGUCUGUGAUGGCAGAUACAGUUCAGUCAACCCACAACCCAAGAUCGCCCCCGUGGCGUGAGGGACGUGGGCACCGGCAAGAUCGGUAUAGAAACCACGAGCAGUAUGACCACCAACUCGGUCGCGAUGACCGUCGUCGAGUGCCGACACCCCCUCCAACGAGUGGUUCAUAUGUGCCUCGGCAACAUGAUGAAAGUUGCCCUCAUAGCAGCGAGCGAAGAAUACCAGUCGACCCAAGGGAGCCAGGCUUUGAUGCGAGAUAUAUUAUCGUUCAAGGUCUGGUUGACAGGAACAGAGCACACAGAGAGGGCCAUGACAGAGAUCAGCCGACUAGCAGCAGAGUGCAUGUUUCAGGUCCUGAGUGUUUCAGCAGGGUCAUCAAGGCCGUAGUGAUUCCUCCCAACUUCAGGUUGGCGACUGGUGUCAGCAAGUUUACUGGUGAGUCCAAGCCUGACAUUUGGCUUGAGGAUUACCGAGUGGCUUUACAGAUUGGUGGCGGCAACGAUGAAGUGGCCAUGAAGCACCUUCCUAUGAUGUUGGAAGGCUCAGCCAGGGCAUGGUUGACCCAGUUAGCACCUAGCAGUAUAUUCAGUUGGGAAGAACUAGCCCGAGUGUUUGUUAGAACUUUUGAAGGUACCUGCAAACGGCCAGCAGGGUUAGCAGAAUUGCAACAUUGCAUGCAAAAACCGAGUGAAACUCUGAGAGAUUACAUUCAGAGGUUGACCACUUUACAUCACACAGUGGAAAAUGUGUCCGAGCAUCAAGCAGUUUGUGCCUUCAAAGAAGGCGUUAAGUAUCGAGAGUUGAAUCUGAAAUUCGGUCGGAAGGGAGAUAUGUCUCUGACUCAGAUGAUGUAAAAAGCCACUCGAUACGCUAACGGAGAAGAAGAGGAUCGACUCUGCAGUGGUAAGAGCAAACCAGUCGGUCAGGACACUGGGGGGCACUUCCAAUCGGAAACAGAAGCGCAAGGCCGAGCCAGCUGCUCCUGGUGAAGCUUUAGUCGUGGCUCAAGGAAAGUUCAAGGGGAAACCCAAAGGGCCCUGGACCCCCAAGAAAGUGAAAGAUCAAGCCGGAAAUGAUGUGUUGGAUUUACCAUGCCACAUUCACACCAAGAAGGAUGAAGAGGGUAAUCUGAUUUAUCCUAAACAUACCACUCGACAGUGUCGACUUUUGAUCCAGCAGUUCCGAGAAAAGCAACCCCAAUGAGAAGGAAAAGGAGUUGAACAAGGAUGGGGAUAAGGAAGAAGAUGAUGAUGGGUUUUCCCAACGUCAAUUCCACCCUGAUGAUUUUUGCUGAUGUUGAGAGCAAAAGUCGACUGAAAAGUGAUUAACAGAGAAGUGAACAUGGUUGCUCCGGCAACUCCCAGUUAUUUGAAGUGGUCUCAGACUGCCAUCACGUUCGACCAGUCUGAUCACCCAGCACGUAUAGCCACCGCUAGAAGGCAAGCGUUGGUGGUCGACCCAGUUGUUCAAGGCACUCGACUGACCAAAGUGCUAAUGGAUGGUGGCAGCGGCCUGAAUAUCCUUUAUGCCAAAACCUUGAAGGGGAUGGGCAUUCCGAUGUCCAAACUUAGCGAAAGCAAUAUGAGUUUCCAUGGCGUUAUCCCUGGAAAGAAAGCCGAAUCACUCGGCCAAAUUUCCCUUGAUGUGGUUUUCGGUGAUUCCAAGAAUUACCGCAAGGAAAAGUUGACAUUUGAAGUAGUGGAUUUCCAGAGUGCUUAUCAUGCUAUCUUGGGUAGGCCUGCUUAUGCACGUUUUAUGGCUCGACCAUGUUACGUGUACCUCAAACUGAAGAUGCCUGGUCCCAGAGGAGUGGUCACAAUCACUGGCAAUCGGCAGAAGGCAGAAGAGUGCUUCCAGAAGGGCUCAAAAAUCGUCGAUGCACAAAUGGCAGCUGUCAAAAUGCAAGAAUACCGGAAGAAUGCAGACCCGAGUGAUUUGUUGCGAGCUAAGAAGCCUGCCACAGAUUCUGCAUUUCAGUCGUCCAGUGAAACGAAGCUGAUUCAUAUUCACCUGGCCGAUCCUAAUGCUGCUCCUACUCAUAUCUCAACUUCACUCGACAGCAAAUAGGAAGAAGCGCUCAUCCAGUUGCUCCGUGAGAACUGGGACAUCUUUGCAUGGAAACCUUCUAACAUAUCGGGUGUACCCAGGGGACUGGCUGAGAACCAUUUACGAGUCGACCUAAAAGUGAAACCAGUCAAAGAACAUCUUCGACAGUACGCCGUACAGAAGAGAAAAGCAAUUGGCGAGGAAGUGGCUCGACUCCUGGCAGCCGAGUUAAUCCGAGAAAUUUACCACUCCGAGUGGCUCGCCAAUGUUGUCAUGGUCCCCAAAACGGACGACUCACUUCGUAUGUGCAUUGACUUCAAGCAUAUCAAUCGAGACUGCCCGAAAGAUCAUUUCCCUCUCCCCCGUACUGAUCAAAUAGUCGACUCGACUGCGGGGUGUGAGCAUUUGUCUUUUCUGGACGCCUAUUCCGGGUAUCAUCAGAUCCGACUGUAUGGACCUGAUGAGAUAAUAAUAGCUUUCAUCACUCCAUUUGGAUGCUUUUGUUAUGUCACCAUGCCAUUCGGUCUCAAGAAUGCUGGUGCCACAUUUAUGAGGAUGAUGCAGAAGUGUCUUCUCACUCAAAUCAGUCGGAAUGUGGAAGCAUACAUGGAUGACAUUGUGGUCAAGUCGCGUAAAGGUUCCGACCUGCUGGCUGACCUUGCUGAAACCUUUGCCAACCUGAGAAGGUAUGACAUCAAGCUUAAUCCAUCAAAGUGCACAUUCGGAGUUCCUGGUGGAAAGUUACUUGGUUUCCUCAUUUCUGAACAAGGGAUCGACGCGAACCCAGAGAAAGUCGGUGCCAUACUUCAGAUGAAGCGACCUAUGCGUGUACAUGAUGUUCAGAAGCUUACUGGUUGCUUGGUCGCCUUGAGUCGAUUCAUCUCUUGCCUCAGUGAAAAGGCAUUGCCUCUUUACCGACUGAUGAAGAAAUCUGACAAGUUCGAGUGGACUCCUGAAGCUGACGCAACGUUUGCAGAGCUCAAAGCCCUGCUUUCCACCCAGCCGGUGCUCGCUGCCCCAAUAAGCAAAGAGCCUUUACUGCUUUAUAUUGCAGCCACUGGACAAGUUGUCAGUACAGUACUCACGGUCGAGCGGGAAGAAGAAGGAAAAGCCUAUAAAGUUCAGCGCCCAGUGUACUAUGUUUCUGAAGUUUUGAGUCCAUCCAAGCAAAGAUAUCCACAUUAUCAGAAGCUUGUCUAUGGAAUUUAUAUGACCACGAAGAAGGUUGCACAUUAUUUCUCUGGUCACUCCAUUACAGUUGUCAACGAUGCACCAUUGUCAGAAAUUCUGAACAACAGAGACGCAACUGGUCGAGUGGCUAAGUGGGCAAUCAAACUCCUUCCCUUAGAUAUCAAGUUUGAGGCAAAGAAAGCUAUCAAGUCCCAAGCAAAUAGCAGAUUUCCUCGCCGAGUGGGUUGAGCCGCCACUACCGACUCAAAUUCACUCGGAGCAUUGGACCAUGUUCUUUGAUGGAUCCAAGAUGCUGAAUGGUUCGGGUGCUGGGGUGGUAUUGGUAUCCCCCUGAGGAGACAGACUCAGCUACGUUCUUCAGAUUCAUUUUGAUUCCUCCAACAAUGAGGUUGAAUACGAAGCACUUCUGUACGGGUUGUGUAUGGCCAUUUCACUCGGCGUCCGUCGCCUAAUGGUCUACGGCGACUCAGAUUUGGUGGUUAAUCAAGUAAUGAAGGAAUCGGACGUCAGGAGCCCAGCCAUGACUGGCUAUUGCAAUUUAGUGAGAAAGUUAGAGAAGUUUGAGGGGUUGGGGCUCCAUCAUAUACCCCGACUGAAAAAUCAAGCGGCCGAUGAUUUGGCGAAGAUAGGUUCCAAGAGAGAGACCAUUCCCAGUAAUGUGUUUUUGGAACAUAUUCAUACACCUUCAGUUCAGGAAGAUCCUUUCAUAGAAGAGCCCCCGCAACCUAAGAGUGCCACUGAUCCGACUGAAGUCGAAGCCCCAACCGUGGUCGACUUGAUCAUGGAGGCUUUGGUCAUUGUCGGUGUCAAAACCGGCGGAUCUCGGGUAGGGGGUCCCGAACUGUGCGUCUAGGCGGAUGGUAACAGGAGACAAGGGACACGAUGUUUUUACCCAGGUUCAGGCCCUCUCGACGGGGGUAAAACCCUACUUCUGCUUGAUUGAUAUAGAUGAUAUGGGUAGUACAAGAGUGGAUAUACCACGAGAUCAAGGAGGCUAAACCCUAGAAGCUAGCCUAUGGUAUGAUUGUUGUAAUGGUUGUGUUGUCCUACGGACUAAAACCCUCCGGUUUAUAUAGACACCGGAGAGGGCUAGGGUUACACAGAGUCGGUUACAAUGGUAGGAGAUCUACAUAUCCGUAUCGCCAAGCUUGCCUUCCACACCAAGGAAAGUCCCAUCCGGACACGGGACGAAGUCUUCAAUCUUGUAUCUUCAUAGUCUUGGAGUCCGGCCGAUGAUGAUAGUCCGGCUAUCCGGACACCCCCUAGUCCAGGACUCCCUCAGUAGCCCCUGAACCAGGCUUCAAUGACGAUGAGUCCGGCGCGCAUAUUGUUCGGCAUUGCAAGGCGGGUUCCUCCUCCGAAUGAUUCAUAGAAGAUUGUGAACACCAGGAUAGUGUCCGGCUCUGCAAAAUAAAUUCCACAUUCCACCAUAGAGAGAAUAAUAUGUACACAAGCUCAAUCUGCUGACGUAUUUUGUAGCAUGACAUCACGCCACUACCAAGCCUUUACUGGAAUCGUUUUUUGAUUAUACCACCUCAGCGCAUUUAGUGAAGCGGUUUCCUUGGCACGUCUUGUCGAAGCAGAGAUCGUGUUCCCCUUAUUCCGGGAUUCCCAUCAAUAUGGACGUGGGCCCAACCGUGCCCGUCGCCACGCCUCCUCUAUCGAAGGCGAGUCCCGAACGGUCACGGGGACGGCUCUUGGUAUUCUCCCUCUUUAUAACGGGACCAAGGCUUCGUUUCUUCUCUUCAACCUUCAAUCGAAUCUACUCCUUGCCCCGAGUUCCAACACCCAGAGCCCCAGAUUUGAGCGCUUCGGACCUUCAACAAUGUCCGGCUCCGACCUUCAGGGCCGGUGGAUGCCCUCCUCCGUCACGGAGGAGGACGUGCUAAAGCUACGAGAGGCCAAGUACCUGACCUACGAAAUUUCGCAUAGGUUGCCCGUCAAAGGGCAAGUCAUUCCCACCCUCGAGCCCGGCGAAUAUGUCGUGUUUGUGUCCCACCUCCGUCGGGGCUUAGGCUUCUCGAUGGAUCCUUUUGUGAGAGGGCUCAUGUUUUACUACGGGUUGGAAUUCCAUGACUUGGCUCCGGAGUCCAUCCUCCAUAUUUCUUCAUUCAUCGUCGUCUGUGAAGCCUUCCUCCGCAUCACCCCUCACUUCGGCCUAUGGCUGAAGACCUUCAAUGUGGAGCCGAAGAUGAUCGAGGGGCGUCAAGCAGAGUGCGGCGGGGCGGCCGUAAGCAGGAGGGCCGAUGCCCCGUGGCCCGAGGGCUCCUUCCAAGAGGAGCUCGGCUUGUGGCAACAGGAGUGGUUCUAUAUUAUCGUUCCCAGGGGCAGCAGGCAGAAGCCGCCGCCCGUAUUCAGCUCGGGACCUCCACGACGAUUGAUGUCGUGGGUCAACCAAGGGCUCAACUGGGGGCCGUCAAAAGACGUGCCCCUAUUGGAGGGCCGGAUUCGAGACCUCAAAGCGAGGGAGAUCGAUCUGGUCGUGGUGAUGCAGGUCAUGCUGAUUAGGCGUCUCCUGCCCUGCAAACGCUGUCCUCUCCGGCUAUGGGAGUUUAAUCCGGAGGGACCAUGGAUUCUCCAACACUUCAUGGGUACGACACCCGUGGAGAUGUACAAAUUGUUCUUCGGAUCACGGGAGGUGUUUCCGGAAUUGACCGAGGACGCCGGCCUAAGCUGCAAUCGCCCGAAUACUCAAGUAAGUAGCUCUGUGUCCGGACAUACCGUUUGUUUGCCUUUCUACAAUUCGCCUUUUAACCUGUUGUCCUUUAACAGGAGUGGAUAGCGCAAGCAAGCUGGUACGGUGUCCGGCCCCCCUCCCAGAGACCGCGCCGGAUCCCGUGCUGGUCAGGAUGCUGGAGGUUGCGCCUUCAGAAGAAGGCGAAGGGGAAAAUAGAGGAGCUACCGCCUCACCCAAGGAGGCUCUUAAAAAAGGGGGGAUCGAGAAUCCCUCCCUCCAAGGGGAGAAGAGGACCGCCUCCGAAGACCCGGAGGCCAAAGCCCCUAAGCGGGGGAAGAAAUCUUCACCAGAGGGUCCUGCGUCCGGGGAGGCCCCGGCCGCACAGUCUCCCCUAAAGAAUCUGCCCUCCAGCGAGCCGUAAGUAGAAAAGAAAAGGGAGUUUGGUAAUAAGGGACAUCCCUAUUUAUGCUUCUAAGGAUAACUGAAGUUUUUACCUUGUAGUUCGGAUCUCCGACCUUCUCAGAUGAGCUCGUCUUCGGGGGACCUUCGUCCGGAGAUGGUGGAGAGCGAGACGCCUCCGUCCGCUGCGCCGUCGGAUAGGGCGGACGAGCCUGAAGUGUCAUCACGGCGGGUAUCCCCAAGCCCGACAGAGCCGAAGAGUUCGGCGCCGACUAGUGUUCGGCCGGGGGAGCUGAAGGAUCUGCUUGAGAGGGCGUCCAUCUCAGAAGAUCACCAUGCAUUGAUGAGUAUGGUGAUUGGAAGGAUUUCGUCCGCCAAAAGCGGAUUCCCUAAUGCCGUCAGGAGUUUGCUUUCGGGGUUUGAGGUACGUAAAAAUGACACACCUUUUUGACAGUUUUGCACAUAAAGUGCGCCCUGUAUAGAUAGUAGCCUCUGAGACUCGGUGGGUUGUCGAAAGCGACAGCGUGCCGAGGAUCAAAAUCGCAAGUAUUAACUUUCGCCUUUCCUAUGCAGGUGGAGGCUAGUCCGGGGGGCAGCCGGACUGAUGGAGUUGCUGAACUAAAGCGGCAACUCGACGUUGCGGAUGCGGACAUCGCGCUAGUCAACAAGUGACUUGACAAUUCGCAAGGUAAGUUUUUUCUCCGUGGUCACCUAGUAAGGGAGACGAAGCCCACCUCUUACAAUAUGUGUGCUUGACAUAAAUGGUGCCGCUGCUGUGGAGAUCCUUCGGGCAGAACUUGCUCAAGCCAAGGAGCUAGCCAGAAGGAGUGAUGCGGCUGCCUCGAGAGCAGCCGAGGAGUUAGAAGCCGAAAGGGCUGCACACUGCCGAAACAGGGAGGAGAUGGCCGAAAUGGCCGUGAAGUUAAAAGAUGCUACCGACCGCAAGGAGGUUCUUGAAAAGGAGCGCCUAGCGGAGCGAGAAGACCUGGGAAAGGCCACCGCCAAAGCCAAAGAUGCACAUUCUGCAAUGCGGGCUAUAAAGGAGGAGCUGCGCCAGGCCGGAGAUAUUGUGGCUGGCAAGCCCUUUCUGCUGCGCCGAAACUUUACGGAUCCAAAGUAUGCUCAGCUUGGCCAGCUGCGGGGUCCGGAGGAUCCCUAUAUGGACUUAGCACCGAGUGCGGCGGAUGCCGUUGUGCACUUCCGAAGCCAGAAGGAUCACAAGACGGAAGAGCUGUUUUGGUCUCAAUUCCAUAGUCCGGAGCGUUCACUUCCGCUGACCGACAGGUUGGCCCAGUGGGCUGAGCUGAAUAGGUUGUCCGGGCUUGCCAUGAUGGAUAUCGUGACUCAUGUCUGGCCGGAUAGGCCCAAGCCAAAGAGCUAUUUUGGUUUAUUGCAGCAAUUUCUUGGGGCGGUGCCGCAUAUCAAGGCGAUGAAGCGGUCGGCCUGCAUAGAGGGUGCACGGAUGGCCCUCGCCCGUGUGAAGACACAUUGGACAGAGAUGGAUGCCACCUGUUGCGACCCAAGGUUCCGACGAGAGCCGGUUACCCGCCGAGCACUAUUUUGGGGAAGUUCUGCCUGGUGCUCGUGUAAUAGAGUCGCAGUGCUCAAAAAAUGUCACGUUCAAAUGAACGUUUUAUUUUGUAAAAUGAUGUUUAUGAUGUAGGCGCUUUUUGUACUUGUGCGUUCAAGUAUUGAAAUAUCUCCUUUGCGGCCGUUUAUGUAUACGUGUGUAUAACCUGAAAGAUGGCAGUCGUCGGCUUCAGCCCCCACGCACAAGGUGCGGGGGUGUUUGCAAAAAUAGCGCAUUUUCACACUUAAUCCGACGUCUCGGUCCUGUGAAGGAGGUGGUAGCAUAGCAAACGAGGCAACCGGACUAUAAUGCUUUAUCACUUUCACUUAGCCAUGGGAGUUCGAGGGUGAGGCUACGAUAUAGCCCCUAGGGGCACCGCGCUCUCCAAAUUCGGGGCGCGAAUGUGCCUGACCGAGGAACGGUCCUUCAUCAAAGCAGAGGAAUUCUAAACAUUCCGGUGGUCGAUCGAGUGGUUGACCAGUCUCUCGCUGUAUCAUGACAAUCAGUUUUCGGCUUUCUCUACUGAGGUGCUCGCCCAGCCGAACUGGGGCACAAUCGCAGUAGUUCUCCUGGUGCCGCGUUAGCCGAUGAUACAGAACGUAAGGCAGCAAAACACAGGAGCCGGGCAAACCUAACAUUUGACCAAAGACAUGAUUCGGAGCUGAUGCAUAUAAGGCCUAACUCGAGACGCCGAACACUCCCUAAGGUGUUUGGUCUUUAUGAUAACGGGCAGAACAAUGCCCUAAGCCCCUAGUGUCCAGGUACGGGCAAGGUCCUCUGACGCGGCUGAUGCCAAAAUGUUAGUCUCCUCUCUGGUUAUAAUGAGAAACCAGGGGAUUAUAGCAACAAGAGACAGUAAAAAAGGUUUACGCAGGGUCUUAAUCUGAAAAGAAUCCUUGCAACGGGUCCCUACUGCACGUCUGCGCCUGUGUCUCCGUUGUGCCGUAUCCUGGACGGGUGUGCAAGUUGUUCAUCUGUAAAAAGAGAGGAACUUAGUUUGAAAGGAAAUCGUGCGAAAAGUGCAUUAAAAAUUGAAAUAUUAAUGAAUGAAUAAAGCUGAGCUUAUAUUAGCUCAUUAUUGCUUAUACGCACAGCCCCUUGUGAAGGGGUGUGCGGCUAGGGAGCCCCUAGCUUAUUUAUGCCGGACUCGUCUAGCCGUGUCCGGGGUCUUUGAACGACCUUUUAAUGAAAUGAUGCCACGUGGACCGGGCAUUUUAAGUGUAAGAGACGCAUAAUGUGGUAUUGCGUUAAAGCGGACAAAAGCUUCACGUCCCAAUAGUGCUUGAUAGCUACUUUUGAAUGGGGCGACAUGAAAGAUUAGCUUUUCGCGUCGGAAGUUGUCGGGUGACCCGAACACAACUUCUAGUAGUAAGGAGCCCGUGCACUUGGUGUAAGGGCCUGGCGUCACUCCUUUGAAGGAAGUGCGGCUAUUUCAAAUUUUAGUACGGUCUAUCCCCAUCUUGCGGAUUGUGUCCGGAUAUAGCAGGUUUAAAUCGCUGCCGCCAUCCAUCAGGAUUUGUGUAAAUUGUAGUCCGUUGAUUAUAGGAUCCAAUAUCAGAGCAGUCCAUCCUGUGUUUCGAAUACUUCUGGAAUAAUCCAGGUGGUCGAAAGUGAUUGGUUUUGACAUCCAAUCUCGAGGUUCCGCUGGGGUGGACCGUGCGACACCUACCUUAGCGGGUGCCGCAUUGUUUUUCCGUACUAUCACAUGAAGUGAGUUUACUGUUUUGACUUCUUGUGGGAAAGUCUUUUGUUUUCCGGUGCUCUGCUGGUGGGGUUCGUCAUCAUCCUCGCUUGGCGCGUCGAGCCCCUUGUGUUCGGCGUUGAGUCGGCCGGACUGUUUGAAAACCCAACAAUCUCGGUGGGUGUGGUUUGCAGGCCUUCCGGAGGUACUAUGGAUUUGACAUAUCCGAUCCAAAAUUUUGUUUAAGUUGGAUAGCUCAUCAUUGUUAUCUUUAAGGGGCAGUGUCUUGUUGUUCGGCCGCGAGCUUUUGAAUCCUGCGUUGACCGCCGUGUUCUUUGGGCUUUUUUCUUUGUUUCGGCGCUUAUCCUUUCCGCGCCAUGAUUUUCUGUUUCCAUCUCUGAUCUCGCAUGUACUCGGGUCGCUAGUGCUGCAUCUUGCUAGCCAGUUUUCUUCCCUCGCGCAAAAGCGGGUCAUGAGGCUUGUUAGCGCGGCCAUUGUUCUCGGCUUCUCUUGGCCGAGGUGUCUGGUGAGCCAUUCGUCUCGGACAUUAUCUUUAAAAGCUGCUAAGGCUUCGGCGUCCGGACAGUAGACUAUUUGGUUCUUUUUGGUAAGGAACCUGUUCCAGAAUUUGCGCGCUAACUCUCCGGGCUGUUGAGUUAUGUGACUUAAAUCAUCUGCGUCCAGAGGGCGGACAUAAGUCCCUUGGAAAUUUGCUCUAAACGCGUCCUCGAGCUCUUACCAACUUCCAAUAGUAUUUUCUGGGAGGCUUUUAAGCCAAUGUCGAGCUGACCCUUUGAGCUUGAGGGGUAGAUAUUUUAUGGCGUGGAGAUCAUCUCCUCUAGCCAUGUGUAUGUGGAGGAUGUAAUCCUCUAUCCAGACUCCAGGGUCUGUUGUACCGUCGUAUGCCUCUUUGUUUACGGGUUUGAACCCCGCUGGAAAUUCAUGAUCCAACACCUCAUCGGUGAAACAUAGUGGGUGUGCGGCGCCCCUGUAUUUGGGUGUGCCGCUGUCUUCGAACACUUGUCGUGUUGUGUUGCUUCCUGGGGCCCUCUUUUUUGGCCCGUAAAUGGACCUGACCGGGCCAUCUGUUUUCCGAGGAUCAUGAGUCGGCUUGUGUGCGGCACCGCUUGUCGCUUUUGGACUGUCGUCUGGUCGUCUAUCCGGCCAGGCGUCCUCUUUGCUUUUUGACUGUGGGGGCUCUAUGGCCUCCUCGUCGAAUUCUGGCAGCAGCUUGCGCUUCGGGUAGCUCUUUGUUUGGUGGCCAUUGCCAUAUUUGUCCACGGUCUUGAGUACCUUGCUCCACCUCAUUCUGAGUGUAUCUUCUGCUGUUUUGAGCUUCCGUUUUUCCUUCUUCAGACUUCUUGCAGUGGCGAGGAGUCUUUUGUGAAGGUUCUUAUGCUCCGGUGGUGUGUCCGGUGUGAGAUCGUCUGGACUGUUGUUUUCGCCGGGCAUAGAUUGAUUAUCUGAUUCAUCCUGUUCGGAUGGUUGCUUGGUUGCAUGCUCGUUGCCCACUGGUUUGCCCUGCUCUAUUGCUGGGUCCUUAGGAGUGCUGUUGUUGUCGAGGCGGGACUUAGGGUGGCGCCUACGUCGCCGUUUUGUUUGUUUUUCGGCGGAAUUAUCCUUUGCCGCUUCCCGUUGUUCCUCGUUAUCGCUUCCUUUUGGGGUGUCCACCAUAUAUACAUCAUGGGUUGGAGUUUCCUUCCAGUGCCCUGUAGGCGUUGGUUCUUGGUCGUCUCCGGUAUCGUCGUCCAUACCGUCGAUAUCUUCGGAGUUGUAGGCUAGCAUGUCGGUUAAAUCGUCGACAGUGGCUACAAAGUGGGUGGUGGGUGGGCUUUGAAUUUCUUCGUCGUUCGCAUCCCAACCAUCCUGGCCGCAGUCCGGCCAGGGCUCUCCAGAUAGCGAGAGAUGCUUUAGAGAAUUUAGGAUGUCGCCAAAGGGUGAGUGCUGAAAGAUGUCCGCAGCGAUGAACUCCAUGAUCGGCGCCCAAUCGGAUUCGAUUGGCAAGGGCGCAGGGGGCUCGGAGUCUGGCAGGGAGUCCGACACCCCGGAGUCACGAGCUUUAUAAGGGACGAGGUAAGUGUUUGGCUCCAUCACCGUGGAAGUUGCAGCUCCCGAGGCGGUGUCCAGCCACCCGUCCUCGAUCUGCGCGAUUGGCUCCGAACUAUGGGUCGGAGCAGAUUCGUGUGCGGCCUCCAAGGUACUGUCCGGCGGCAGAGUUAGAUCAUGCCCAUCGUGACAGUGCAGCACGCUCGGCUGUGGCUCGAAUCCAUUGAAGAUCAAGUCUCUGUGGAUGUCCGCCGUGAAGUUUAGGCUUCCAAAUCUGACCUGACGGCCAGGGGCGUAGCUUUCGAUCUGCUCCAGACGGCCAAGUGAAUUGGCCCGCAGUGCAAAGCCGCCGAAUACGAAGAUCUGUCCAGGGAGAAAAGUCUCGCCCUAGACUGCGUUGUUGUUAAUUGAAGAAGCCAUCAAGCCUAUCGGUGACGACACAGAGGAACUCUCAAUGAAAGCACCAAUGUCGGUGUCAAAACCGGCGGAUCUCGGGUAGGGGGUCCCGAACUGUGCGUCUAGGCGGAUGGUAACAGGAGACAAGGGACACGAUGUUUUUACCCAGGUUCGGGCCCUCUCGAUGGAGAUAAAACCCUACUCCUGCUUGAUUGAUAUUGAUGAUAUGGGUAGUACAAGAGUGGAUCUACCACGAGAUCAAGGAGGCUAAACCCUAGAAGCUAGCCUAUGGUAUGAUUGUUGUAAUGGUUGUGUUGUCCUACGGACUAAAACCCUCCAGUUUAUAUAAACACCGGAGAGGGCAGGGUUACAUAGAGUCGGUUACAAUGGUAGGAGAACUACAUAUCCGUAUCGCCAAGCUUGCCUUCCACGCCAAGGAAAGUCCCAUCCGAACACGGGACGAAGUCUUCAAUCUUGUAUCUUCAUAGUCUUGGAGUCCGGCCGAUGAUGAUAGUCCGGCUAUCCGGACACCCCCUAGUCCAGGACUCCCUCAGUCAUCACUCCCGACUGGACAGUGUCGUACAUCGCAUACAUUCUUAGGAAGGAACCCCAGAAGAUGAAGAAGAGGCUCGAAAGAUCGUCCGUCGAUCCAAAGCCUUACUGUGAUAAGAGGACAGCUGUUCAGAGAAAGUGUAACCGGAGUCUGCAGAAAUGCAUAAUGCAAAAAGAAGGUCGAGUGAUCCUCAACGACAUCCACUCGAGGACCUGUGGUCAUCAUGCGUCCUCUCAAACCAUUGUGGCCAAAGCAUACCGAGCGGGAUUUUAUUGGCCACGAGCAAAUGAAAUGGCGAAGGAAAUAGUUGACAAAUGUGAAGGUUGCCAAGUUUACUCCAGCAUGUCUCACAAGCCAGCAUCAACCCUGAAGACCAUUCCGCUCAUCUGGCCCUUUGCUGUUUGGGGGUUAGAUAUGGUUGGACCUCUGAGGACUGGUAGGAGUUGCUUCACUCAUGUACUUGUGGCAGUCGACAAGUUCACCAAAUGGAUUGAAGCCAAGCCUAUCAAAUAUCUUCGAACCAGUACUGCGGUCAGCUUCAUCAGAGAGCUAACAUUCAGAUAUGGUGUUCCAAACAGCAUCAUCACUGAUAAUGUGUCUAACUUUCAUUCUGAUGAGUUCAGAGCCUUCUGCGCUUCCCAAGUUACUUGAGUUGAUUAUACUUCAGUCGCCCAUCCGAGUCGAAUGGACAAGCUGAAAGAGCAAACGGAUUGAUUCUCAAAGGACUAAAACCCCUAUUGAUGCGUGAUAACCCGCAAGUAUACGAGAUAGUUGUAGCCUCUUUCGAUAAGUAAGAGUGUCGAACCCAACGAGGAGCUAAAGGUAGAAAAAAUACUCUCUCAAGUCCUAUCGGCCACUGAUACGACUCUACGCACGCGUGACGUUCGCUUUACCUAGAACAAGUAUGAAACUAGAAGUACUUUGUAGGUGUGAUAGGAUAGGUUUGCAACAUAAUAAAGAACACAUAAAUAAAAGCUAGGGGUUGUUUAGAUAAAGAAGCAAUAAAGUAAAUAUAGCGAGUGUGGAAAAGUGGUGGUAGGGGUUGUGAAAUUGUCCCUAAGCAAUUUACUACGUUACUAGAGCGAUAAUCACUAUUGCAAUUCUAUUUGAGGGAGAGGCAUAAGCUAACAUACUUUCUCUACUUGGAUCAUAUGCACUUAUUAUUGGAACUCUAGCAAGCAUCCUCAACUACUAAAGAUUCAUUAAGGUAAAACCCAACCAUAGCAUUAAAGCAUCAAGUCCCCUUUAUCCCAUACGCAACAAUCCCCUUACUCGGAUUUGUGUUUCAGUCACUCACACAAACCACUAUAAGAGAAUCAUGAACGCAUUGCAACACCCUACAAUAGGAAUCCCUCACGUUUGCGUGACACGGAGGGCACAAUAGGACAUCACCAAUAAUAAAACAUGCAACUCAAACCAAUCAUAGCAAUUCAUCAAUCGUCGAUAGGACAACGAAAAUCUACUCAGACAUCAUAGGAUGGCAACACAUCAUUGGAAAAUAAUAUGAAGCAUAAAGAACCAUGUUCUAGUAGAGGGUACUGUGGGUUGCGGGAGAGUGGACCGCUGGAUAUAGAUGGGGGAAGGUGAUGGAGAUGUUGGUGAAGAUGAUGGAGGUGUUGGUGAAGAUCGCGGUGAUGAUGAUGGCCACCGGCGGCGUUCCGGUGCCACCGGAAGCAAGGGGGAGAGAGCCCCCCUUCUUCUUCUUCUUCCUUGACCUCCUCCCUAGAUGGGAGAAGGGUUUCCCCUCUGAUCCUUGGUUCCCAUGGCAUGGGAGGGGCGAGAGCCCCUCCAAGAUUGGAUCUAUCUCUCUGUUUCUGCGUUCUCAUAUUCUACCCCUUUACCGUUUCUUAAAUAUCCGGAGAUCCGUAACUCCGACUGGGGUGAAUCUUUCGUCCAGAUCUUUCUCAUAAAAUUAGCUUUCUAGCGCCAAAAGAAGAGUGUCAACCAUCUUAUGGGUGGCCCAUGAGAUCCCAGGGUGCGCCCCCCUGUCUCGUGGCCACCCCGGACACCGUUUCGUGUUGAUUUUACUUCCCAAAAAUCAUAAAUAUUCCAAAAAAAAUCUCCGUCCGUUUUUAUCCCGUUUGGACUCCGUUUGAUAUUGGGUUUCUGCGAAACAAAAAACAUGCAACAGACAGGAACUGGCACUGGGCACUGGAUCAAUAUGUUAGUCCCAAAAAAUUGUAUAAAAAGUUGCCAAAAGUAUAUAAAAGUUGAAUAAUAUUGGCAUGGAACAAUCAAAAAUUAUAGAUACGACGGAGACGUAUCAGUAUCCCCAAGCUUAAUUCCUGCUCGUCCUCGAGUAGGUAAAUGAUAAAAAAGAUAAAUUUCUAUGUGGAAUGCUACCUAGCAUAAUCUUGAUCAUAUGUCUAAUCAUGGCAUGAAUAUUAAGAUACGAGUGAUUCAAGGCAAUAGUCUAUCAUUUGACAUAAAAACAAUAAUACUUCGAGCGUACCAAUAAAGCAAUCAUGUCUUUUCAAAACAACAAGGCCAAAGCAAGCUUAUCCCUACAAAAUCAUAUAGUUUGGCCAUGCUUCAUUUUCGUCACACAAAAUGCCCCCAUCAUGCACAACCCCGAUGACAAGCCGAGCAAUUGGUUCAUACUUUUUAACGCGCUUCAGCUUUUUCAACCCUCACGCAAUACAUGAGCGCGAGCCAUGGAUAUAGCACUAUAGGUGGAAUAGAAUAUAAUGAUGGAGGUUAUGUGGAGAAGACAAAAAAGGAGAAAGUCUCACAUCGACGCGGCUAAUCAAUGGGCUAUGGAGAUGCCCAUCAAUUGAUGUCAAUGCGAGGAGUAGGGAUUGCCAUGCAACGGAUGCACUAAGAUCUAUAAGUGUAUGAAAGCUCAACGAAAGAAACUAAGUGGGUGCGCAUCCAACUUGCUUGCUCAUGAAGACCUAGGGCAUUUGAGGAAGCCCAUCGUUGGAAUAUACAAGCCAAGUUUUAUAAUGAAAAUUCCCACUAAUAAAUGAAAGUGACAAUAUAGGAGACUUAUUAUAUGAAGAACAUGGUGCUACUCUGAAGCACAAGUGUGGAAAAAGGAGAGUAACAUUGCCCCUUUUCUUUUUCUUUUUUUCUUUUUUUUUCCUUUUUUUCUUUCGGUGGGCUUCUUUGGUCCCCUUUUUAUUUAGGCUUCUUUGGCCUUUCCCUUUUUUUUUAUGGGGCAAUGCUCUAUAAUAAUGAUCAUCACACUUUUAUUUACUUACAACCCAAUAUUACAACUCGAUACUAGAACAAAGAUAUGACUCUAUAUGAAUGUUUCCGGCGGUGUACCGGGAUGUGCAAUGAUCUAGCGUAGCAAUGACAUCAAAAAAUGGACAAGCCAUGAAAACAUCAUGCUAGCUAUCUUACGAUCAUGCAAAGCAAUAUGACAAUGAAUGCUCAAGUCAUGUAUGUGAUGAUGAUGAAAGUUGCAUGGCAAUAUAUCUCGGAAUGGCUAUGGAAAUGCCAUGAUAGGUAGGUAUGGUGGCUGUUUUGAGUAAGAUAUAAGGAGGCUUAUGUGUGAUAGAGCAUAUCGUAUCACGGGGUUUGGAUGCACCGGCGAAGUUUGCACCAACUCAUGAGGUGAGAAAGGGCAAUGCAUGAUACCGAAGAGGCUAGCAAUGAUGGAAAGGUAAAAGUGCGUAUAAUCCAUGGACUCACAUUAGUCAUAAAGAACUCAUAUACUUAUUGCAAAAGUUUGUUAGCCCUCAAAGCAAAGUACUACUACGCAUGCCCCUAGGGGGAUAGAUUGGUAGGAAAAGACCAUCGCUCGUCCCCGAUCGCCACUCAUAAGGAAGACAAUCAAAGAAACACCCCAUGCUUCAAAUUUGUCACACAACGGUUACCAUACGUGCAUGCUACGGGACUUGCAAACCUCAACACAAGUGUCUCUACAAUCCACAACCACCCACUAGCAUGACUCUAAUAUCACCAUCUUUAUAUCGCAAAACUAUUGCAAGGAAUCAAACAUAUCAUAUUCAGCGAUCUACAAGUUUAUGUAGGAUUUUAUGACUAACCAUGUGAAUGACCAAUUCCUGUCAUAUCUCUAAAUAGAUAUAAGUGAAGCAAGAGAGUUUAAUUCUUUCUACAAAAGAUAUGCCCACGCUCUAACAAUUAUAAGUGAAGCAAAAGAGAAUUCUACAAAUGGCGGUUUUCUAUGUGAAGAGAAACAGGCAAUCCAAACUUCAAAUGAUAUAAGUGAAGUACAUGAAGCAUUCUAUAAAGCCACACUCAAAAGUUUUAAGUGAAGUGCAAUGAGCAUUCUAUAAAUCAACCAAGGAUUAUCUCAUACCAGCAUGGUGCAUAAAAGAAAAAUGAAAACUAAAUGCAAAAGACGCUCCAAGACUUGCACAUAAUGCAUGAACGAAACGAAUUCGAAAACAUACCGAUACUUGUUGAAGAAAGAGGGAAUGCCUUCUGGGGCAUCCCCAAGCUUAGACGCUUGAGUCUCCUUGAAUAUUUACUUGGAGUGCCUCGGGCAUCCCCAAGCUUGAGCUCUUGCCUCUCUUCCUUUUCCUCAUAUCGAGACAUCCUCGAUUAGACACUACAUCCACACAAAACUUCAACAGAAAACUCGGUAAGAUCCAUUAGUAUAAUAAAGCAAAUCACUACUCUAAGUACUGUAGUAAAAAAAUUCAUAUUUUGUUUUUGCAUUGUGUCUACUGUAACGUAAAUUUUUCAUGGCUUAAUCCACUGAUAUAAAUUGAUAGAUUCAUCAAAACAAGCAAACUAUGCAUCAAAAACAGAAUCUGUCAAAAACAGAACAGUCUGUAGCAAUCUGAACAUCCACCAUACUUCUGGUACCCCAAAAAUUCUACCAAACUUAGUAAAAAUAAAAAAGUUGUAAAGCAAGACAGUGCAAAAGGAAUCAGAACCAAAUGAUGUUCCAGAUAAAAAUGUAAAAUCGCGCACUACAGCCAAAGUUUCUGUCCUGCACCGUACAAACCAACAAGCAUUGUAAACAUCCUAAAGGCCAACCUUGGCACAUUAUGUUUAUAAUACAAUGGAAUUAUACAAGGGGAUAAUUAUUUUUGAUGAAAAGUUUCUGUAAUCAAGACUCACAAAGUUUCCGUGAGCAUGAACAAAGUUCAAGGCUAGCUCCACUUCAACAAUGCUUGUCUUUCUCACUUUCACUUUCCUUUUUGAAAAGUUUUUAGGUUCCCCUCUUUAUUUUUGUGUUUUUAAACUAUAUAAAAUCACUCAACAGAAAUAAAUGACUCUCUAAAACUUCCGGGUUGUCUCCCUGGUAGCGCUUUCUUUAAAGCCAUUAAGCUAGGCAUUUAGUGCUCAAGUAAUGAAUCCACCCGGAUCCCAAGGUAUAUCAAAGCCAAUUUUAAUUAACAAUGAUUUGUAAUUUAGUAGUGAGCACAAAGUAACAUAUAUCAUGCAACAACGAAGUCUAACUCUCUUCCUAUGCAUCGGCAUGUCAUAAGAGAACAAUUCAUGCACACAUAGUAAAGGCCAAUGCAUAGUAUAAGCAUUUUCUUGCAAUUUCAUAGUAUGGGAAACAUAGACAGGUGGAGAAAUAGUUCCUCUCUCAUAAUAAUUGCAAGUAGUAGCAGCAAGAACAUGCAUAUUACAUUCAUCAAAAUCAUCAUGUGCAAUGGUAAAAGGCAACCCAUCAAUAUAAUCCUUAAUAAGCACAAAGUUCUUCGAUAUAGUGUAGUUGGGAAGAAUUCAAAAAGAUAAUAGGACUAUCAUGCGUGGGUGCAAUAGCAACAAUUUCAUGUUUAACAUAAGGAACUAUAGCAAGUUCAUCUCCAUAAGCACAAUUCAUAUUGGCAUCUUGGCCACAAGCAUAGCAAGCAUCAGCAAAAAGGGAUAUUUCAAACAAAUUUAAGGGAUCAUAGCAAUCAUCAUAGCAAUCAUCCUUCGGUAAGCAUGAAGGGGAAUUAAAUAAUGUAUGAGUUUAAGAGUUACUCUCAUUAGAAGGUGGGCACGGGUAGCUAAUCCGCUCUUCCUCCUUUUAUUCUUCGCUCUCCUCAUCAUCUUUUUCAUCCAAUGAGCUCACAGUUUCAUCAAUUUCUUCUUCCAUAGCUUCCUGCAAAAUAUUAGUCUCUUCAUGGACAGCGGAGACUUUCUCAAUAAAUGCAUUAAUAUAGUAAUUGUAUUCAUAAUUUUCACAGAAAUAUCUAAGUAUAGCAAGAUUUUCAGGCCUAUAAGCAUCAUCAUCUAAAGCUUCAUACUUUUCAAACAAAGAUUCAAUUUCAUAAGCAGCCUUAAAAGCAACAAAUUCUUCUAUUUGUUCCACAUCAUAGUAAUCAUAUAUACCAUUAGCAUAAGAAGCUAAGGUUUCAUUAUCAUUAAAUUUGCAUGAAAAGGGAAGGUGUGGAGCCUUCAUCCUAGAGCUGAAGGAAAUAUGCCCUAGAGGCAAUAAUAAAGUUAUUAUUUAUUUCCUCAUAUCAUGAUAAAUGUUUAUUAUUCAUGCUAGAAUUGUAUUAUCCGGAAACAUGAUACAUGUGUGAAUACAUAGACAAACAUAUAGUCACUAGUAUGCCUCUACUUGACUAGCUCAUUAAUCAAAGAUGGUUAUGUUUCCUAACCAUAGACAUGUGUUGUCAUUUGAUUAGUGGGAUCACAUCAUUAGGAGAAUGAUGUGAUUGACAUGACCCAUCCCGUUAGCUUAGCACUUGAUCGUUUAGUAUUCUGCUGUUGCUUUCUUCAUGACUUAUACAUGUUCCUAUAACUAUGAGAAUUAUGCAACUCCCGUUUACCGGAGCUACACUUUGUGUGCUACCAAACGUCACAACAUAACUGGGUGAUUAUAAAGGAGUACUACAGGUGUCUCCGAAGGUACAUGUUGGGUUGGCAUAAUUCGAGAUUAGGAUUUGUCACUCCGAUUGUCGGAGAGGUAUCUCUGGGCCCUCUCGGUAAUACUCAUCACCUAAGCCUUGCAAGCAUGUAACUAAUGAGUUAGUUAUGAGAUGACGUAUUACGGAACGAGUAAAGAGACUUGCCGGUAACGAGAUUGAACUAGGUAUUGGAUACCGACGAUCAAAUCUCGGGCAAGUAACAUACCGAUGACAAAGGGAACAAUGUAUGUUGUUGUGCGGUUUGACCGAUAAAGAUCUUUGUAGAAUAUGUAGGAACCAAUAUGGGCAUCCAGGUCCCGCUAUUGGUUAUUGACCGGAAACGUGUCUCGGUCAUGUCUACAUUGUUCUCGAACCGUAGGGUCCGCACGCUUAAGGUUUCGAUGACAAUUAUAUUAUGAGUUUAUGUAUUUUGAUGUACUGAAGGUUGUUCGGAGUCCCGGAUGUGAUCACGGACAUGACGAGGAGUCUCGAAAUGGUCGAGACAUAAAGAUUGAUAUAUUGGACGGAUAUAUUUGGACACCGGAAAGGUUCCGGGAGAGUUUGGGAAUAUACCGGAGCUCCGGGAGGUUACCGGAACCCCCCGGUAAGUAUAUGGGCCUUAUUGGGCCCUAGUGGAAGGGAGGAAGAAGGAGCAAGGGAGGGGACGCGCCCCCCCAAGCCCAAUCCGAAUUGGGAGGNNNNNNNNNNNNNNNNNNNNNNNNNNNNNNNNNNNNNNNNNNNNNNNNNNNNNNNNNNNNNNNNNNNNNNNNNNNNNNNNNNNNNNNNNNNNNNNNNNNNNNNNNNNNNNNNNNNNNNNNNNNNNNNNNNNNNNNNNNNNNNNNNNNNNNNNNNNNNNNNNNNNNNNNNNNNNNNNNNNNNNNNNNNNNNNNNNNNNNNNNNNNNNNNNNNNNNNNNNNNNNNNNNNNNNNNNNNNNNNNNNNNNNNNNUCCCCCCUCUUCCUUCCUACUACUACUCCGAAUAGGAAAGGGGGGGGGCAAACCUACUUGGAGUAGGUUUGCCCCCCUAUGGCGCGCCUCCCCCUUGGGCCGGCCACCUCCUCCCUCCCUCCUUUAUAUACGGGGGCAGGGGGGCACCCUAGACACACAAGUUGAUCAUUGAGAUCGUUCCUUAGCCAUGUGCGGUGCCCCCCUCCACGAUAUUACACCUCGGUCAUAUUGUAGCGGUGCUUAGGCGAAGCCCUGUGACAGGAGAACAUCAAGAUCGUCACCACGCCGUCGUGCUGACGGAACUCCCCCCCGCGCCUCUGCUGGAUCGGAGAUCGGGGGUGCGUCAUCGAGCUGUACGUGUGUCAAGAACUCGGAGGUGCCGGAGUAACGGUGCUUGGAUCGGUUGGACCGGGAGGACGUACGACUACUUCCUCUACGUUGCGUCAACGCUUCCGCUUCGCUCUACGAGGGUACGUAGACAACACUCUCCCCUCUCGUUGCUAUGCAUCACCAUGAUCUUGCGUGUGCGUACGAAAUUUUUUGAAAUUACUACGUUCCCCAACAGUGGCAUCCGAGCCUAGGUUUUAUGCGUUGAUGUUAUAUGCACGAGUAGAACACAAGUGAGUUGUGGACGAUACAAAUCAUACUACCUACCAGCAUGUCAUACUUUGGUUCAGCGGUAUUGUGAGAUGAAGCGGCCCGGACCGACAUUACGCAUACGCUUACGCGAGACUGGUUUCACCGUUACGAGCACUCAUGCUUAAAGGUGGCUGGCGGGUGUCUGUCUCUCUCACUUUAGUUGAACCGAGUGUGGCUACGCCCGGUCCUUGUGAAGGUUAAAACGGAGUCUAUUUGACAAACUAUCGUUGUGGUUUUGAUGCGUAGGUAAGAACGGUUCUUGCUAAGCCCGUAGCAGCCACGUAAAAUUUGCAACAACAAAGUAGAGGACGUCUAACUUGUUUUUGCAGGGCAUGUUGUGAUAUGAUAUGGUCAAGACGUGAUGCUAUAUUUUAUUGUAUGAGAUGAUCAUGUUUUGUAACCAAAGUUAUCGGCAACUGGCAGGAGCCAUAUGGUUGUCGCUUUAUUGUAUGAAAUGCAAACGCCCUGUAAUUGCUUUACUUUAUCACUAAGCGGUAGCGAUAGUCGUAGAAGCAAUAGAUGGCGUAAACGACAACGAUGCUACGAUGGAGAUCAAGGUGUCGCGCCGGUGACGAUGGUGAUCAGACGGUGCUUCGGAGAUGGAGAUCACAAGCACAAGAUGAUGAUGGCCAUAUCAUAUCACUUAUAUUGAUUGCAUGUGAUGUUUAUCCUUUAUGCAUCUUAUCUUGCUUUGAUUGACGGUAGCAUUUUAAGAUGAUCUCUCACUAAUUAUCAAGAAGUGUUCUCCCUGAGUAUGCACCGUUGCGAAAGUUCUUCGUGCUGAGACACCACGUGAUGAUCGGGUGUGAUAGGCUCUACGUUCAAAUACAACGGGUGCAAAACAGUUGCACACGCGGAAUACUCAGGUUAUACUUGACGAGCCUAGCAUAUACAGAUAUGGCCUCGGAACACGGAGACCAAAAGGUCGAGCGUGAAUCAUAUAGUAGAUAUGAUCAACAUAGAGAUGUUCACCAUUGAAACUACUCCAUCUCACGUGAUGAUCGGACAUGGUUUAGUUGAUUUGGAUCACGUGAUCACUUAGAUGACUAGAGAGAUGUCUGUCUAAGUGGGAGUUCUUAAGUAAUAUGAUUAAUUGAACUUAAAUUUAUCAUGAACUUAGUACCUGAUAGUAUUUUGCUUGUCUAUGUUUAUUUGUAGAUAGAUGGCUCGUGCUGUUGUUCCGUUGAAUUUUAAUGCAUUCCUUGAGAAAGCAAAGUUGAAAGAUGAUGGUAGCAAUUACACGGAGUGGGUCCGUAACCUGAGGAUUAUCCUCAUUGCUGCACAGAAGAGUUACGUCCUGGAAGCACCGCUGGGUGCCAGGCCUGCUGCUGAUGCAACUGACGACGUUAAGAACGUCUGGUAGAGCAAAGCUGAUGACUACUCUAUAGUUCAGUGUGCCAUGCUUUACGGCUUAGCACCGGGUCUUCAACGACGUUUUGAACGUCAUGGAGCAUAUGAGAUGUUCCAGGAGUUGAAGUUAAUAUUUCAAGCAAAUGCCCGGAUUGAGAGAUAUGAAGUCUCCAAUAAGUUCUACAGCUGCAAGAUGGAGGAGAACAGUUCUGUCAGUGAGCAUAUACUCAAAAUGUCUGGGUAUAAUAAUCAUUUGAUUCAACUGGGAGUUAAUCUUCCGGAUGAUAGUGUCAUUGACAGAAUUCUCCAGUCACCACCACCAAGCUACAAGAGCUUCGUGAUGAACUAUAAUAUGCAAGGGAUGAACAAGACUAUUCCCGAGCUCUUCGCGAUGCUGAAAGCCACGGAGGUAGAAAUCAAGAAGGAGCAUCAAGUGUUGAUGGUCAACAAGACCACUAGUUUCAAGAAGAAGGGCAAAGGGAAGAAGAAGGGGAACUUCAAAAAGAACAGCAAGCAAGUUGCUGCUCAAGAGAAGAAACCCAAGUCUGGACCUAAGCCUGAAACUGAGUGCUUCUAUUGCAAGCAGACUGGACACUGGAAGCGGAACUGCCCCAAGUAUUUGGCGGAUAAGAAGGAUGGCAAAGUGAACAAAGGUAUAUGUGAUAUACAUGUUAUUGAUGUGUACCUUACUAAUGCUCGCAGUAGCACCUGGGUAUUUGAUACUGGUUCUGUUGCUAAUAUUUGCAACUCGAAAAAGGAACUACGGAUUAAGCGAAGAUUAGCUAAGGACGAGGUGACGAUGCGCAUGGGAAAUGGUUCCAAAGUCGAUGUGAUCGCGGUCGGUACGCUACCUCUACAUCUACCAUCGGGAUUAGUUUUGGACCUGAAUAAUUGUUAUUUGGUGCCUGCAUUAAGAAUGAACAUUAUAUCUGGAUCUUGUUUGAUGCGAGACGGUUAUUCAUUUAAAUCAGAGAAUAAUGGUUGUUCUAUUUAUAUGAGUAAUAUCUUUUAUGGUCAUGCACCCUUGAAGAGUGGUCUAUUUUUAUUGAAUCUCGAUAGUAGUGAUACACAUAUUCAUAAUGUUGAAGCCAAAAGAUGCAGAGUUGAUAAUGAUAGUGCAACCUAUUUGGGGCACUGCCGUUUAGGUCAUAUCGGUGUAAAACGCAUGAAGAAACUCCAUACUGAUGGACUUCUGGAAUCACUUGAUUAUGAAUCACUUGGUACUUGCGAACCGUGCCUCAUGGGCAAGAUGACUAAAACACCGUUCUCCGGUACUAUGGAGAGAGCAACAGAUUUGUUGGAAACCAUACAUACAGAUGUGUGUGGUCCAAUGAAUGUUGAGGCUCGUGGCGGAUAUCGUUAUUUUCUCACCUUCACAGAUCAUUUGAGCAUAUAUGGGUAUAUCUACUUAAUGAAACACAAGUCUGAAACAUUUGAAAAGUUCAAAGAAUUUCAGGUGAAGUAGAAAAUCAUCGUAACAAGAAAAUAAAAUUUCUACGAUCUGAUCAUGGAGGAGAAUAUUUGAGUUACGAGUUUGGUCUACACUUGAAACAAUGCGGGAUAGUCUCGCAACUCACGCCACCUGGAACACCACAACGCAAUGGUGUGUCUGAACGUCGUAAUCGUACUUUACUUGAUAUGGUGCGAUCUAUGAUGUCUCUUACCGAUUUACCGCUAUUGUUUUGGGGUUAUGCUUUAGAGACGGCCGCAUUCACGUUAAAUAGGGCACCAUCAAAAUCCGUUGAGACGACGCCUUAUGAACUGUGGUUUGGCAAGAAACCAAAGUUGUCAUUUCUUAAAGUUUGGGGCUGCGAUGCUUAUGUGAAGAAACUUCAACCAGAUAAGCUCGAACCCAAAUCGGAGAAAUGUGUCUUCAUAGGAUACCCAAAGGAGACUAUUGGGUACACCUUCUAUCACAGAUCUGAGGGCAAGAUUUUCAUUGCUAAAUUCGGAUCCUUUCUAGAGAAGGAGUUUCUCUCGAAAGAAGUGAGUGGGAGGAAAGUAGAACUUGAUGAGAUAACUGUAUCUACUCCCUUAUUGGAAGGUAGUUCAUCACAAGAACCGGUUCCUGUGACAACUACACCAAUUAGUGAGGAAGCUAAUGAUAUUGAUCAUGAAACUUCAGAUCAAGUUUCUACUGAACCUCGUAGGUCUACCAGAGUAAGAUCCGCACCAGAGUGGUACGGCAAUCCUAUUCUGGAAGUCAUGUUACUUGACCAUGAUGAACCUACGAACUAUGAGGAAGCGAUGAUGAGCCCAGAUUCCGCAAAAUAGCUAGAGGCCAUGAAAUCUGAGAUGGGAUCCAUGUAUGAAAACAAAGUAUGGACUUUGGUUGACUUGCCCGAUGAUCGGCAAGCAAUUGAGAAUAAAUGGAUCUUUAAGAAGAAGACUGACACUGAUGGUAAUGUUACUAUCUACAGAGCUCGACUUGUUGCAAAAGGUUUUCGACAAGUUCAAGGGGUUGACUACGAUGAGACUUUCUCACCUGUAGCGAUGCUUAAGUCUGUCCGAAUCAUGUUGGCUAUUGCUGCAUUUCAUGAUUAUGAAAUUUGGCAGAUGGAUGUCAAGACUGCAUUCUUGAAUGGAUUUCUAGAAGAAGAGUUGUAUAUGAUGCAGCCGGAAGGUUUUGUUGAUCCAAAAAGUGCUAACAAAGUGUGCAAGCUCCAGCGUUCCAUUUAUGGACUGGUGCAAGCAUCUCAGAGUUGGAAUAAACGCUUUGAUAGUGUGAUCAAAGCAUAUGGUUUUAUACAGACUUUUGGAGAAGCCUGUAUUUACAAGAAAGUGAGUGGGAGCUCUGUAGCAUUUCUAGUUUUAUAUGUUGAUGACAUAUUGUUAAUUGGAAAUGAUAUAGAAUUUCUGGAUAGCAUAAAGGGAUACUUGAAUAAAAGUUUUUCAAUGAAAGACCUCGGUGAAGCUGCUUACAUAUUGGGCAUCAAGAUCUAUAGAGAUAGAUCAAGACGCUUAAUAGGACUUUCACAAAGCACAUACCUUGACAAGAUUUUGAAAAAGUUCAAAAUGGAUCAGGCAAAGAAAGGAUUCUUGCCUGUACUACAAGGUGUGAAGUUGAGUCAAACUCAAUGCCCGACCACAGCAGAAGAUAGAGAGAAAAUGAAAAAUGUUCCCUAUGCUUCAGCCAUAGGCUCUAUCAUGUAUGCGAUGCUGUGUACCAGACCUGACGUAUGCUUAGCAAUAAGCUUGGCAGGAAGGUACCAAAGUAAUCCAGGAGUGGAUCACUGGACAGCGGUCAAGAACAUCCUGAAAUACCUGAAAAGGACUAAGGAUAUGUUUCUCGUAUAUGGAGGUGACAAAGAGCUAGUCGUAAAUGGUUACGUCGAUGCAAGCUUUGACACUGAUCCGGAUGAUUCUAAAUCGCAAACCGGAUACGUGUUUAUAUUAAACGGUGGAGCUGUAAGUUGGUGCAGUUCUAAACAAAGCAUCGUGCCGGGAUCUACAUGUGAAGCGGAGUACAUAGCUGCUUCUGAAGCAGCAAAUGAAGGAGUCUGGAUGAAGGAGUUCAUUUCCGAUCUAGGUGUCAUACCUAGUGCAUCGGGACCAAUGAAGAUCUUCUGUGAUAAUACUGGUGCAAUUGCCUUGGCAAAGGAAUCCAGAUUUCACAAGAGGACCAAGCACAUCAAGAGACGCUUAAAUUCCAUUCGGGACCAAGUCCAAGUGGGAGACAUAGAGAUUUGCAAGAUACAUACGGAUCUGAAUGUUGCAGACCCGUUGACUAAGCCUCUCUCACGAGCAAAACAUGAUCAGCACCAAGACUCCAUGGGUGUUAGAAUCAUUACUAUGUAAUCUAGAUUAUUGACUCUAGUGCAAGUGGGAGACUGAAGGAAAUAUGCCCUAGAGGCAAUAAUAAAGUUAUUAUUUAUUUUCUCAUAUCAUGAUAAAUGUUUAUUAUUCAUGCUAGAAUUGUAUUAUCCAGAAACAUGAUACAUGUGUGAAUACAUAGACAAACAUAUAGUCACUAGUAUGCCUCUACUUGACUAGCUCAUUAAUCAAAGAUGGUUAUGUUUCCUAACCAUAGACAUGUGUUGUCAUUUGAUUAGUGGGAUCACAUCAUUAGGAGAAUGAUGUGAUUGACAUGACCCAUCCCGUUAUCUUAGCACUUGAUCGUUUAGUAUUCUGUUGUUGCUUUCUUCAUGACUUAUACAUGUUCCUAUAACUAUGAGAAUUAUGCAACUCCCGUUUACCGGAGGUACACUUUGUGUGCUACCAAACGUCACAACAUAACUGGGUGAUUAUAAAGGAGUACUACAGGUGUCUCCGAAGGUACAUGUUGGGUUGGCAUAAUUCGAGAUUAGGAUUUGUCACUCCGAUUGUCGGAGAGGUAUCUCUAGGCCCUCUCGGUAAUACUCAUCACCUAAGCCUUGCAAGCAUGUAACUAAUGAGUUAGUUAUGAGAUGACGUAUUACGGAACGAGUAAAGAGACUUGCCGGUAACGAGAUUGAACUAGGUAUUGGAUACCGAUGAUCAAAUCUCGGGCAAGUAACAUACCGAUGACAAAGGGAACAACGUAUGUUGUUGUGCGGUUUGACCGAUAAAGAUCUUCGUAGAAUAUCUAGGAACCAAUAUGGGCAUCCAGGUCCCGCUAUUGGUUAUUGACCGGAAACGUGUCUCGGUCAUGUCUACAUUGUUCUCGAACCGCAGGGUCCGCACGCUUAAGGUUUCGAUGACAAUUAUAUUAUGAGUUUAUGUAUUUUGAUGUACCGAAGGUUGUUCGGAGUCCCGGAUGUGAUCACGGACAUGACGAGGAGUCUCGAAAUGGUCGAGACAUAAAGAUUGAUAUAUUGGAUGGAUAUAUUUGGACACCGGAAAGGUUCUGGGAGAGUUUGGGAAUAUACCGGAGCUCCGGGAGGUUACCGGAACCCCCGGUAAGUAUAUCGGCCUUAUUGGGCCCUAGUGGAAGGGAGGAAGAAGGAGCAAGGGAGGGGGCGCCCCCCCCNNNNNNNNNNNNNNNNNNNNNNNNNNNNNNNNNNNNNNNNNNNNNNNNNNNNNNNNNNNNNNNNNNNNNNNNNNNNNNNNNNNNNNNNNNNNNNNNNNNNNNNNNNNNNNNNNNNNNNNNNNNNNNNNNNNNNNNNNNNNNNNNNNNNNNNNNNNNNNNNNNNNNNNNNNNNNNNNNNNNNNNNNNNNNNNNNNNNNNNNNNNNNNNNNNNNNNNNNNNNNNNNNNNNNNNNNNNNNNNCUCCCCCCUCUUCCUUCCUACUACUACUCCGAAUAGGAAAGGGGGGGGGGGCAAACCUACUUGGAGUAGGUUUGCCCCCCUAUGGCGCGCCUCCCCCUUGGGCCGGCCACCUCCUCCCUCCCUCCUUUAUAUACGGGGGCAGGGGGGCACCCUAGACACACAAGUUGAUCAUUGAGAUCGUUCCUUAGCCGUGUGUGGUGCCCCCCUCCACGAUAUUACACCUCGGUCAUAUUGUAGCGGUGCUUAGGCGAAGCCCUGCGACAGGAGAACAUCAAGAUCGUCACCACGCCGUCGUGCUGACGGAACUCCCCCCCGCGCCUCUGCUGGAUCGGAGAUCGGGGGUGCGUCAUCGAGUUGUACGUGUGUCAAGAACUCGGAGGUGCCGGAGUAACGGUGCUUGGAUCGGUUGGACCGGGAGGACGUACGACUACUUCCUCUACGUUGCGUCAACGCUUCCGCUUCGGUCUACGAGGGUACGUAGACAACACUCUCCCCUCUCGUUGCUAUGCAUCACCAUGAUCUUGCGUGUGCGUAGGAAAUUUUUUGAAAUUACUACGUUCCCCAACAAGAGCGACAAGUAAUAACAUAUCUCAAGCAUAGAUUCCAGGCAUACCAACGCAACAUAAUAAAUUGAUCCUAUAAUAGUGUCCCUUUUUGUGUCGAGCGAUAAUCCCUAAAGUAUUCACGUUGAUCCAACGUGUCUCCCAUUAUAAAGUUGAAUGGGGUUUUCUCAGGAUUAUCAAAGUAGUACAUAAUAUCUUUCGCAUAAUGAGAAUCGAGGGUUUUAGGAGUUACCCCAUCUCCAUGAGUAGCAAGUACACCUAAUAUUUUUCGUAUUUUGCGUUCCAUAUCCAUAACUAAAGAUAGAGAACAACCUAGAACAGCAAAUAAAAAUUACUUAGUGAUAAAGCAAACAAGCACACACGAGAAUAUUCACCCCACGCUAUGACUCCCCAGCAACGGCGCCAGAAAAAGGUCUUGAUAACCCGCAAGUAUAUGGGAUAGUUGUAGCCUCUUUCGAUAAGUAAGAGUGUCGAACCCAACGAGGAGCUAAAGGUAGAACAAAUACUCUCUCAAGUCCUAUCGGCCACUGAUACGACUCUACGCACGCUUGACGUUCGCUUUGUAGGUGUGAUAGGAUAGGUUUGCAACAUAAUAAAGAACACGUAAAUAAAAGCUAGGGGUUGUUUAGAUAAAGAAGCAAUAAAGUAAAUAUAGCGAGUGUGGAAAAGUGGUGGUAGGGGUUGUCAAAUUGUCCCUAAGCAAUUGACGACGUUACUAGACCGGUAAUCACUAUUGCAAUUCUACUUGAGGGAGAGGCAUAAGCUAACAUACUUUCUCUACUUGGAUCAUAUGCACUUAUGAUUGGAACUCUAGCAAGCAUCCUCAACUACUAAAUAUUCAUUAAGGUAAAACCCAACCAUAGCAUUAAAGCAUCAAGUCCCCUUUAUACCAUACGCAACAAUCCCCUUACUCGGAUUUGUGUUUCAGUCACUCACGCACCGCACUAUAAGCGAAUCAUGAACGCAUUGCAACACCCUACCGAGGGAAUCCCUCACAUUUGCGUAACACGGAGGGCACAAUAGGACAGCACCAAUAAUAAAACAUGCAACUCAAACCAAUCAUAGCAAUUCAUGAAUCACCGAUAGGACAACGAAAAUCUACUCAGACAUCAUAGGAUGGCAACACAUCAUUGGAAAAUAAUAUGAAGCAUAAAGCACCAUGUUCAAGUAGAGGGUACAACGGGUUGUGGGAGAAUGGACCGCUGCAUAUAGAUGAGGGAAGGUGAUGGAAAUGUUGGUGAAGAUGAUGGAGGUGUUGGUGAAGAUCGCGGUGAUGAUGAUGGCCCCGGCAGUGUUCCGGCGCCACCGGAAGCAAGGGGGAGAGAGCCCCCCUUCUUCUUCUUCUUCCUUGACCUCCUCCCUAGAUGGGAGAAGGGUUUCCCCUCUGGUCCUUGGUUCCCAUGGCGUGGGAGGGGCGAGAGCCCCUCUGAGAUUGGAUCUAUCUCUCUGUUUCUGCGUUCCCAGAUUCUACCCCUUCACCGUUUCUUAAAUAUCCGAAGAUCCGUAACUCCAAUUGGGGUGAAUCUUUCGCCCAAAUCUGUGGGGCCCCGACACAUAAGUCGAGAUCACCGAAUGCACGUGUACAGUGAUCCCAGAGAUCAACGCUCAUUGAACACACAGAAGCUGAAUAACAAGAGUCUGACAUCCAUACAUAUCGUGUUACACAAAUUAUGAACAUUAUGGUCAAGUCUUACAUUGAUAAAGCCUUAAGGGCUGAACAUCAAAUGAAACACAAGCAGCGGAAAUAUUCGUCGAUAAGUAGAACCCAUGCCAUCUGCCUUAACCCUACAGGCAUUCUGACUGGGAAACGUCCUAGUUCGCAUGUUUGUCUCCAAAGAACUCUUCUUCGAACUCCGGUUCUUCCAUGCCUGGUCAAUUAAAUAACCAGUGGCAAGCCAAUGAGUACUUUGAAUGUACUCGCAAACAACCCAUGUUUUUGGUUCAAGAUACAACAAUGCAUGAUAUAGGUAAAUUUUUGCAGAAAGCUAGUUUUGAGUGCAAUGACAUGUUCAACAACUUGUAAGACAUGCAUCAAGAGAAUUCAAGUAACCAUGAGGACAGGUUACAGAUAUCAACAUAAAUAGAGUGGGCACCAACCCAUCUCAAUCACGUCAAGUCCUUUGACUUGACACGUAGUUAUCCAAACACACACUGGUUUGUAAACUCUGGACAUAGUUUAAGCAGCACCGCCCAACUGUCCUUGACCGUGGAUAUGGCUAUUCGAAUAGUUUUACACUCUGUAGAGGUUGCACACUUUACCCACAAGAUCCGAGAAACUUCCGUGUCAUCCACGACCCGCGAUACCUCAAGUACCCGGGGUAUGCAACCGAUCACUAUCUUUCCCUAGACGACACUAACAAGGAGUCCACUCGUUGUUCCGUAUCCUCACGAUGUACAUCAUACGAGACUCACUCGAGAUCGUAACAUCCGAGAGGGGACACAAUGGUGUAUCCGGUGCCCUGUGAAAACAGUCAUGGCCGCCCCACCUGGCACGACCCUGUCCCGAGAAAGAGCACCAACUCUCCCCCGUCACUAGUAAUGCAGUCCCCAAGCUAGUAUCGGCCUAGAUAAUCAACAAUGCCCUUUCCCAUACAAGGGUAGAGUGGUUGCGCAUGUAAGGUUGGGACAGUCGACAAAUCUUAAAUCUAAUCCGUUUUCGAAAACAACACACACUUGCAUCUGUACACCACUUCGUCAUCAAGUUGUUACCCAUCUCAUCAUCUCCCUCGGGCAUAAGUGGCACCCGACGGGGUUUUCGAAAAGUCUUUUGAAAAUACUUUGUCUCCUUCACCAUGCAUAUACCCGUCCCUUUUUGCGUAGCAUCUACUUUAGCAUCCUAUCUACUCCCACCGGCAUAACCCUCAUAAGAAGGUAGGGUCAUGCAUAAUGCAAGUAUCAACGAGGAAGUAACGGUGGCAAACCACCCUAUGUGGUUAUCACAGUAUCAUGUCUCCGAUGCAAGCAAUAAAAGUGCUAUAUGACAAUGCAUAAAAAGGGUUUCAUAGACAUGGUCAAAGGGCUGCUUGCCUUGGUCUUCAAGUUCUUCAAAUCCUUCUCCUUCUUCUUUUUCAGCAACUUCAUCUAAUACGGGAUCUAAUCGUCGCAAGAAAAUAACAGGAAAAUAAGGCAAUAGUAAAAUAGAAAAACCAAAGUGCUCAGAACAAUGUCAACUUAUUUUUGUUAAAUACUAGGGUGAAAACUAAGAAGGGGAAAAUUCCUAGUUUUGGAUUUGGAGUAUCAUAAUAGAAGAAAUGGAUUUUCAAAGGGGUUUAAAUAUAUUCAAAUUUGAAUUUGAAUAUGAACAGUACAUAAAAGUUGGUUGGUCAUGAAUGAAAGUUAUACCAUUAAAUAGGUGGGAUUUUUAGAAAAAUAUGGGAGUUGGAAUUAUGGCAUUUGGAUGAAUAUUUAAUCCUCUGGAAUAUUUGCAAGUUUGACAGAAAAGAAAAAGGAAAAGGAGCACUGUGCCUGCUGGGCCAGAACAGCCGCAGCGCAGCAGCCCAGCCAGAGAGGCGGCCCAGUGCACUGGUGCACGCGCGCGUGCCAGGUUUAAACCUGACGGGCGGGGCCCAGGCUUCAGCGAGAGAGAGAGGGGCGAUGGAGGGGAGAGGCUGACAGGCGGGGCCCGCCUGUCAUCCCUAACCCUGCGACAGAGGGUCGGCGAGCUCACCGGCGACGUCUUCGGGCAAGGCAGGGUGAGCUGAUGGCACCGUUGGACUCCUCAUCGUGUCGCCGUUCGGGUGGUGCCGGAGUUGGCUGGAGGGAAGCAGUGGUUCACCGGCGACGAGGUUCACGGCGGAGGAGCAUCGGGCAUUGAUGGCUCCGGCUGUUUCCGACUGCAAAACGAGAGGGAAAGAGGGGGGAUUGAUCGGUGAGCUAUGGGCGUUCCAGAGAAGCAAUAAAGAGGGCCGGGGUGGCCCGUACCGUGAGAUCGACGGUGACCCGAAGCGGCGGAGCUCGAGCUCGAGCUUGAGCUCGGGCGCUUCUGGAGAUGAACUGGGGUGCGAGGGGGCCUAGUUGGAGUGGGAUAGGACAAGUGGUGGUGAGGGAGAGGUUCGGGGAGGCCUUUAAGUAGGCAAGCCACGACUCACCGUAGACCCGUGUGCCGGCGAGGUCAUUGCCGUUGCUGUGGGUCACGGGGGCGCGCGUGGGCAUGUCUGGGGUGCUCGUGGGUUCGGUCCAGAGCGAGGGAAGGAAGAGAGAGGAAACAGGAGGGGCCAGAGGCACCGCACGUGUGAGGCUGCUCAUUGGAGCUCUCGGGCGGCCGGUGCGCGUGCGAGCAAGGGCAGAAGGAGGGAGAAGGAGGAGGGGGACAGAGGCGUGGCGUGCUGAGGACGUCGAGGAGCAUCGGCGGGCGUGAGGGGGAGAGCCGAGGUGGCCGGAGGUAGUUGGCAGGGGGCGGCUACAGUGCUAGAGCGCACUGUAGCGCGCUCCAGAGUGUGCAAAUGGCAUGCCAUGGCAUUUUAUAUGCCUUGUGGGCGCGGCCACUAAUGUUUGGUAGCUCUUGGAGAGAGUAAAGAAGAGGGGAGGGGCAUUGGAUGCCCUGGUGAGCCAGUAGGAGAGGAGUGGGGUUGAGAGAGAGGGAAAGGGGCUGUCCAGAGGGGUAAAUGAGGAUGUUUCACACUUCAAUCAUUGAGUUGAGACCAGAGAAGAGUUACUGGAGGUAGAAGAGGUCUAGGUGGGGCUGUGGUAAAAAGUUGAGGCCAUGGAGAAGAGUGGAAGUGGUCAAUACAGGGGUUUUAGUAAAAUGGCAGAAUGUGUUUGUUGCUAGUUUGGGCAAGAAGAUGAACUCCUCUUGACAUGAGGCUUGACAGGGUCAGAUGGCAUGAGAAUAGGUUCCACCAAGGUUGAGUCCAUUUGGGCAAAGUUGCCAAUGCAACUUUUGCAAACCCUAGAAAUUAGCAGAAAUGAACUUUCCAAGAUUUGGUCAUGCAAAUCUGUUCUCCUUGAUGCACCACUUGGUGUAGUGUCAUCAUUUGAGGUUAUGAACAUGUCCACAAAAGUUGAGAUCAAAAGGAGAAAGUUUCCAAUGUAGAGUUGUUCAAAUUUGGUUCUGGACAUGAAGGGUUUUGGGGCACUUUGAUCAAUAUAACAUUUUCUCCAACUUGUGCCAUUUGAUAUAGAUGAAUGAUUAGACCAUUUGAGCAUGUUCACAAGGUUUGAGAACAUUUGGACAUGUUUGGCAAUGUAAAGUUGCUCAAACUUCAAAAUGGACAGAAAUGGUUUUGAGGGGAUUUAAUGGGGUUAUACUAUUCUCCAUGACAUGAUACUUGUCAAGAUCAUCAAACAUGUCAUAUGUGACAUGAUAGAAUUUUCUUGGAAUUUUUGGAGAAUAUUUCCUUUGUAAAUAUUUCAAAAGCUUGAAAUAUCCAGAAAGUGUUUUUGAGGGAUUUGACCAAUAUUUUGAACAUGACCAUGUGUUUAAACUCUUAUAUAUGGACAAUAUAUGUCCACUGAGUUUCCCUGAUUUUUGUCAAAUAUUUUUAAAACAAUAAAAUAAUUUUUCCCUAUUAAAGACCAUUUCCAGCCUUAAGAAAAAGCUUUUAAAUAAAAUAGGAAAAUAACCUUUAAAAUUAUAUUUUUGUGGUUUCUGGGUAUCCUAUAUCUAAUAGGAGUCAAAUAUAUUUUUGGAAAGAUUUUUACUGCCCUUAAUUAAGUACUUGCAGUGCAAACCUCAACUCAGGGGUUUUUGAAAAACUAAUUUUUGAAAAUACUAUUUGGCCAAAUUAUUUUUGUAAGAAAAUACUAUGUUUCUCUAUACAUAUGGCAUGAUCAUUGGGCAAAAGUUUGGGGCAAGGAGAUGAAGUAUAGAAGGUGGAGUUGUGUUGACUUUAAAGAGCACUUGAAAAACACAGAGAGAAAACCAACUCAAAAUAAAAAGUCAAAUAAUGCAAAAGUUUUUGUCAAACCACAUUUUAUCAUGAUUUAUCAUCUUAAGUGUUGUGCCAAGAAAAUCAGGGUGUGACAGACCUACCCCCCUUACAAGAAUCUCGUCCCCGAGAUUCCCAAACUAGGCGCGGAAAGGGAUACAGAAACUUGGAUCUGGGGUAGUCUUCAAGUCCUCAUGUUGCUUCUUCUUCCGUGUAGUGCUCCAUUGAGCUUGAAGUACUUGAUGAUGUGGCUUCAUGUAUGACGCUCUUCUUGAUCCAGGUUGCUAAUGGGUAGCUCGCGGUAGGUUAGAUUGGGCUAGGGGUCGAUGGCUCGGUGGUCAAUGCCCUCGUAGAGAUCGGGCAAGUUAGGAAGUUGGAAACACUUCCGGGGUUGUGAUGCAUGGAAAGCAUUGUGCACAUCAGGUAACUCAGGUGGCAACUCCAGUUGGCAACUGUCUUCUCUUCGUCUCGUAAUGAUCUUGAAGAGGGCCGACGAAUCUUGGUGUGGGUCUCCUUGUCAUGGAAAUGCUUGGUUCCUUAGAGAGGAGUGGCUUGCAGAUACACAUGGUCUGUGACGCGGAAGUAUACUUCUUGAAGAUGGUGGUUGUUCUUCCUCCUUGGCAUGGCGGUCUUCAAAUGUUCCUGGACUAGCUGAACGGCUCUUCUUCCGUCUUUGGGUGGACAAGUAGGUCACCAAAUGAUGAUGACAACUAUCUUGUCUAAGCACUCCAUGAAGACUUGUUCACGGGGUACAUAAAGUAGGCUGGGGAAUUAGUGGUGGUCUUUGUUGAGUGUGGGCCAAGGUGGUUCUAGAUCUAGUGUCAAGGCCCUAAGGUCCUGAUCCGACCAUGUUGUAGCUUGGUAGGGCUUAAGGGUUUCAAGGAUUCUAGUGUGCGAGUGAAUGUUUAUCAUCUUAUCUUUAAGCACGGUUUCUGAGAUGCCAAUAGUCCAUCUAGUCCUUUAAUCAAAUCACAUCAUAUCACUGAUAGCAUCAUUUUGCAUAGGUCAACUCCAAUCAUCACUGAUGUGAUUCAUAUCCUCAUGGCUCCCGAGAGGAGGUCUAACAAAAUCAUAUAUGUCUACAAUCCCCAAACUCAUAUGUAUGUCUACCCCUAAAAAUCCAUGGGUAGAACAUAUAAGUUGCUGAGCUUGAUCGUGACAAUCCAAGUGCUCAGCCUAUACUUCCAAGGUCUAGGAUAAAUCACCUCUAUCCUAAGGAAACACGUCGUAUGCCACUCCAAAAUCUUGUUUCCUUCCUAUGAAUCAACUCCAACAACCCAUUAACUUCCAUUAAUCACUACAUAAUCCAUUAAUUCUACAAAUCCAACGCCUAUGCUGGUGUUCCACAUGAUCUCCUAAAGUUCUUAUAAUCCCAAUACUUGAAACGGGUGCCUUACUAUAGUCAGUCCACCAAUUCCCGUUAUUGUGAUCUAGUAAUACUCCAAGGUCAAGCUCACAAAGAUGCCUAAAUAAACUCCGACAAUUAGUCCAAUCUCCUAGUUUAUCGUCCACCGAGAAACAUGGUAUCAUGAUCGAGAUCAUCAGUCUAAAUCCAAUUUACUCCGAACCAUGUAAACAUACUCAGCAUCUAUUUUCAACUAGAAUCACCUACUUAAAUCCAAAUCUCUUGUCCAACGAGAAUCCCUACAUGUUUCCCCCAAGUCAUUUAUGUAAUAUCAACUGUCUCCUAUCAAUAUCCCAUGGCUAAGUUAAAUCCAAAUACUUCCAAGAAUUCCAACUUGCGAACACAAUUAUCCUGCUAAAUCCAAUUUACUCAGGGGUAAUGAAGCUAUGCUAAUCUAUACUCAUGAUCCCACCAAGUUCAUCUACCAACAUCAAAGCCUCAUAAUCCAGCAAAUAGUCUCAUAUAAUUCCUCAAGUCAUUGAUAUAAACUCAUCAAGUCAUUUGUCCUCUGUUCUUAUAUCCUCGAAUUGGUCUUCCCUAUGGCAUCGUCAGUUUUGGUGCUAUCUUAGGAUGAUAAUGUGCUCGUUCACUAUGCCCACUAGUUCCAUAAUGAACCCAGUGAUAAGUAAGGUUACGAAGGCUUAACAGGUUCUCUUGCAAUUUUGUGGGUUAAGCACAUGGUUAAGGAUUCGAGCUGGGGUAUCUUAUGAAGUCUCGAAGGGUCUAGGGAUGGGGUUCCAGUCAUGAGGGAUAAACAUAACUCUACGGGGAUGUACUUGGUCGAAGAGGCGGCAGCAAAAGUCUUCAGUGCUAGUUGGUCGCCGAAGUAGAAUCCUUGGUGCACCUUGUCUUGCCGGUCUUCAGUUGAGGAGAGAGGGAUGAGAGGGAAAAGUAGUAUAGAUGGGGAUGCCUAAAGGGGGUUCUAUAGUGCAAGUGCAAACAAACAAGUGCCAAAAGACCACACACAAUUUCAUUAAGAUAAGAUAGGUGAUAUAGUUGCAUACAUGCUGCCUAAGGCAAGAGUGCAACUUAUAUCAAAACACAAACGGAUAAGAACAAGCAACACUCAACAUGGUUUCAUUUGAACCAUCAUAUGGACUCGACUGCACAUAGGGGGUACACGACUCAUCCUACCCUAGGGGUCCUUGGAUUCAGUAGUCAUGCUUGCUUCAUCACUUUGGGAGAAAGGCGUUCGGUCUUCAGCUUCUAGGUUCUCCUGGGUGCCAAUGGGCAUGCGACAGUCGGCUGCUUGUUGGGACACAUCCUAUUUAUAUGCCCGAGUUCACCACACCCGUGACAUGUGACGGAAGCAAAAGGGUUGCUAUUCAGUCUUGGGUAUUGUCGUCGGGGGCCUGACGGUGAUCCUCUAUGAGGUGGGUAUGGAAAUCCAUUCCUAUGCCUUUUGCGUGGGGUUUGGUUGCGAGCUUUCUGAAGUUCCUUGAUUUGCUGCUCCUGAUUAAAAAUGUGGGCUUCUAGGGCAGUGAUUUGCUGUUCUUGCUCGACCACCUUCUUCUUCUCGAGGCAGUGGAGGUGCAGAAGUGAAGGGAGAUCUUGGCGAGCCUUGAGAAAUGCUUCGGUAAGGUGGCGUAGAAGGUAGUCUCCUGCGUUGACAAAACGGAUCUGGUAAUUGAGGGUUGGAUCCUCGUCUUCUGGGGAAAUCAUCACUUGAGUCGGAGCUCCAAAUCCGCUCUUGCCAGGUAGAUAGCAGGUGGCAUGUUCUUCUUUCAUUUCUGGAAGGAGGUCUCGAAGACGGAGGAGUGCUUCAUAUGCCACUUGCUGAAUAGCUAGGUCUCUUGUUGGCAUAGGUGGUCCAACGAAGAACCACCCCUGAGGUGAGGUCUUGGCAGGCACAGAAACCUUGGCAUAGAACUCCUUCUCGAACACAUCAUUUUCCAGUUCGUGCAGGGUGUAUAUGGGCAGCAAGGGAUAGUGGCAUUGUUGGAGGCAAUCUCUUAGGAGGGAUGGAAAUCCUGUCGUAAGGAGUCUCAAGGGGGCGACGGCCAUCUACAAAGGUUGAAUGGGAGAGGUCAAAUAAGGGAAAUAUAUUUUGGGUCGGGUAAGCUUUAGAAAAGAAGAGAAGUUUAGAGGGUCUCAAGCUAACUAACGUCCAUGCUAACUAAGGCUUCCUACAGUCAGGAUGGCUCUGAUACCAGCUCUGUGGGGACCCUGACUCAUAAGUCGAGAUCACCGAAUGCACGUGUACAGUGAUCCCACAGAUCAAUGCUCACUGAACACACAGAAGCUGAAUAACAAGAGUCUGACAUCCAUACAUACUGUCUUACACAAAUUAUGACCAUUAUGGUCAAGUCUUACAUUGAUAAAGCCUUAAGGGCUGAACAUCAAAUGAAACACAAGCAGUGGAAAUCUUCGUCGAUAAGUAGAACCCAUGCCAUCUGCCUUAACCCUACAGGCAUUCUGACUGGGAAACGUCCUAGUUCGCAAGUUUGUCUCCAAAGAACUCUUCUUCGAACUCCGGUUCUUCAAUGCCUGGUCAAUUAAAUAACCAGUGGCAAGCCAAUGAGUACUUUGAAUGUACUCGCAAACAACCCAUGUUUUUGGUUCAAGAUACAACAAUGCAUGAUAUAGGUAAAUUUUUGCAGAAAGCUAGUUUUGAGUGCAAUGACAUGUUCAACAACUUGUAAGACAUGCAUCAAGAGAAUUCAAGUAACCAUGAGGACAGGUUACAGAUGUCAACAUAAAUAGAGUGGGCACCAACCCAUCUCAAUCACGUCAAGUCCUUUGACUUGACCCACAUAGUUAUCCAAACACACACACUGGUUUGUAAACUCUGGACAUAGUUUAAGCAGCACCGCCCAACUAUCCUUGACCGUGGACACGGCUAUUCGAAUAGUUUUACACUCUGCAGAGGUUGCACACUUUACCCACAAGAUCCGGGGAACAUCUGUGUCAUCCACGACCCGCGAUACAUCAAGUACCCGGGGUAAGCACCCGAUCACUAUCUUUCCCUAGACGACACUAACAAGGAGUCCACUCGUUGUUCCGUAUCCUCACGAUGUACAUCAUAGGAGACUCACUUGAGAUUGUAACAUCUGAGAGGGGACACAAUGGUGUAUCCGGUGCCCUGUGAAAACAGACAUGGCCGCCCCACCUGGCACGACCCCGUCCCGAGAGAGAGCACCAACUCUCCCCCGUCACUAGUAAUGCGGGCCCCAAGCUAGUAUCGGCCUAGAUAAUCAACAAUGCCCUUUCCCAUACAAGGUAGAGUGGUUGCGCAUGUAAGGUUGGGACAGUUGACAAAUCUUAAAUCUAAUCCGUUUUCGAAAACAACACACAGUUGCCUCGGUACACCACUUCGUCAUCAAGUGGUUACCCAUCUCAUCAUCUCCCUCGGGCAUAAGUGGCACCCGAUGGGGUUUUCAAAAAGUCUUUUGAAAAUACUUUGUCUCCUUCACCAUGCAUAUACCCGUCCCUUUUUGCGUAGCAUCUACUUUAGCAUCCUAUCUACUCCCACCGGCAUAACCCUCAUAAGAAGGUAGGGUCAUGCAUAAUGCAAGUAUCAACGAGGAAGUAACGGUGGCAAACCACCCCAUGUGGUUAUCACAGUAUCAUGUCUCCGAUGCAAGCAAUAAAAGUGCUAUAUGACAAUGCAUAAAAAGGGUUUCAUAGACAUGGUCAAAGGGUUACUUGCCUUGAUCUUCAAGUUCUUCAAAUCCUUCUCCUUCUUCUUCUUCAGCAACUUCGUCUAAUACGGGAUCUAAUCGUCGUAAGAAAAUAACGAGAAAAUAAGGCAAUAGUAAAACAGAAAAACCAAAGUGCUCAGAACAAUGUCAACUUAUUUUUGUUAAAUACUAGGGUGAAAACUAAGAAGGGGAAAUUCCUAGUUUUGGAUUUGGAGUAUCAUAAUAGAAGAAAUGGAUUUUCAAAGGGGUUUAAAUAUAUUCAAAUUUGAAUUUGAAUAUGAACAGUACAUAAAAGUUGGUUGGUCAUGAAUGAAAGUUAUACCAUUAAAUAGGUGGGAUUUUUAGAAAAAUAUGGGAGUUGGAAUUAUGGCAUUUGGAUGAAUAUUUAAUCCUCUGGAAUAUUUGCAAGUUUGACAGAAAAGAAAAAGGAAAAGGAGCACUGUGCCUGCUGGGCCAGAACAGCCGCAGCGCAGCAGGCCCAGCCAGAGAGGCGGCCCAGUGCACGCGCGCGCGCCAGGUUUAAACCUGACGGGCGGGGCCCAGGCGUCAGCGAGAGAGAGGGCGCGAUGGAGGGGAGAGGCUGACAGGCGGGGCCCGCCUGUCAUCCCUAACCCUGUGACAGAGGGCCGGCGAGCUCACCGGCGACGUCUCCGGGCACGGCAGGGUGAGCUGAUGGCACCGUUGGACUCCUCGUCGUGUCGCCGUUCGGGUGGUGCCGGAGUUGGCCGGAGGGAAGCAGUGGUUCGCCGGCCACGAGGUUUGUUGCGGAGGAGCGUCGGGCGUUGAUGGCUCCGGCUGUUUCUGACUGCAAAACGAGAGGGAAAGAGGGGGGAUCGAUCGGUGAGCUAUGGGCGUUCCAGAGAAGCAAUAAAGAGGGCCGGGGGUGGCCCGUACCGUGAGAUCGACGGCGACCCGAGGUGGCGGAGCUCGAGCUCGAUCUCGAGCUUGGGCGCUUCUGGAGAUGAACUGGGGUGCGAGGGGGCCUAAUUGGAGUGGGAUAGGACGAGUGGUGGUGAGGGAGAGGUUCGGGGAGGCCUUUAAGUAGGCGAGCCACGGCUCACCGUAGACCCGUGCGCCGGCGAGGUCAUUGCCGUUGCUGUGGGUCACGGGGGCGCGCGUGGGCAUGUCUGGGGUGCUCGUGGGUUCGGUCCAGAGCGAGGGAAGAAAGAGAGAGGGAGCAGGAGGGGCCAGAGGCACCGCGCGUGUGAGGCUGCUCAUUGGAGCUCUCAGGCGGCCAGUGCGCGUGCGAGCAAGGGCAGAAGGAGGGAGAAGGAGGAGGGGGACAGAGGCGUGGCGUGCUGAGGAUGUCGAGGAGCAUCGGCGGGCGUGAGGGGAGAGCCGAGGUGGCCGGAGGUGGUUGGCAGGGAGCGGCUACAGUGCUAGAGCGCACUGUAGCACGCUCCAGAGCAUGCAAAUGGUAUGCCACGGCAUUUUAUAUGCCUUGUGAGCGCAGCCACUAAUGUCUGGGAGCUCUUGGAGAGAGUAAAUAAGAGGGGAGGGGCAUUGGAUGCCCUGGUGAGCCAGUAGGAGAGGAGUGGGGUUGAGAGAGAGAGGGAAAGGGGCUGUCCAGAGGGGUAAAUGAGGAUGUUUCACACUUCAAUCAUUGAGUUGAGACCAAGGAGGAGUUACUGGAGGUAGAAGAGGUCUAGGUGGGGCUGUGGUAAAAAGGUUGAGGCCAUGGAGAAGAGUGGAAGUGGUCAAAACAGGGGUUUUAGUAAAAUGGCAGAAGGUGUUUGUUGCUGGUUUGGGCAAGAAGAUGAACUCCUCUUGUCAUGAGGAUUGACAGGGUCAAAUGGCAUGAGAUAAUAAUAGGUUCCACCAAGGUUGAGUCCAUUUGGGCAAAGUUGCCAAUGCAACUUUUGCAAACCCUAGAAAUUAGCAGAAAUGAACUUUCCACGAUUUAGUCAUGCAAAUCUGUUCUUCUUGAUGCACCACUUGGUGUAGUGUCAUCAUUUGAGGUUAUGAACAUGUCCACAAAAGUUGAGAUCAAAAGGAGAAAGUUUCCAAUGUAGAGUUGUUCAAAUUUGGUUCUGCACAUGAAGGGUUUUGGGGCACUUUGAUCAAUAUAACAUUUUCUCCAACUUGUGCCAUUUGGUCUAGAUAAAUAAUUAGACCAUUUGAGCAUGUUCACAAGGUUUGAGAACAUUUGGACAUGUUUGGCAAUAUAAAGUUGCUCAAACUUCAAAAUGGACAGAAAUGGUUUUGAGGGGAUUUCAUGGGGUUAUACUAUUCUCCAUGACAUGAUACUUGUCAAGAUCAUCAAACAUGUCAUAUGUGACAUGAUAGAAUUUUCUUGGAGUUUUUGGAGAAUAUUUCCUUUGUAAAUAUUUCAAAAGCCUGAAAUAUCCAGAAAGGGUUUUUGAGGGAUUUGACCAAUAUUUUGAACAUGACCAUGUGUUUAAACUCUUAUAUAUGGACAAUAUAUGUCCACUGAGUUUCCCUGAUUUUUUUCAAAUAUUUUUAAAACAAUAAAAUAUUUUUUCCCUAUUAAAGACCAUUUCUGGCCUUAAGAAAAAGCUUUUAAAUAAAAUAGGAAAAUAACCUUUAAAAUUAUAUUUUUGUGGUUUCUGGGUAUCCUAUAUCUAAUAGGAGUCAAAUAUAUUUUUGGAAAGAUUUUUACUGCCCUUAAUUAAGUACUUGCAGUGCAAACCUCAACUCAGGGGUUUUUGAAAAACUAAUUUUUGAAAAUACUAUUUGGCCAAAUUAUUUUUGUAAGAAAAUACUAUGUUUCUCUAUACAUAUGGCAUGAUCAUUGGGCAAAAGUUUGGGGCAAGGAGAUGAAGUAUAGAAGGUGGAGUUGUGUUGACUUUAAAGAGCACUUGAAAAACACAGAGAGAAAACCAACUCAAAAUAAAAAGUCAAAUAAUGCAAAAGUUUUUCUCAAACCACAUUUUAUCAUGACUUAUCAUCUUAAGUGUUGUGUCAAGAAAAUCAGGGCAUGACAAGAUCUGUCUCAUAAAAUUAGCUUUCUUCCGCCAAAAGAAGAGCGUCAACCGCCUUACGGGUGGCGCACGAGAGCCCAGGGCGCGCCCAGGGGGGAGGGCGCGCCCCCCUGUCUCGUGGCCACCCCGGACACCGUUUCGUGUUGAUUUUACUUCCCAAAAAUCAUAAAUAUUCCAAAAAAAAUAUCCGUCCGUUUUUAUCCCGUUUGGACUCCGUUUGAUAUUGGGUUUCUGUGAAACAAAAAACAUGCAACGAAUAGGAACUGGCACUGGGCACUGGAUCAAUAUGUUAGUCCCAAAAAAUAGUAUAAAAAGUUGCCAAAAGUAUAUAAAAGUUGAAUAAUAUUGGCAUGGAACAAUCAAAAAUUAUAGAUACGACGGAGACGUAUCAAUGCGAUAUCUCAAGCAUGCAGCAGCCGCCUGGGUCGAUGAACUUCCAUCAGUGCUUGGGGGAUUGAUGACAACUCCUAAUCGGUCGACUAGCCGAACUCCGUUCUUCUUGGUCUAUGGAGUUGAGGGUGUACUUCCGAGUAACUUUCUUGACAAUGCACCCCGAGUCAAGCUUUUCUCAGAAGAUGAAGCAGAACAGGCUCGGCAAGAUGCAGUUGAUCUCCUAGAAGAGGAGAGAGAGAUGGUCCUGAUCUGGUCGACCAUUUAUCAGCAAGACCUGCGUCGAUUCCACGCCAGAAACAUGAGGGGUCGAGCAUUUCAAGAGGGAGACUUGGUUCUUUCAGUGGAUUGCUACCUCUUGAGCACUGCGUUGGUUUUCCCUUGAAGAGGAAAGGGUGAUGCAGUAAAGUAGCGUAAGUAUUUCCCUCAGUUUUUGAGAACCAAGGUAUCAAUCCAGUAGGAGACCACGCUCGAGUCCCACGCACCUACACAAACAAAUAAGAACCUCGCAACCAAUGUGAUAAAGGGGUUGUCAAUCCCUUCACGGUCACUUACGAGAGUGAGAUCUGAUAGAUAUGAUAAGAUAAUAUUUUUGGUAUUUUUAUGAUAGAGAGAAAUAAAGAUGCAAAGUAAAAUAAACGGCAAUAAAAAUAGCUAAGUGCUAGAAGAUUAAUAUGAUGGAAAAUAGACCCGGGGGCCAUAGGUUUACUAGUGGCUUCUCUCAAGAGCAUAAGUAUUACGGUGGGUAAACGAAUUACUGUCGAGCAAUUGAUAGAAUUGAGCAUAGUUAUGAGAAUAUCUAGGUAUGAUCAUGUAUAUAGGCAUCACGUCCGUGGCAAGUAGACCGAAACGAUUCUACAUCUACUACUAUUACUCCACACAUCGACCGCUAUCCAGCAUGCGUCUAGAGUAUUAAGUUCAUAAGAACAGAGUAAUGCUUUAAGCAAGAUGACAUGAUGUAGAGGGAUAAACUCAUGCAAUAUGGUAUAAACCCCAUCUUUUUAUCCUUGAUGGCAACAAUACAAUAUGUGCCUUGCUGCCCCUGUUGUCACUGGGAAAGGACACCGCAAGAUUGAACCCAAAGCUAAGCACUUCUCCCAUUAAAAGAAAGAUCAAUCUAGUAGGCCAAACCAAACUGAUAAUUCGAAGAGACUUACAAAGAUAACUAAUCAUACAUAAAAGAAUUCAGAGGAGAUUCAAAUAUUGGUCAUAGAUAAACUUGAUCAUAAACCCACAAUUCAUCAGUCUCGACAAACACACCACAAAAGAAGAUUACAUCGAAUAGAUCUCCAAGAUAAUCGAGGAGAACUUUGUAUUGAGAUCCAAAGAGAGAGAGAAGAAGCCAUCUAGCUAAUAACUAUGGACCCGAAGGUCUGAGGUAAACUACUCACACAUCAUCGGAGAGGCUAUGGUGUUGAUGUAGAAGCCCUCCGUGAUCAAUGCCCCCUCCGGUGGAGCGCCGGAAAAGGCCCCGAGAUGGGAUCUCAUGGGUACAGAAGGUUGCGGCGGUGGAAUUAGGUUUUUGUGGAUGCCUCUGAUGGUUUGGGCAUACGUAGGUAUAUAUAGGAGGAAGAAGCAGGUCGGUGGAGCCACGAGGGGCCCACGAGGGUGGAGGGCGUGCCUGGGGGGGUAGGCGCGCCCCCCUACCUCGUGGCUUCCUCGUCUGUUGCUUGACAUCCACUCCAAGUCCUCUAGAUCACGUUUGUUCCGAAAAUCACGUUCCCGAAGGUUUCAUUCCGUUUGGACUCCGUUUGAUAUUCUUUUUCUGUGAAACACUGAAAUAGGCAAAAAAAACAGCAAUUUGGGCUGGGCCUCCAGUUAAUAGGUUAGUCCCACAAAUAAUAUAAAAGUGUAUAAUAAAGCCCACUAAACAUAGAAAACAGAAUAUAAUAUAGCAUGGAACAAUAAAAAAUUAUAGAUAUGUUGGAGACGUAUCAAGCAUCCCCAAGCUUAAUUCCUGCUCGUCCUCGAGUAGGUAAAUGAUAAAAACAGAAUUUUUGAUGUGGAAUGCUACUUAGCAUAAUUUUCAAUGUAACCCUCUUAAUCAUGGUAUGAAUAUUCAGAUCCGAAAGAUUCAAGAUAAAAGUUUAAUAUUGACAUAAAAGUAAUAAUACUUCAAGCAUACUAACUAAGCAAUUGGGAAGGCGACGGCGAAGGCGAAGGGGAAGAAGUCCAGCCGAGGCGGAUCUUUGUCGAGGUCCGGUCUGCCGCGUGGCUGGAUCCAAGGCGAUUGGAUCCAGUCGACGAUUCGCCAGGACGACAUCGACGAUCUGGCCUAGGAGGGAUUGAUCCCCCACGGAUCCGCGCGGCUCCCAGAGGACGAGACUGAACCCUGACCGCAGGAGGGUGAGUGCGUCCUCCUCGCCACUCACGUUGACCGCAGGUUUUCUUUGCCUCCUCAUCCUUUUUCUCGAGCUUUCUUGAACUUCUUUGGAGCACAACUUCAUCAUUUUUCCCCAACACCAUCGUGUAUCUUGCCGCUUUCGUGUCUAUGUGCGAGAAUUUCUUGGGUUGCCGACCACACUUGGGCCUCUUCAAGCACAUUUUCACGUGCCGCUCUCAGUCGGUCAAAAAAGCUAAUCCAAGUGAUGAGAGGACAAAAGUGAUCCAGAUGUGUGGGGGUCUUGGGAUUCAGAUGAGGGGCAAGUGCUCUUUUCCAGCCAUAAUCCUUCCCGAGUCAGUCCGAGGGUGGCAGUCAACUUGGUUUUACUGCAAAGACCAGUCGACUCUAGGUCAGUCGAUUGGACUUUCCCCCUUUUCUAUGGCUUGCGUAGAGAAGCCCUCUGCCUUGAAAGUGACCCUGGGGGAGAAAGUGGAGGUGAAGGUGCUGGUUGACCGAGUGGUCCAGCUCAUCCGUGAUGGCGUGACUGGCAUGGAUCUGUUGGAAGUCUUCCUCAGACGAUGCAUUCAGCCGCUUCAAGCCCGUGACCAUCCGAUGUGGAUGUAUUCGGGCAUUGAAGAUUCCACUCAGGUCCAUCCAGAAGAAGUCGACAAGGACACGGUGGAGCAGUGGUUGAGGGGUAUCACUGGCAACAAAGAUAACCCCAGGGAAGCCAGGAGAGUCCCUCCACUCGACAACUCAUACGAAACAGACAAGGUCCAGCUUUGAAUUGCCAAGUGUUAUCUUGAUUUAUCAUGUAACUGCUUGUAGUCAACCGACUGACUUUUGUCUUGCUUGUUGUCUUCCAGGCUCUUAUUGAGAUGUAUUCGAUGCCCAAUGGAGAGCAGGAGCAGGACCCGAAAGGGGAGGCGAGCGGAGGCAAGAGCGGCGAGUGGCAUUCCGAUGGUGAAGAGGAUGAUGAGAGCGAGACCCGAGUGAUGAAGAAGAGGUCGACUCACCUCCUCAUAGGGAAGGCAGAUCCAAGCUCACUCACGAUCCAGCAAGCGCCCGCAACAAAGCGACUGUUCAAACUGGGCAGUCGUCAAAGCGUCCUCGGACGUCUUCUCUGGCGCCGACUGAAAAUGCCCCAAAGCAGUCCAAGGUCGUAACGCAAAAGACUCGGAAGGCUCUGCCCAAAAUCAAAAUCGACAUCCUUGUUGCCUCCGCGUGAGUGCUCUGUCUUCAUCUUUACCCGAGGUUCUGUGUUGUCUACUUUUUCCUUGGUUUGACCUGAUGAAUCUUGAAACCAGCAGUGCCGCUACCUCUAGGACUUCUACUUACAAAAAUGAGGAUGAGGACACGGAAGAUGCGGUCACCUCCAACCCAGGUAUAACCUUCAUGAUCUUGUAUUUGUUUUGUCAAUUGAACUGCGGUAUAACCAACGAGGAUGAAUUUUUGGCGACUGAUCUUUUUACAGCUCCUCCCAACAUCAUUGAUCUCCCAGACAAUGACGAGGAUGAGCCACUGAGGCCCUUGGGAAGGAGAGGCAGGAAAACAUCCACUGGCAAGACGCCUCAGUCGGCGCCGGUGACGGAACCGGUAAUCCAGGAAGCCGGCGAUGCCAAUCGGACUUCUGUUAGCUUCACUAUACCACUGUUGAGUGCUCAGCCUUUAGCGUCAGUCGCGCAGACUCCAGCCUAUCCACCUUCACUUUUUGCUACACAUCACAUCCCAGAGGACCAGGUGGAUGCUGCCAAAGAGGUUAUACACCAGGCGAGCAUUAUGAUGGAGAAGAUGAAGAUGGUCCGGGAAGCCAGCCAAGCUGCUUACGACGCCAGCUCCGCUCUCCAAAGCAAUGUCCAGGUUAGCAGAUUGUUGACUGACUCUUUUAGCUUGUUCUGUUAGGAUAUGCUACCUGGAAACUUUCUUUGAAGAAUCAUUUCUUCUGUCUGCGUUUCGCAUCCAUACACCCACUGGGUGUUUUGAUUUGCCACUGAGCAAACUUGUGUCUUGAGUCGACUGGGUUGUGUUGAUUGGAUGUUUGAACUAGUGGGGGCACGCUGAGUGCACCCACUGGGUGUAGUCCCCGAGACCAUAUUUGACUGCGGGUAGUCGACUGUGGUCUGAGAAGCUAAAUUUUCCACUCGGCCUAGACGGACUAUGUCGAGUGGAAUCCGAACCAAUGGGGGCACGCUAAGUGCACCCAGUGGGUGUAGUCCCCGAGCCCGCGGUCAACUGCGGGCAGUCGACUACGGUCUGAGAACAACUUGCCUCUCUCUCUCCUUUUUUUACACUCGGCCUGGACAGACCAUCUCGAGUGGAAACUGGACCGGUGAGGGCACGCUAAGUGCACCCACUGGGUGUAGUCCCCGAGACCGUGGUCGACUGCGGGCAGUCGACUUCGGUCUGAAAAUAGCUUGAAUUUAUCAGACCAUUGUACUAAAGUAACUAAUCUUUCCAUCUGUCGAUUGACUGUCUCUUGAUUACAGAAAUCUUAUGAACUCAGAGCUUGUUUUGCUGACUUCUAUCUCUACCUAAUAAUAAAGCAAAUUGGGUUUCGGCGGUCCGUCACGCACUUUUGCAGAAAACCCCCUGCGUUUUCUACGAAUUAACCCGUAGUACACACUUAAGUCAAACCGAACCGUUAUUUUACAUUUUUACGAAACCACCCCUGACGUAUUAGAUAAUUCACCCGCCGAUUAUAUAUAAGUCAAACACAUGUUUUUUUUCUAAAUUAUCCAUAUCUUUUAAACCGUAACUCCGAUUUUAACAUGUUAUAUAUGAAAAUAGAUUAGAAAAAUGUGUAGAAUCUGAAUAUGACGUUAUUUUGUUUGUUAAAUAUUUUUAAAAUUUUAUUUUGGAAGAUAUUUAAGUCAAACAAAUAUUUUUCUUAAUUAUCCAUAUCUAUUAAACCGCAACUCUGAUUUUAACAUGUUAUAUAUAAAAUUUGAAUAGAAAAAUAUGUAGAAUUUAAAUAUGAUGUUAUUUUUACCUAUUAAAUAUUUUAAAAGCAAACUUGUAACCUAUAGGGCACGUCCAUUUUUCUUUCAUACCGCGGCGAUCUGGAUUACAAAUAAACAACCACUAAAAUCAUAAAGAGACGAAAGAAAAUAUCGAUAACCACACAUGAGCACCUCUGAACAAACUGGCAGGGCAAAAACAACAUUCAAACACAUUUUGGUUUGUGUGAACACUGAGGCCACUGAAGGUGAGAAGGAGGAUAAGCGGCAACACAAAAAUGAUGCCUCGCUAAAAUAAAGGGCAUGAACAUAUUAUGGUUAUUGGGUUAAGAGUGUCUGUUAUUUUUUUCUCCCGUUGCAACGCACGGGCUCUUUCCGUUCUUCUUGGUCUAUGGAGUUGAGGGUGUACUUCCGAGUAACUUGCUUGACAAUGCACCCCGAGUCAAGCUUUUCUCAGAAGAUGAAGCAGAACAGGCUCGGCAAGAUGCAGUUGAUCUCCUAGAAGAGGAGAGAGAGAUGGUCCUGAUCUGGUCGACCAUUUAUCAGCAAGACCUGCGUCGAUUCCACGCCAGAAACGUGAGGGGUCGAGCAUUUCAAGAGGGAGACUUGGUUCUUUCAGUGGAUUGCUACCUCUUGAGCACUGCGUUGGUUUUCCCUUGAAGAGGAAAGGGUGAUGCAGUAAAGUAGCGUAAGUAUUUCCCUCAGUUUUUGAGAACCAAGGUAUCAAUCCAGUAGGAGACCACGCUCGAGUCCCACGCACCUACACAAACAAAUAAGAACCUCGCAACCAAUGUGAUAAAGGGGUUGUCAAUCCCUUCACGGUCACUUACGAGAGUGAGAUCUGAUAGAUAUGAUAAGAUAAUAUUUUUGGUAUUUUUAUGAUAGAGAGAAAUAAAGAUGCAAAGUAAAAUAAACGGCAAUAAAAAUAGCUAAGUGCUAGAAGAUUAAUAUGAUGGAAAAUAGACCCGGGGGCCAUAGGUUUACUAGUGGCUUCUCUCAAGAGCAUAAGUAUUACGGUGGGUAAACGAAUUACUGUCGAGCAAUUGAUAGAAUUGAGCAUAGUUAUGAGAAUAUCUAGGUAUGAUCAUGUAUAUAGGCAUCACAUCCGUGGCAAGUAGACCGAAAUGAUUCUACAUCUACUACUAUUACUCCACACAUCGACCGCUAUCCAGCAUGCGUCUAGAGUAUUAAGUUCAUAAGAACAGAGUAAUGCUUUAAGCAAGAUGACAUGAUGUAGAGGGAUAAACUCAUGCAAUAUGGUAUAAACCCCAUCUUUUUAUCCUUGAUGGCAACAAUACAAUAUGUGCCUUGCUGCCCCUGUUGUCACUGGGAAAGGACACCGCAAGAUUGAACCCAAAGCUAAGCACUUCUCCCAUUAAAAGAAAGAUCAAUCUAGUAGGCCAAACCAAACUGAUAAUUCGAAGAGACUUACAAAGAUAACUAAUCAUACAUAAAAGAAUUCAGAGGAGAUUCAAAUAUUGGUCAUAGAUAAACUUGAUCAUAAACCCACAAUUCAUCAGUCUCGACAAACACACCACAAAAGAAGAUUACAUCGAAUAGAUCUCCAAGAUAAUCGAGGAGAACUUUGUAUUGAGAUCCAAAGAGAGAGAGAAGAAGCCAUCUAGCUAAUAACUAUGGACCCGAAGGUCUGAGGUAAACUACUCACACAUCAUCGGAGAGGCUAUGGUGUUGAUGUAGAAGCCCUCCGUGAUCAAUGCCNNNNNNNNNNAUACCACUGUUGAGUGCUCAGCCUUUAGCGUCAGUCGCGCAGACUCCAGCCUAUCCACCUUCACUUUUUGCUACACAUCACAUCCCAGAGGACCAGGUGGAUGCUGCCAAAGAGGUUAUACACCAGGCGAGCAUUAUGAUGGAGAAGAUGAAGAUGGUCCGGGAAGCCAGCCAAGCUGCUUACGACGCCAGCUCCGCUCUCCAAAGCAAUGUCCAGGUUAGCAGAUUGUUGACUGACUCUUUUAGCUUGUUCUGUUAGGAUAUGCUACCUGGAAACUUUCUUUGAAGAAUCAUUUCUUCUGUCUGCGUUUCGCAUCCAUACACCCACUGGGUGUUUUGAUUUGCCACUGAGCAAACUUGUGUCUUGAGUCGACUGGGUUGUGUUGAUUGGAUGUUUGAACUAGUGGGGGCACGCUGAGUGCACCCACUGGGUGUAGUCCCCGAGACCAUAUUUGACUGCGGGUAGUCGACUGUGGUCUGAGAAGCUAAAUUUUCCACUCGGCCUAGACGGACUAUGUCGAGUGGAAUCCGAACCAAUGGGGGCACGCUAAGUGCACCCANNNNNNNNNNGAUUCUACAUCUACUACUAUUACUCCACACAUCGACCGCUAUCCAGCAUGCGUCUAGAGUAUUAAGUUCAUAAGAACAGAGUAAUGCUUUAAGCAAGAUGACAUGAUGUAGAGGGAUAAACUCAUGCAAUAUGGUAUAAACCCCAUCUUUUUAUCCUUGAUGGCAACAAUACAAUAUGUGCCUUGCUGCCCCUGUUGUCACUGGGAAAGGACACCGCAAGAUUGAACCCAAAGCUAAGCACUUCUCCCAUUAAAAGAAAGAUCAAUCUAGUAGGCCAAACCAAACUGAUAAUUCGAAGAGACUUACAAAGAUAACUAAUCAUACAUAAAAGAAUUCAGAGGAGAUUCAAAUAUUGGUCAUAGAUAAACUUGAUCAUAAACCCACAAUUCAUCAGUCUCGACAAACACACCACAAAAGAAGAUUACAUCGAAUAGAUCUCCAAGAUAAUCGAGGAGAACUUUGUAUUGAGAUCCAAAGAGAGAGAGAAGAAGCCAUCUAGCUAAUAACUAUGGACCCGAAGGUCUGAGGUAAACUACUCACACAUCAUCGGAGAGGCUAUGGUGUUGAUGUAGAAGCCCUCCGUGAUCAAUGCCGCCUCCGGUGGAGCGCCGGAAAAGGCCCCGAGAUGGGAUCUCAUGGGUACAGAAGGUUGCGGUGGUGGAAUUAGGUUUUUGUGGAUGCCUCUGAUGGUUUGGGCAUACGUAGGUAUAUAUAGGAGGAAGAAGCAGGUCGGUGGAGCCACGAGGGGCCCACGAGGGUGGAGGGCAUGCCUGGGGGGGUAGGCGCGCCCCCUACCUCGUGGCUUCCUCGUCUGUUGCUUGACAUCCACUCCAAGUCCUCUAGAUCACGUUUGUUCCGAAAAUCACGUUCCCGAAGGUUUCAUUCCGUUUGGACUCCGUUUGAUAUUCUUUUUCUGUGAAACACUGAAAUAGGCAAAAAAAACAGCAAUUUGGGCUGGGCCUCCAGUUAAUAGGUUAGUCCCACAAAUAAUAUAAAAGUGUAUAAUAAAGCCCACUAAACAUAGAAAACAGAAUAUAAUAUAGCAUGGAACAAUAAAAAAUUAUAGAUAUGUUGGAGACGUAUCAAGCAUCCCCAAGCUUAAUUCCUGCUCGUCCUCGAGUAGGUAAAUGAUAAAAACAGAAUUUUUGAUGUGGAAUGCUACUUAGCAUAAUUUUCAAUGUAACCCUCUUAAUCAUGGUAUGAAUAUUCAGAUCCGAAAGAUUCAAGAUAAAAGUUUAAUAUUGACAUAAAAGUAAUAAUACUUCAAGCAUACUAACUAAGNNNNNNNNNNAUACCACUGUUGAGUGCUCAGCCUUUAGCGUCAGUCGCGCAGACUCCAGCCUAUCCACCUUCACUUUUUGCUACACAUCACAUCCCAGAGGACCAGGUGGAUGCUGCCAAAGAGGUUAUACACCAGGCGAGCAUUAUGAUGGAGAAGAUGAAGAUGGUCCGGGAAGCCAGCCAAGCUGCUUACGACGCCAGCUCCGCUCUCCAAAGCAAUGUCCAGGUUAGCAGAUUGUUGACUGACUCUUUUAGCUUGUUCUGUUAGGAUAUGCUACCUGGAAACUUUCUUUGAAGAAUCAUUUCUUCUGUCUGCGUUUCGCAUCCAUACACCCACUGGGUGUUUUGAUUUGCCACUGAGCAAACUUGUGUCUUGAGUCGACUGGGUUGUGUUGAUUGGAUGUUUGAACUAGUGGGGGCACGCUGAGUGCACCCACUGGGUGUAGUCCCCGAGACCAUAUUUGACUGCGGGUAGUCGACUGUGGUCUGAGAAGCUAAAUUUUCCACUCGGCCUAGACGGACUAUGUCGAGUGGAAUCCGAACCAAUGGGGGCACGCUAAGUGCACCCANNNNNNNNNNCCCCCUACCUCGUGGCUUCCUCGUCUGUUGCUUGACAUCCACUCCAAGUCCUCUAGAUCACGUUUGUUCCGAAAAUCACGUUCCCGAAGGUUUCAUUCCGUUUGGACUCCGUUUGAUAUUCUUUUUCUGUGAAACACUGAAAUAGGCAAAAAAAACAGCAAUUUGGGCUGGGCCUCCAGUUAAUAGGUUAGUCCCACAAAUAAUAUAAAAGUGUAUAAUAAAGCCCACUAAACAUAGAAAACAGAAUAUAAUAUAGCAUGGAACAAUAAAAAAUUAUAGAUAUGUUGGAGACGUAUCAAGCAUCCCCAAGCUUAAUUCCUGCUCGUCCUCGAGUAGGUAAAUGAUAAAAACAGAAUUUUUGAUGUGGAAUGCUACUUAGCAUAAUUUUCAAUGUAACCCUCUUAAUCAUGGUAUGAAUAUUCAGAUCCGAAAGAUUCAAGAUAAAAGUUUAAUAUUGACAUAAAAGUAAUAAUACUUCAAGCAUACUAACUAAGAAUUGGGAAGGCGACGGCAAAGGCGAAGGGGAAGAAGUCCAGCCGAGGCGGAUCUUUGUCGAGGUCCGGUCUGCCGCGUGGCUGGAUCCAAGGCGAUUGGAUCCAGUCGACGAUUCGCCCGGACGACAUCGACGAUCUGGCCUAGGAGGGAUUGAUCCCCCACGGAUCCGCGCGGCUCCCAGAGGACGAGACUGAACCCUGACCGCAGGAGGGUGAGUGCGUCCUCCUCGCCACUCACGUCGACCGCAGGUUUUCUUUGCCUCCUCAUCCUUUUUCUCGAGCUUUCUUGAACUUCUUUGGAGCACAACUUCAUCAUUUUUCCCCAACACCAUCGUGUAUCUUGCCGCUUUCGUGUCUAUGUGCGAGAAUUUCUUGGGUUGCCGACCACACUUGGGCCUCUUCAAGCACAUUUUCACGUGCCGCUCUCAGACGGUCAAAAAAGCUAAUCCAAGUGAUGAGAGGACAAAAGUGAUCCAGAUGUGUGGGGGUCUUGGGAUUCAGAUGAGGGACAAGUGCUCUUUCCCAUCCAUAAUCCUUCCCGGGUCAGUCCGAGGGUGGCAGUCAACUUGGUUUUACUGCAAAGACCAGUCGACUCUAGGUCAGUCGACUGGACUUUCCCCCUUUUCUAUGGCUUGCGUAGAGAAGCCCUCUGCCUUGAAAGUGACCCUGGAGGAGAAAGUGGAGGUGAAGGUGCUGGUUGACCGAGUGGUCCAGCUCAUCCGUGAUGGCGUGACUGGCAUGGAUCUGUUGGAAGUCUUCCUCAGACGAUGCAUUCAGCCGCUUCAAGCCCGUGACCAUUCGAUGUGGAUGUAUUCGGGCAUUGAAGAUUCCACUCAGGUCCAUCCAGAAGAAGUCGACAAGGACACGGUGGAGCAGUGGUUGAGGGGUAUCACUGGCAACAAAGAUAACCCCAGGGGAGCCAGGAGAGUCCCUCCACUCGACAACUCAUACAAAACAGACAAGGUCCAACUCUAAAUUGCCGAGUGUUAUCUUGAUUUAUCAUGUAACUGCUUGUAGUCAACCGACUGACUUUUGUCUUGCUUGUUGUCUUCCAGGCUCUUACUGAGAUGUAUUCGAUGCCCAAUGGAGAGCAGGAGCAGGACCCGAAAGGGGAGGCGAGCGGAGGCGAGAGCGGCGAGUGGCAUUCCGAUGGUGAAGAGGAUGAUGAGAGCGAGACCCGAGUGAUGAAGAAGAGGUCGACUCACCUCCUCAUAGGGAAGGCAGAUCCAAGCUCACUCACGAUCCAGCAAGCGCCCGCAACAAAGCGACUGUUCAAACUGGGCAGUCGUCAAAGCGUCCUCGGACGUCUUCUCUGGCGCCGACUGAAAAUGCCCCAAAGCAGUCCAAGGUCGUAACACAAAAGACUCGGAAGGCUCUGCCCAAAAUCAAAAUCGACAUCCUUGUUGCCUCCGCGAGAGUGCUCUGUCUUCAUCUUUACCCGAGGUUCUGUGUUGUCUACUUUUUCCUUGGUUUGACCUGAUGAAUCUUGAAACCAGCAGUGCCGCUACCUCUAGGACUUCUACUUACAAAAAUGAGGAUGAGGACACGGAAGAUGCGGUCACCUCCAACCCAGGUAUAACCUUCAUGAUCUUGUAUUUGUUUUGUCAAUUGAACUGCGGUAUAACCAACGAGGAUGAAUUUUUGGCGACUGAUCUUUUUACAGCUCCUCCCAACAUCAUUGAUCUCCCAGACAAUGACGAGGAUGAGCCACUGAGGCCCUUGGGAAGGAGAGGCAGGAAAACAUCCACUGGCAAGACGCCUCAGUCGGCGCCGGUGACGGAACCGGUAAUCCAGGAAGCCGGCGAUGCCAAUCGGACUUCUGUUAGCUUCACCAUACCACUGUUGAGUGCUCAGCCUUUAGCGUCAGUCGCGCAGACUCCAGCCUAUCCACCUUCACUUUUUGCUACACAUCACAUCCCAGAGGACCAGGUGGAUGCUGCCAAAGAGGUUAUACACCAGGCGAGCAUUAUGAUGGAGAAGAUGAAGAUGGUCCGGGAAGCCAGCCAAGCUGCUUACGACGCCAGCUCCGCUCUCCAAAGCAAUGUCCAGGUUAGCAGAUUGUUGACUGACUCUUUUAGCUUGUUCUGUUAGGAUAUGCUACCUGGAAACUUUCUUUGAAGAAUCAUUUCUUCUGUCUGCGUUUCGCAUCCAUACACCCACUGGGUGUUUUGAUUUGCCACUGAGCAAACUUGUGUCUUGAGUCGACUGGGUUGUGUUGAUUGGAUGUUUGAACUAGUGGGGGCACGCUGAGUGCACCCACUGGGUGUAGUCCCCGAGACCAUAUUUGACUGCGGGUAGUCGACUGUGGUCUGAGAAGCUAAAUUUUCCACUCGGCCUAGACGGACUAUGUCGAGUGGAAUCCGAACCAAUGGGGGCACGCUAAGUGCACCCACUGGGUGUAGUCCCCGAGCCCGCGGUCAACUGCGGGCAGUCGACUACGGUCUGAGAACAACUUGCCUCUCUCUCUCCUUUUUUUUACACUCGGCCUGGACAGACCAUCUCGAGUGGAAACUGGACCGGUGAGGGCACGCUAAGUGCACCCACUGGGUGUAGUCCCCGAGACCGUGGUCGACUGCGGGCAGUCGACUUCGGUCUGAAAAUAGCUUGAAUUUAUCAGACCAUUGUACUAAAGUAACUAAUCUUUCCAUCUGUCGAUUGACUGUCUCUUGAUUACAGAAAUCUUAUGAACUCGGAGCUUGUUUUGCUGACUUCUAUACCUACUAAUACUAAUAAAGCAAGGUGCGUUUCGCCAAUUUUUUCAUCCGUUCACCGCAACUCUUGAUGAUCUAUCUCAUUCAUAAAGAUACACGAGGUGGUACUAAUCGUAAAUCAAUUCGCAGUCCAAAUAAAUUUAAAAAAAAAAUAAGCCCGCUGAGAGGCGCACGGCCCAUGCAGCCAAAACGAAGCCACACCAGCGAACAUGCCACGGCCCGAAAAAAAGGUGGCUCACGGCCCGAUGCAAAUACAUAAUGGAUGGCACAACAAUUCGAACUCGCAACCUCUUGUAGAACAAUCAACGUCGGGACCAACUGACCCGGCUAUUGCUCUGUUAUACACGGUGACAUAAAACAGUCUUUUAAAUAAUCCCGCCUCGCUUUCUUACACCAAUUCCUCCUAAUUUAUAUACAUCUUUGAGUUUUCUCGGUUUCAAGGAGCGAUCUCGGGAAUCUAUAAAGAAGGAAAUAAGCUACCCAGUAAUAUAAAAAAGGAUAGAGAUUAAAAUGAAGAAAAUAGAUGAAAAUAAACGAAGGAAAGAAAAGAGACCCGUAAUAUAAAGAAGGAAACAGAGAAAAAAAAGAAGGAAUGUGGGAUUUCGAAAGAAUAAGGAAUGAAAGGAAGGAGACGCCAUAAUCUUUGGAGAGAGAUCCAAAUAAGACGCCCAUUAAUGUAAGGAAAGAAACAUAGAAAAAAAGGGAAAGCGAUGAAAAUAAAGAAGGAAAAAAGGCAUGUCGAAAAAUAAAAAGAAGGGAAGGACGGAUGUCAUUGGUUUUGAUAUAGAUAAAAAUAGGAAGGAGACAUCUGUAAUUGAUGGAAAUUAGAAUUAAUGGAAGGAAACAUGCAGGCAAAUAAAUAAAUAAAUAUAAAAUUAAUUCAUAUUAAGUGAUGAAUUUUUUGCGAGGAAGAAUUAUGUGUUAAUUCAUAGACCACUCGAGCAAAAAAAUGACACUAUGCAUAUGAUUUGUAGGUAUUUUACCUAUGGACUCGAUUUUUUGAUAGAAAAAUGCGGGUGUCUCAGGACCGGCUCCAUCACGUUGGACGUCAUGAAGAAUGUGGUGCAGGAGCUAGAGACGGACACCUUUUUCAACUCUUUCCGGGGCUAGGCCCAUUUGCGUUGACACCAUUAAAAUAGAGGUCAGCAUCAUGGUUAGAUACGGAAGGCUUCUCUGCUAUAAGAAACCCCACCUCGCUCGCUUUGUCAAUCGUAUACCUUAUGUUGCGUCCAAAUCUUAUUUGUGGCCCACAAAAGUUACAUUUUUGCAUGGAAAUUCGAAUUUCCUUAAUUGGUCACAUUAUUACAAGUGUUUUGUAUAUACUCCCUUCGUUCCUAAAUAUUUGUCUUUCUAGAGAUUUCAACAAAUGACUACAUAUGGAGCAAAAUGAUCGAAUCUACACUCUAAAAUAUGUCUACAUACAUCCAUAUGGUGUGUCCAUUUGAAAUGCCUAGAAAGACAAGUAUUUUGGAACGGCGGGAGUAUUUCCUAACUUCCAAAUAAACAUUCAAAAAAUUUCAACCAAUAGGCAAUGAAUUGUUUACCUACCGAAGUCUUACUAUGGCUAGCACAUUUUUUACCACGGAGAAUCUAACAAGGUCCAUCAUCCAGUCACAUGAGGGCCUUGAUUUGCUUCACUGCUUAAAAGUUACAUCGACAUUGUACAUAUUACUUCAAGACAAUCGGUGUUUGCUCCCAGUGAAGCUCGCGGAGCGUGGGAACGAUACAUGCAUCAAGUGUAAAUGAGAUAGGGGGGCGCCCAGCAUCCUUGAAUAUAUGGAUAACUUGUCCAUGAUUGGCGAAAGUAGCAAAAUUAGAAGUGACAGUCGCUAGGGACGUGCAAGCAUUUGUUUCUCCCGUUGCAACGCACGGGCACAUUUCCUAGUGAAGAAGAAACAGAUUCAGCUCAACCUCGAUCUGGAACUGGCCAAGACAAAUUUGCAGAAGUCUAAGGAUGAAGCCGUUGGUAAGAGAAAACUUGUCGACUGAUUUGUCUUUGAACCGGCUUUUAUUUUUCUUUUUCUGAACCUAGCAUUGUUUCUUUCAGAGAAAAUGAACCAAGCUCUGGCGAAAAAGGACCAAGAUCUUGCGGCCGCACAGAAAGCAGCUGACGAGAAAACUGCACUCGCCGAACAGAAGCUAGCUUCAGUCGACAAACUGGAGGAAGAAAACGCCAAGCUGAAAACUGCCCUUGAUGAAGCCAAUAAGGAAGCGACUCGCCUGAAGAAGGACAAGAACAAUCUGAACAAGAAGAUGGAAGGCAUUGCUCGCAAGAGGGACGAUCUGGAGAAUUAUCUGGGAGGUCUUGCCAGGAAGUUGUUCGUCAUGCUUGAAGGUAUUUUCUUCGGCCCGACUAACUUGUUACUAUCGACUCGACAUACAACCACUGACUCAUCUUUGAAUUGUGCAUGCAGAAUUUUGCCGGAACUUCAAGGAAGAGACUGGGCGAGUUGAGACAAGCUUGGACCCCAUCCAUUCUCUAGUGAAAGACGAGGCUGCCAUAAAUGUACUCCUAUUGGAAUCUCAUGUUGCUGGUGUUGUCGACUAUCUUGCUCGACUGAAGGUCGCAAUGUCGCGGAUCGACACAUCACUCUGGCCAAGGGCAACGCUCCAGAAUGACCUCGAGUCUCUGACGAAUCGACUUAAUGAGAUUCCCGGUCGAGUGCAAGAAUAGAAGAAGUCUUUUGCUAGGUGCGGCGCUGAUGUGGCUCUGUCUUUGUUUCGUGUCCACUUCAAGGAAGUGCGGGAAGAGAAGCUGGCGGCGAUCAGGGUUGCCAAUACCAAGAAGCACGACUUCCGGUCUUUCAUGGAGAUCUUCAUUGCUGCUGCCACUCGGAUUGCUGAUGGAAUCGACCUGGACGAGUUUGUCGAGCAUGCUAGUCCUCCUCCUGCGGAGUGAACAAACUUUCAUGCCUCACCUUAAAUUUGCCUCGGAAUGCCGAGUGGUUUUGUAACCGUUAAAACUCCUUCGGGCUGGAUGCCCGAGUACUUUAAUCCGUGGUCCGGGAACCUUAGGAUUUAUCUGAACUUGGUUUAUUUCUAAAUAUGCUUGUGUUUUCCUUUGAGUGGAACUUUUUCUUCACUCGGAAUAUUUUUUUGUACUUGAGAUGCAGCUCUGAGGAGGACAUUCCAGUCGACGUGCACCUCGUCGUCCUUGCGGACGAGGAUGGAGAGCAUGUUAUACUUCUAGUGCAGCUCCGAGGAGGAGGUUGCAGGCGACCUGCACCUCAUCGUCCUUGCGGAUGAGGAUGGAGCGCACGUUAUACUUGCGGCGCAGCUCCGAGGAGGAGGUUGCAGUCGACCUGCACCUCGUCGUCCUUGCGGAUGAGGAUAGAGCGCACAUUGUAUUUGUGGCACAGCUCUGAAGAGAAUGUUGCAGUUGACCUGCACCUCGUCGUCCUUGCAGAUAGGGAUGGAGCGUACGUUAUACUUGUGGCGUAGCUCCGAGGAGAAGAUUGCAGUCGACCUGCACCUCGUCGUCCUUGCGGAUAGGGAUGUGUUUCAAACUUAGGCGAGUACUGGACUGCAGCUAAGCCUCCGAGUGGGAGGGUUGCUCACCACUCGGUAGGAUUUUCAAACUUAGGCGAGUACUGGACUGCAGCUAAGCCCCCGAGUGGGAGGGUUGCUCACCACUCGGUAGGAUUUUUCAAACUUAGGCGAGUACUGGACUGCAGCUAAGCCUCCGAGUGGGAGGGUUGCUCACCACUCAGUAGGAUUUUUCAAACUUAGNNNNNNNNNNNNNNNNNNNNNNNNNNNNNNNNNNNNNNNNNNNNNNNNNNNNNNNNNNNNNNNNNNNNNNNNNNNNNNNNNNNNNNNNNNNNNNNNNNNNNNNNNNNNNNNNNNNNNNNNNNNNNNNNNNNNNNNNNNNNNNNNNNNNNNNNNNNNNNNNNNNNNNNNNNNNNNNNNNNNNNNNNNNNNNNNNNNNNNNNNNNNNNNNNNNNNNNNNNNNNNNNNNNNNNNNNNNNNNNNNNNNNNNNNNNNNNNNNNNNNNNNNNNNNNNNNNNNNNNNNNNNNNNNNNNNNNNNNNNNNNNNNNNNNNNNNNNNNNNNNNNNNNNNNNNNNNNNNNNNNNNNNNNNNNNNNNNNNNNNNNNNNNNNNNNNNNNNNNNNNNNNNNNNNNNNNNNNNNNNNNNNNNNNNNNNNNNNNNNNNNNNNNNNNNNNNNNNNNNNNNNNNNNNNNNNNNNNNNNNNNNNNNNNNNNNNNNNNNNNNNNNNNNNNNNNNNNNNNNNNNNNNNNNNNNNNNNNNNNNNNNNNNNNNNNNNNNNNNNNNNNNNNNNNNNNNNNNNNNNNNNNNNNNNNNNNNNNNNNNNNNNNNNNNNNNNNNNNNNNNNNNNNNNNNNNNNNNNNNNNNNNNNNNNNNUUUAAACUUAGGCGAGUACUGGACUGCAUCUAAGCCCCCGAGUGAGAGGCUUGCUCACCACUCGGUAGGAUUUUUUAAACUUAGGCGAGUACUGGACUGCAGCUAAGCCCCCGAGUGAGAGGCUUGCUCACCACUCGGUAGGAUUUUUUAAACUUAGGCGAAACGGAUUUGCAGCUAAGCCCCCGAGUGAGAGGCUUGCUCACCACUCGGUACGAUUUUUUAAACUUAGGCGAAACGGAUUCGCAGCUAAGCCCCCGAGUGAAAGGCUUGCUCACCACUCGGUAGGAUUUUUUAAACUUAGGCGAAAUGGAUUCGCAGCUAAGGCACCCACUGGGGGAUUUGAAACAUAUAAAGUAGAAACAGCAAUCAUUUAGGAGACUGUAAAACUGUGUCUUUGAUAAUCAAAUUAGAAGAUAUUUCUUAUUACAUCUCAACAGACUGAAUGCUUAAGUGUAAAAGGGGCGGAGCAGCUCCACAUUCCGGCGCGUGGCUCGUCUUUCUUGUGCUCGACGUUGUAAAGGUGGUAUGCUCCGUUGUGCAGCACUCUUGUGAUGAUGAAGGGACCUUCCCAAGCAGGAGCAAGCUUGUGUGGUUUCUGCUGAUCCACUCGAAGAACUAAAUCUCCCUCUUUAAAUGCUCGACCUCUCACGUUUCUGGCAUGGAAUCGACGCAGGUCUUGCUGAUAGAUGGUCGAUCGGAUCAAGGCCAUCUCUCUUUCCUCUUCCAGGAGAUCAACUAUGUCUUGUCGUGCCUGUUCUGCUUCAUCCUCUAAGAAAAGCUCGACUCGGGGUGCAUUGUGGAGCAAGUCACUCAGAAGUACAGCCUCAGCUUCGCAGACCAAGAAGAAUGGAGUUCGGCUAGUCGACCGAUUGGGAGUUGUCCUCAAUCCCCAAAGCACUGAUGGAAGUUGAUCGACCCAGGUGACUGCUGCGUGCUUGAGAUCACGCAUCAGUUGGGGUUUCAGUCCUUUGAGAAUCAAUCUGUUUCCUCUUUCAGCUUGUCCAUUCGAGUACCUUGGGAAGCACAGAAGGCUCUGGACUCAUCAGCAUCGAAGUUUGACCCAUUGUCAGUGAUGAUGUUGUGCGGAACACCAUAUCUGAAUGUUAACUCUCUGAUGAAGCUGACAGCAGUACUGGCUUCAAGACUUUUGAUGGGCUUGGCUUCGAUCCAUUUGGUGAACUUGUCGACUGCCACGAGCACAUGAGUGAAGCCGCUCAUACCAGUCUUCAGAUGUCCAACCAUAUCCAAUCCCCAAACAGCAAAGGGCCAGAUGAGUGGAAUGGUCUUUAGGGCUGAUGCAGGCUUGUGAGACAUGUUGGAGUAAAACUGGCAGCCUUCACAUUUGUCGACUAUUUCUUUCGCCAUCUCAUUUGCUUGUGGCCAAUAAAAUCCCGCUCGGUAUUCUUUGGCCACAAUGGUCCAAGAGGACGCAUGGUGACCACAGGUCCCUGAGUGGAUGUCAUUGAGGAUCACUCGACCUUCUUCUGGUGUUAUGCAUUUCUGGCAGACUCCAGUCACACUUUAUCUGAACAACUGUCCUCUUAUCACAGUAAAGGCUUUGGAUCGACGGACGAUCUGUCGAGCCUCUUCUUCAUCCUCUAGGAGUUCUUUCCUAAGAAUGUAUGAAAUGUACGGCACAGUCUAGUCGGGAGUGAUGACCAAAACCUCAAUAAUCAAGUCGACCACGGCUGGGACUUCGACUUCAGUCGGAUCAGUGGCACUCUUUGGUUGUGGGUGCUCUUCAGUGAAAGGAUAUUCUUGAACUGAAGGUGUAUGGAUAUGUUCCAAUAACACAUUGCUGGGAAUGGCCUCCCUCUUGGAACCUAUCUUUGCCAGAUCAUCGGCUGCUUGAUUUUUCAGUCGGGGUAUGUGAUGGAGCUCUAACCCCUCAAACUUCUUCUCUAACUUUCUCACUGCAUUACAACAGCCAGUCAUAGCUGGGCUUCUGAUGUCCCACUCCUUCAUCACUUGAUUAACCACUAAAUCCGAGUCGCCGUAGACCAUGAGGCAACGGACGGCGAGUGAAAUGGCCAUUCAUAACCCGUACAAAAGUGCUUCAUAUUCAGCUUUGUGUUUGGAGGAGUCAAAAUGAAUCUGGAGGACAUAACUGAGUUUGUCACCUCGGGGGGAUACUAAAACCACCCCAGCACCGGAACUAUUCAGCAUCUUGGAUCCGUCGAAGAAUAUGGUCCAAUGCUUCGAGUGAAUCUGAGUCGGUAGUUGCUGUUCAACCCACUCGGCGAGGAAAUCUGCUAUUGCCUGGGACAUGAUUGCUUUCUUUGCCUCAAACUUGAUAUCUAAGGGAAGGAGUUCAAUCGCCCAUUUUGCUACUCGACCAGUUGCAUCUCUUUUGUUCAGAAUCUCUAACAAUGGUGCGUCGCUGACGACUGUAAUGGAGUGAUCAGAGAAAUAGUGUGCCACCUUCUUCGUGGUCAUGUAAAUCCCAUAAACAAGCUUCUGAUAAUGUGGAUUUCUUUGCUUUGAUGGAGUCAGAGCUUCAUAAACAUAGUAUACUGGGCGCUGAACUUUAUAGGCUUUUCCUUCUUCUUCCCGCUCGACCGUGGGUACUGUACUGACAACUUGUCCAAUGGCUGAAAUAUAAAGCAGUAAAGGCUCUUUGCUGAUUGGGGCAGUGAGCACCGGCUGGGUGGAAAGCAGGGCUUUGAGCUCUGCAAACGCUGCAUCAGCUUUAGAGGUCCACUUGAACUUAUCAGAUUUUUUCAUCCGUCGGUAAAGAGGCAAUGCCUUUUCACCGAGGCGAGAAAUGAAUCGACUCAAGGCGGCCAAACAACCAGUAAGCUUCUGGACAUCAUGCACACACACAGGGCGUUUCAUCCGGAGUAUAGCACCAACUUUCUCUGGGUUAGCGUCGAUCCCUCGUUUGGAAACAAGGAAACCGAGUAACUUUCCGCCAGGAACUCCGAAUGUGCACUUUGAUGGAUUAAGCUUGAUAUAAUACCUUCUGAGGUUGGCAAAAGUUUCAGCAAGGUCAGCCAGCAGGUCGGAACCUUUUAGUGACUUGACCACAAUGUCAUCCAUGUAUGCUUCCACAUUCCGACUGAGUUCAGUGAGUAAACACUUCUGAAUCAUCCUCAUGAAUGUGGCUCCGGUGUUCUUUAGGCCGAAUGGCAUGGUGACAUAACAGAAGCAUCCGAAUGGAGUGAUGAAAGCCGGUUUUAUCUCAUCGGGUCCAUACAGUCGGAUCUGAUGAUACCCGGAAUAGGCAUCCAGAAAAGACAAUUGCUCACACCCCGCAGUUGAGUCGACGAUUUGGUCGAUGCGGGGGAGAGGAAAAUGAUCUUUCGGGCAGGCCCGGUUGAUAUCCUUGAAGUCAAUGCACAUGCGAAGUGAAUCGUCCUUCUUAGGGACCAUGACAACAUUGGCAAGCCACUCGGAGUGGUAAAUCUCUCGGAUGAACUCAGCUGCCAGGAGCCGAGCCACUUCUUCACCAAUUGCUUUUGUCUUAUGUACGGCGGACCGUCGAAGAUGUUCCUUGAAUGGUUUUACUUUCGGGUCGACUCAUUGCUCAGCCAGUCCCCUGGGUACACCCGGCAUGUCAGAAGGUUUCCAUGCAAAGAUGUCCCAAUUCUCACAGAGGAACUGAAUGAGCGCUUCUUCCUAUUUGCUGUCGAGUGACAUUGAGAUAUGAGUAGGAGCAGCAUUAGGAUCAGUCGAGUGAAUAUGAAUCGGCUUGGUUUCACCAGACGACUGAAAUGCAGAAUCAGUGGCAGGCUUCUUGGAGCACAACAAAUCACUCGGAUCUGCAUUCUUCCGGUAUUCUUGCAUUUCGACUAAUGCCAUUUGUGCAUCACCGAUUUUUUAACCCUUCUGGAAGCACUCUUCUCCUUCUGCCAAUUGCCAGUGAUAGUGAUCACUCCUCUGGGACCAGGCAUUUUCAACUUGAGGUACACGGAACAUGGUCGAGCCAUGAAACGUGCAAAGGCAGGCCUACCCAGAAUAGCAUGAUAAGCACUCUGGAAAUCCACCACUUCAAAUGUCAACUUUUCUUUGCGGUAAUUCUUGGAAUCACUGAAAACCACAUCAAGGGCGAUCUAGCCGAGUGAUUCAGCCUUCUUGUCAGGUAUGACGCCAUGGAAACUCAUAUUGCUUUCACUAAGUUUGGACAUCGGAAUGCCCAUUCCCUUCAAGGUCUCAACAUACAGGAUAUUCAGGCCACUACCACCAUCCAUCAGCACUUUAGUCAGUCGAGUGCCUUCAACAAUUGGGUCGACCACCAGCGCUUGCCUCCCGGGGGUGGCUAUACGUGCUGGAUGGUCAGACUGGUCGAAUGUGAUGGCAGUCUGGGACCACUUCAAAUAACUUGGUGUUGCCGGAGCAACCAUGUUCACCUCUCUGUUGAUAACUUUCAGUCGACUUUUGCUUUCGACGUCAGCAAAGAUCAUCAGAGUGGAAUUGAUGUUGGGGAAACCAUCAUCAUCUUCUUCCCUGUCCUCACCUUUGUCUGACUCAUUUUCCUUCUCCUUGGGAUGUUUCUCUCGGAACUGCUGGAUCAGGAGCCUACACUGUCGAGUGGUGUGUUUAGGGUAAAUGAGAUUACCCUCUUCAUCUUUUUUGGUGUGAAUGUAGCAUGGUAAAUCCAACACAUCAUUUCCAUCUUGAUCUUUCACUUUCUUGGGGUUCCACGGCCCCUUGGGCUUCCCCUUGAACUUUCCUUGAGCCACAACUAAAGCCUCAAUAGGAGCAGCUGGUUCGGCCUUGCGCUUCUGCUUCCGAUUGGAAUUCCCUCCUCCGGUUCGCUGGGCGACUGUUUUAUGCUUGCCACUCCAGAGUCGGUCUUCCUCUUCACCAUUAGCAUACUUUGUGGCGAUCUCUAUCAUCCGGGUCAGAGACAUAUCUCAUGUCCGACCGAAUUUCAGAUUCAACUCUCGAUACUUAACACCCUCUUUGAAGGCACAAACUGCUUGGUGAUCUAACACAUUUUCCACUGUAUGGUGCAAUGUGAUCCAUCUCUCCAUGUAAUCUCUCAAGGUCUCAUUCGGUUUCUGCAUGCAGGACUUCAAUUCUGUUAACCCUGCCGACCAUUUGCAAGUACCCUCAAAGGUUCUAACAAACACUCGGGCGAGUUCUUCCCAACUGUAUAUGCUGCCAGGUGCUAACUGAUUCAACCACACUCUGGCCGAGCCUUCCAACAUCAGAGGAAGGUGCUUCAUGGCUACUUCAUCAUUGCCGCCACCGAUCUGUACAACCACUCGGUAGUCCUCAAGCCAAGUGUCGGGCUUGGACUCACCAGUGAACUUGCUGACUCCAGUCGCCAACCUGAAGUUGGGAGGAAUCACCACAGCCCUGAUGGCUCGGCUGAAGCACUCUGGUCCUGAAACAUGUACUCUGCUGCCAGUCGGGUGAUCUCUGUCAUGACCCUCUCUGUGUGCUCUGUUUCUAUCGACCAGACCUUGAACAAGAAUAUAUCUCGCAUCAAAGCCCGGCUCUCUGGGGUCGACUGGAAUUCUUUGCCCGCCACUGUGAGGGCGUCUGUCAUUGUGCUGCCAAGGCACAUAUGACCCACUCCUCGGGGGAGGUGUGGGCACUUGACGACGGUCAUCGUGGUCGAGUCGAUGAUCAUACUGCUCACGGUUUCUGUACUGAUCUCGCCGGUCCCCACAUCCCUCAUACUGCGGGGGCGAUCUUGGCCUGUGAGCCUACUGAACUGUGUCUGCCAUCACGAACCUGCUAUGAAUUCAAUUCCAUGACUGCGAUACAGCUGUGUUCUGCUCUCCUGCAAGCCGGAGUAAAGCCCAGAUCUGCAUCAAAUCUCUGCCAGCUUUCGACUGGGAAGGCUGAAUUGACUCUGAUAUACGGGCUGCAGCUGUGAGAUUUUGAAUCAGAGUUCGGUAUGCCUGAGUUGGAGGCGGAAAAAGCUGUCAUCGACUGGACUCAGGAAUCCGCUGCCGAGCACGCUCGUCGAGUGCAUGCUGGAGGUUCUCCAGCCGAGUGCGCUCAGCCAAGUUGGCCAAGCGCGCCUCCUCCAAGGCCCGGGCCUUGGGGGUUUCUCGAACGAUAGGAGUGUGAAGUGCAUCCAUAUUGCGGCGGCGAAGCUCUUCCCUCUGCUACGAAGAGAGGGGCUUGGGGCGGUACUCCUCGCGAAUGCGAGACGGAUCACCGCCGCCAUCGCCACUGUCGUUGCGGGGGGAGCCAGGAGGACUAUGUGGUCCGUUGACCAUCAAGACUUCCACCGUGGGGUCACUGCUGCCGCACCGGAUGCGGUCUCGACGGAGCUGGUCGAACAGGCUGUAGAGAGUUUCGUCGGGCUCGAUUGCCGCGACUUGUGGGGUGGCCGACUAGCGGGCCACUGCAUGCCUCGCCCACCGUUGGAGCCGCGAUCGACCGGAACGCUUGGACCGGCGAACAGCGGGGAGCAAGGACACCAUAGGAGCCAACUGAUAUUGAGUCGACGGCUGCCGAAGAAGGACGCACGCGCGAAAGUGCGUCGCCCCACGGACGGGGAGCGCCUCAACGUCAAGUGGAGCUUCUUGGAGCCAAGGGGAGUCGUCAGCGACGAAGACGAGUGUGCCGAGACGGAUCUCGUGGCCUUGGCCAAUCUGCCGCCAGAAACCAUGAUGAUGGGAAUCGGAAAAAUCGCAACUUCACCAAAAAGUCGCCAAGACACCUGCCCCACGGUGGGCGCCAACUGUCGUGGAUCUAAGACUGGCAGUAGAAUGGGGGGUAGGUAUGAGGAGGCAAGAUCCUAGCUAUGGCGAAGUUGUACACACGAGUUUUACGAGUUCAGGCCCUUCACGGAGGAAGUAAUAGCCCUACAUCUCGUAGCCCGGAGGCGGUCGACUGGAUUAUGCGUGUGUAAGUUACAGGGGUGUGAACCCUUGUCCCAGAGGAGGGGGUGGAUUAUAUAGAGUGCGCCAGGACCCCAGCUCCCCUCCGUUACACAGGGUUCAAUUUUCAUAAAGAGGAAGCAUUACAGGUAACAUCCGCAAUAAAGUGCUAUAAAUGAUCAUUAAGUCUAAGAGUAAACGCCCGGCCGUUGCCGUGCAUAGUGACUUUAGAUCUUCUGCAUGUCGAGUGGUUUCUGUUACGGUCGAGUCACAGUGAUUCUUCCGAGUGGAAUGCUUCUGGUCGAGUGGGUGAUGGUACCUUUCGAAUGCUUAUGGCUUUAAGGUGAUGUACUUCGGGAGGGCGUCUAGGCCAGGCCUAUGACCCUACCCAAGGUACAUAGCUUCAUCACUAGCUUCUCUUCACGCGCUUCCUUGCAAUGGACACGAACCAGAGACAGGGCCACAUCAACACCGCAUCGAGCAGAAGACUUCUUCCAUUCUUGCACUCGACUGGGGAUGUCAUUAAGUCGAGUCAUCAAAGGCUCGAGGUCAUUCGGAAGCGUCGCCCUUGGCCAGAGUGUUGUAUUGAUCCUUGACAACGCAACCUUCAGUCGAGCAAGGUAGUCGACAAUGCUAGCAACACGGGACUCCAAUCGGAGCACAUUCAUGGCAGCUUUGUCUUUAACAGGGGACAGGAUGGGGUCCAAGUUUGUCUCGAUUCGCCCAGUCUCUUCCUCGAAGUUUCGGCAAAAUUCUACUCAACACAAUACAUCAGUGGUUAUAUAUCGAAUCGACAGUAACAAGUCAAUCGGACAAAGGAAAAUACCUUCAAGCAUGACGAACAGCUUCUUGUCAAGCCCUCCCAGAUAGCUCUCCAGAUCGUCCCUCUUGCGAGCAAUGCCUUCCAUAUUUUCAGUCAGAUCCUUCUUGCCCUUCUUCAGACGAGUCACCUCCUUGUUGGCUUCAUCAAGGGCAGUUUUCAGUUUGGCGUUCUCUUCCUCCAGUUUGCCGACUGAAGCCAGCUUCUGUUUAGUGAGUGCAGUUUUCUCAUCAGUUGUUUUCUGUGCGGCUGCAAGGUCCUGAUCCUUCUUCGGCAGAGCCUAGUUCAGGGUCACUGAAAGAAAUAAUGCUCGGUUCAAAAAAAGCAAAUAACAUCCAGUUCAAAAACAAAUCCAUCGAUAAGGUUUUUCAUACCAGUGGCUUCAUCCUUGGCCUUCUGCAAGUUUGUCUUGGCCAGCUCCAGGUCGAGAUUGAGCUGAAUCUGCUUCUUCUCGAGGUCGACAAAACGAGCUCCAAAUUCACAAGAUUUCUAUAAUCAAAAGAUAGUCAAUCGACGGAUGGAAAGAUUGGUUACUUCAGAGCAAUAGUCUGAUAAAUUCAACAAGUUCUAAGACUACUGCCGAAUCAAACGUCCAACAGUAGUCUCGGGGACUACACCCAAUGGGUGCACUUAGCGUGCCCCACUGGUCCAGUUUCCACUCGACAUGGUCUGUCCAGGCUGAGUGUAAAAAAAAGUUGUUCUCAGACCAUAGUCGACGGCCCCAAGUCGACCACGGUCUCGGGGACUACAACCAGUGGGUGCACUUAGCGUGCCCCCACUGGUUCAGGUUCCACUCGACAUGGUCUGUCCAGGCCGAGUGAGAAAAUUCAAAUUCUCAGACAACAGUCGACUGCCCGCAGUCAACUAUGGUCUCGAGGACUACACCCAGUGGGUGCACUUAGUGUGCCCCCACUAGUUCAAAGACUCAAUCGACACAGCCUAGUCGACUCAAGAUACAAAUUUGCUCAGUGGCAAGUCAUAACACCCAGUGGGUGUACAAAUGCGAAACGCAGACGGAUGAAAAGAUUCUUCAAGGAAAGUUUUCAGGUAGCAUAUCCUAACAGAACAAGCGACAAGCUAAAGAGCCCGUCAGCGAUCAACCAACCUGGAUGUUGCACUGAAGAGCUGAGCUGGCGUCGUGAGCAGCUUGGCUGACUUCCCGGAUCACCUUCAUCUGCUCCAUCAUGAUGCCCGCCUGGCGUAUAGCUUCCUUAGCAGCGCCCACUUGGUCCUCUAGGACGUGAUGUGCAGUAAAGAGUGAAGAUGGAUCAGCUGGAGUAUGCGCAGUCGACACUGAAGGCUGAGCACUGGUCAAUGGUAAGGAGAAAGUCACAGAAGUACGAUUGGCAUUGCCACCCUCCUGGAUUGCCUUUUCCGUCGCCGACAUAGAUUGAGGCGUUUUACCAGCUGACGCCUUCCUGUUUCUUCUCACCUAAGGCCUCAGCAGCACAUCCUCGUCGUCAUCUAGAAGAUCAAUGACAUUGGGAGGAGCUGCAAAAAGAAUCAAUCACCAGAAAUUCAAUCGACCAAAAAGAAUCAAUGAAGACAGGAUUACGAGAGUCUUACCCGGGUUGGAGGUGACUGCAUCUUCCAUUUCCUCAUCUUCAUUCCUGUAAGCAGAAGUCUCGGAGGUAGCAACACUGCAAAUUUCAAGAUUCAGUCGGUCAUGCCUACCACAGCGAGUCGACCAAAACUCGAUUCGUACUAAACCAAGAAAUCAAGUCCAACUAUUACCCGGAAGCAAUGGGGAUGGCCACUUUGAUCUUGGGCAGGGCCUUCUGCGGUUUUGACGGUGCAGCUUUCGGUUGCUUCGGUGCCUUCUCAGUCGGCACGGGAGAAGAUGUCCGAGGGCGUUUUGACGACUGCCCGGUCUACGCAGUUGCUUUGCCGCGGAUGCUUGCCAGAUCGUGAGUGUGCAUGGAUCCCUUUCCCUAUGGGGAGGUGAGUUGACCUCUUCUUCAUCACUCAGGUCGUCCCACUCCUCGUCCUCUACUCCAUCAGAGUGCCACUCGCCGCUCUUGCCUCCGCUCGCCUCCCCCUCUGGAUCCUGGUCCUGCUCCCCGUUGGGCAUCGAGUACAUCUCAGUAAGGGCCUGAAAGACAACAAGCAAAACAAAAAUUAGUCGGUUGACAACAAGUAGUUACAUGAUAAAUCAAGAAAACAGUCGGCAAUUUAGAUUUGGACCUUGUCUGGUUCAUACGAGUUGUCGAGUGGAGGGAUCCUCCUAGACCCCUGGGCUUAUCCUUGUUGCCAGUGAUACCCCUUAGCCACUGCUCAACCGUAUCCUCGUCGACUUCCUCUGGGUGGAUCUGAGUGGUAUCAUCAAUGCCCGAAUACAUCCACAUCGGAUGGUCACAAGCUUGAAGCGGCUGAAUAAGUUGUCUGAGGAAGACCUCCAAUAGAUCCAUGCCGGUCACGCCAUCACGAACGAGCUAGACCACUCGCUCUACCAGCACCUUCACCUCCGCUUUCUCCUCCAGUGUCACUUUCAAGGCAGAGGGCUUCUCGACUCGAGCCAUGGAAAAGGGAGGAAGUCCAGUCAACUGACCUAGAGUCGGCUGGUCUUUGUAGUAGAACCAGGUCGCCUGCCACCCUCUGACUGACUCGGGAAGGAUCAUGGCUGGGAAAUUGCUUUUACCUCUCAUUUGAAUCCCAAGACCCCCACACAUUUGGAUCACAUGCGUCCUCUCAUCACUCGGAUUGGCCUUCUUGACCGACUGAGAAUGACACAUGAAAAUGUGCUUGAAGAGGCCCCGGUGUGGUCGACAACCCAGGAAAUUCUCGCACAUGGACACGAAGGCAGCAAGGUACACGAUGGUGUUGGGGGAAAAGUGAUGAAGCUGUGCUCCAAAGAAGUUCAAGAAACCUCGGAAUAAAGGAUGGGGAGGCAAAGAAAACCCGCGGUCGACGUGAGUAGCGUUGAGAAUGCACUCACCCUCUUGCGGCCGCGGCUCGGUCUCGUCCUCCGGGAGCCGCGCUGAUUCGUGGGGUUCAGUCCCCCCCUCGACCAGAUCGUUGAUGUCGUCCUGAUGGAUCGUUGACCGAAUCCAAUCGCCCUAGAUCCAGCCGCGCGGCAGGCCGGACCUCAACGAAGAUCUGCCCCGGCUGUACUUCCUCCCCAUCGCCUUCGUCGUUGCCUUCUUCGCGCGCUCCAAGGCCACCGUCUUCUCCUUCCCCAUUGCAGCGGGCGGAGCUCAAACAGAGCGGCGGCACUGAGAGCAGAGGUGGAUGUGGUGGAGAAAACGGAGGAGAAAGAGGAGGAAUGGGAACGCAAUAUGCAAAAAAACAGUUCGGCGCCUUAUAUGAGGUCGUUUCCGAGUGGCUGACCUGUGGGCCCAGGCGAUCCUAUCAAAUCCCACAACAGUCGCGCGCGCGAUACGUGGCGAAAAAGGUGGCGUAGAGAUCGAGGCGGCCCUGCCUAAUCCAUCCCGAUUACUGUGGCCUCCUCUGCCCCGCGCGCUUCCCAAAAUUUCAAUCCCGCGAGAUCCGCGAGCAGCAGAGCAGCCUGUCAGACUGAAGAUUUUUUCCAUAUCAACACUUGAAGCCUAGCAAUAAAAGUUCACUCAACAAAACCAAAAAUGGAUCAAGGCGACUGAAAAAGAAGUUAAAGUCAUCACGUUGAUUAGUGAUCCCAGCGAGACGCCUUCAAGGCACAAAAUUUGAGUCGAAAGUAUUUUCAACUCCUUCUCCACUCGAACCUUGAACUAUUCGGGGGCUAAUGAUGGAGCUAUAUACCUAGGGUAGGGUCAUAGGCCUGACCUAGACAUCCUCCCCUAGGACAUCGCCCUAAAGCCAGAAGCAUUCAAAGGAUAGAAUCAUCCACUCGACCAUAGGCCUGACCUAUUCCACUUGGAAGAUUCAUUGUCAAUCGACCGUAACAGAAGCCACUCUGCACAGCAAUGAUCAGGCGUUUAUUCCACAGACUUAAUGAUCAUUUAUGUCACUUUAUUACUAGCGUUACCAGUAACACCAUCUCUUUAUGUACCUUAAAUCCCUUGUAAUGUGGGCUGGUUGGGGUCUGGGCGCACUCUAUAUAAGCCAUCCCCCUCCACUGGCACAAGGGUUCGCACCCCCUGUAACACACACACGCAUAAUCCAGUUGACCGCCUCUGGGCACCGAGACGUAGGCUAUUACUUCCUCCACGAAGGGCCUGAACUCGUGAAACUUGUGUGUACAACUUCUCCAUAGCUAAGAUCUUGCCUCUUCAUACCUACACCCCAUUCUACUGUCAGUCUUAGUACCACGACAGGGCAGUUUGAGGCCCGGCCAAAAUGUUGCCGGCUGGCGUAAAGUACAACAUCGAUGCCAUCAAAUCUAAUGGCGAACCUGAUGAACCUAAGAAGAAUGCAAAUACGUUCAUUCAUCAAUGCGGAGUUAUUGUCAGGGACCAAAUCCCGAUCUCCGUUCAAGAAUGGAAAAAGGCAACAAAGGGAGAUCCAGAUGUUACUUUUGUCCACCAAAGAGCAAAAGAUCUGCUUUGGGAACCGCUCAUGUCACAUUUCACCCAACCAGAUCAUUUGACAAGUCAAGAAUAGUGCUCUUAAGAAGAUGGCGAUAGCAUUCAACAACCACAAGAAAAAUAUAUGGGCCACGUACAUCAUGGGAAAGCAGGCUCCAGAAUUCAAGGGAACACUGGAGAAGGCAAGAGAUCACUAGGACGCUUUCAUGAACUUCAAGGAAUCGAAAGUAGCUCAGGAACGGUCAAGAAAAAACAAGAUUAAUGCCGCGAAAAAGUAGUGGCACCAUAAGCUGGGGCCAGGUGGCUAUGAGGUGGCCCGGCCUAAGUGGGAUCUCGCUGAGCAAGAGAUGAUGGAUGCAGGGGUCACUCUAGUUACAUUGAGCUGCCCCCCACCCAAGUGCAGGACUUGGUUCUAUGCACAUGGGGGGAGUUGGACCCAAAGACAGGCGAGGUUUUGGAGCAGGCAUGUCUUAAAGGAGCCGAUGAAAGUUUACUUGUUGCAAUAGAAGAGGCUCAAACGGGGGUGUUCAUGCCCAACAGAGAGGACGACGAGCUUAGCGCGCCCUGAAGAAUCCUGAACACCCGAUGUCGGUGUCAAAACCGGCGGAUCUCGGGUAGGGGGUCCCGAACUGUGCGUCUAGGCGGAUGGUAACAGGAGACAAGGGACACGAUGUUUUUACCCAGGUUCGGGCCCUCUAGAUGGAGGUAAAACCCUACUCCUGCUUGAUUGAUAUUGAUGAUAUGGGUAGUACAAGAGUAGAUCUACCACGAGAUCAAGGAGGCUAAACCCUAGAAGCUAGCCUAUGGUAUGAUUGUUCUUUGUCCUAUGGACUAAAACCCUCCGAUUUAUAUAGACACCGGAGAGGGCUAGGGUUACACAGAGUCGGUUACAAUGGUAGGAGAUCUACAUAUCCAUAUCGCCAAGCUUGCCUUCCACGCCAAGGAAAGUCCCAUCCAGACACGGGACGAAGUCUUCAAUCUUGUAUCUUCAUAGUCUUGGAGUCCGGCCAAUGAUGAUAGUUCGGCUAUCCGGACACCCCCUAGUCCAGGACUCCCUCAGUAGCCCCUGAAUCAGGCUUCAAUGACGACGAGUCCGGCGCGCAUAUUGUCUUUGGCAUUGCAAGGCGGGUUCCUCCUCCGAAUAAUUCAUAGAAGAUUUUGAACACCAGGAUAGUGUCCGGCUCAGCAAAAUAAAUUCCACAUACCACUUUAGAGAGAAUAAUAUUUACACAAGUUCAAUCUGCUGACGUAUUUUGUGGCAUGACGUCACGCCACGGCCAAGCCUUUAUUUGAAUUAUUUUUUUUGCUCCACCUCAGCGCGUUUAGCGAAGCGGUUUCCUUGGCACGUCUUGUCAAAGCAGAGAUCGUGUCCCCUUAUUCCGGGAUUCUCAUCAAUACGAACGUGGGUAACCCAACCGCGCCCGUUGGCACGCCCCCUCCAUCGAAGGCGAGCCCCAAACGGUCACGGGAGGGCUCUUGGUAUUCUACCCCUUUAUAAUGAGACCAAGGCAUGUUCCUUUUCUUCAAUUUCAAUCGAAUCCGCCCCUCGCCUCGAGUUCCAACACCCAAGGUUCCAGAUUCGGGUGCUUCAGACCUUUGACAAUGUCCGGCUCCGACCUACAGGGCCGGCGGAUGCCCACCUCCGUCACGGAAGGAGACGUGCUAAAGCUGAGAGACGCCAGGUAUCUAACCGAUGAGAUUUCGCAUAGGCUGCCUGCCCAAGGGCAAGUCAUUCCCACUCCUGAGCGUGGUGAGAGCAUGGUGUUCGUGUCUCAGUUCCGUCGGGGUUUAGGCUUCCCGAUGGACCCCUUCGUGAGGGGGCUCAUGUUUUAUUAUGGGCUGGAAUUCCAUGACUUGGCUCCGGAGUCCAUCCUCCACAUCUCAUCGUUCAUUGUUGUCUACGAAGCCUUCCACCGCACUACCCCUCACUUCGAAUUGUGGCUCAAGACCUUCAACGUGGAGCCGAAGAUGAUCAAGGGGCGACAGGCAGAGUGCAGAGGGGCAGUUAUAAGCAAGAGGGCCGAUGCUCCAUGGCCCGAGGGCUUUUUUCAAGAGGAGCUCGGUUUGUGGCAACAGGAGUGGUUCUACAUCACCACUCCCAGGGGCACCAGACAGGUGGCGCCACCUGCCUUUCGCUCGGGCCCUCCACAACGGCUGGCGUCAUGGGUCAACAAAGGGCUUGACUGGGGGCUGUCCAAGGACGUACCAAUAUUGCAGGGCCGGAUUCGAGACCUCCAAGAGAGGGAGAUCAAUCUGGUCGUAGUGGCGCAGGUUAUGCUGAUUCGGCGCCUUCUGCCCUGCAAACGUCGCCCUCUCCGCCUGUGGGAAUUCAAUCCGGAGGGACCGCGAGCUCUCCACCACUUCAUGGGUGCGACGCCCGUGGAGAUGUAUAAACUGUUCUUCGGAUCACAAGAGAUGUGUCCGGACUUGACCGAGGACGCAGGUCUGAGCUGCAAUCGCCCGAAUACUCAAGUAAGUAGUUCCUGUACCCGGACGUGCUAUCCGUACAUUCAUCAUAAUACUUGCCCUUUAAAGAGUUGUCCCUUGAACAGGAAUGGAUAGCAAAAGCAAAGCUAAUAAGGUGUCCGGCCCCCCUCCCUGAGACUACGCCGGAUCCUGUGUCAACCAAGAUGCUGGAGGCUGUGCCUUUGGAAGAGGGAGAAGGUGGGAACAGGAAAGCUACCGCCUCCGCUAAGGAGGCCUUUAAGGAAGGGGGGAUCGAGAGUCCCUCCCUCCAAGGGGAGAAGAGGACCGCUUCUGAAGAUCCGGAGGUCAAGGCCUCAAAGCGGGGGAAGAGAUCUUCGCCAGAGGGUCCUACACCAGGAGAAGCCCCGGCCGCACUAUUUCCCCAAGGGAAUCAGCCCUCCAGCGAGCCGUAAGUAGAAAGGGGAGUUUUGUAAUAAGAGACAUCCCUGUUUUUAUUUCUGAGGAUGACCGAAGCUUUUACCUUGUAGUUCGGAUCUCAGCCCUUCUCAGCAGAGCUCAUCUUCGGGGGAUCUUCGUCCGGAGAUGAUGGAGAGCGAAACGCCUCCAUCUGCCGCGCCAUCAGGCGGGGCGGACGACCCUGAGGUGUCGUCGCGGAGGGUUUCCCCGAGUCCGGUGGGGCCGGGAGGUCCGGCACUCUCACGCUCAAUAUGCGACCCUAUCCAAAAGGAACUCGAAGGUCCCACCAAGGAUAGACCCGCAUAUUGAAACGCUUUUGCAAGGUGGAUAUCAUUACAUCAACAUUACAUAAUAGAUGGGGAUACAUACAAAAGGCAUACAAUGCCACACGAAUACAACAAUACAACAUACAAGAACAACGUCCGACUACGGAUGAAUCAUAAACAGAAAUUCAAACAAUAUCCACCCUGCUAGCCCAGGCUGCCGACCUGGAACCUAUCCCCUGAUCAAAGAAGAAGCGGAAGAAGAACUCCAAAACAAGCAAACAUCGCUCUCGCGUCAUGAUCAUCGCAUAACCUGUACCUGCAACUGUUGUUGUAGUAAUGUAGGAUCGAAAGUAUGUCUAGAGGGGGGGGUGAUUAGACUACUUGACAAUAUAAAAAUUCUGCCUUUUGACAAAGAACAGUUUUUUGGCAGAUUCACGAUUAUGAUCAAGUCAAGCAUCACCCUACACAUGCAAUUCUAGAGUAUAGGCAGCGGAAAGUAAAUUGCACAUGUAGUAAAGAGAGGUGGAGAAGAGCAAACGCAAUUUUGGAGACGCGGUGAUUUUUCUCGUGGUUCCGAUAGGUGGUGCUAUCGUACUUCCAUGUUGAUGGAGACUUCAACCCACGGAGGGUAACGGCUGCGAGAGUCCACGGAGGGCUCCACCCACGAAGGGUCCACGAAGAAGCAACCUUGUCUAUUCCAUCAUGGCCUACACCCACGGAGGACUAGCCUUACUCGGGGUAGAUCUUCACGAAGUAGGCGAUCUCCUUGCCCUUACAAACUUCUUGGUUCAACUCCACAUCUCGACGGAGGCUCCCAAGCGACACCUAACCAAUCUAGGAGGCACCACCCUCCAAAAGGUAAUAGAUGGUGUUGAUGAUGAUGAACUCCUUGCUCUUGUGCUUCAAAUGAUAAUCUCCCCAACACUCAACUCUCCUCACUGAUUUGGCUGUGGUGGAAGAAAGGAUUGAGUGGAAAGCAACUUGGGAAGGCUAGAGAUCAAGCUUCAUAUGGUGGGAGUGGAGCAACUUGAUCUCAACACAAGGGUAGGUAGUUCUCUUCUCAGAAAUGUAAGGUAGGAGUGGUAGUUCUUUUUGAUGGCUCUCUCCAUGAAUGAAGAGGGGGUGGAGGGGUAUUUAUAGCCUCCACACAAAAUCCAACCGUUACACACAUUUGAGCAAUCUCGGUGGGACCGAAGUUGACAACUCGGUGAGACCGAAAGUUCAAAUAAUGUGAACGUUGGGAUUUUCGGUGGGACCGAAAAUACAAUCUCGGUUAGUCCGAUUCGUGCAAAGACAAGAGCUUGCCAAUUUCGGUGGGACCGACUUCAUCAUCUCGGUGACACCGAUUUGAUGACAGAAGGUUACAGAAGCUUGGCAACUCAAGUUUCGGUGAGACCGAGUUCUGAAUCGGAAAAUCCGAGUUUGCUAGGGUUUGGCUUUAUGGCUGAGGUGGUUCAUCUCGGUGUGACUGAGUUUGGAAAAUCGGUGGGACCGAGACUACUUAUGAGUGUAUAUGGCAGUGAAAGUUGCUGAUAGUUUAGGAGAUGUAUCACUAAGCACUUGAGCAACCAGAUCAUCAUCAUAACCUCAUCCCCUUUUAAUAGUAUUGGCUUUUCCUAUGGACUCAAUGUGAUCUUGGAUCACUAAACCAAAAAUGGAGUCUUGAGCUUUUGCCAAUGCUUGCCUUAGCAUUUGAGGGGUCCACUUCUUCAGUCCUUGCCAUACCCAUAUCACUGAACUUUCUGAAAUGAUUCUCAAGUAGCUAUUAGUUCAAUGAUAUAUAUGUUGUUAUUAAUUACCAAAACCACCCGGGGAUUAGUUGCACUUUCAAUCUCCCCCUUUUUGGUAACUGAUGACAACAUAUAGAUCAAAGCUUCGACAAAGGAUAUAAUCAAUGAAUAAUAUCGUCGCUUUGAGAAGUAUGUGAUAAGCAAGAGCUCCCCCUAAAUUUGUGCAUUAUUUAAGAUUUGCGUUUGAAUGCAAAUGCACAAUCGAUUAGGAUCAUGGGUCACUCUUCCAUGUCACAUACAUCUUGGUGGAGCGCACAAAAUGAUAAGAAUGAACAGCAUGCACCCAAUCACCAAGACAUGAGUAAAUGGUCAUACAAGAUAGGAAUAGCAUAUGAUAAGCAUUAAGCACACAUUAAAGCAUAGUACGACCAAGCACUCAUUAAGGUAGAAUCAAACAAAGUAUCAAACACACUGAAUGUCUCGAAAACCAAAAGAAACCGCAAAAGAACGAAAGAGCAAAAGCGCAAAGACAAUAGCACUCUCUCUCUCGAAGUCCUAUGAUCUAUACAAUUUCUCCCCCUUUGGCAACAAGUUACCAAAAAGUUCGAAAAAGCAUAGAGCUAAGCGUCACUGGGGACUCUGCUGGCGGCUCCUGUCUGGGUUGAUGUCGGAGUGGAUAUGACAGCAUCGGCGAAGACUUCAGCUGAUGUCUGUGCUGGAGGAGUGGUCUCUGGAGCUGGAGUUGGAGUAACUGCUGGAACUGUGGGAGGUGCUGAAGCUGUAGUCCUGGUGUCUGUCACCGGAAUAGCAGCUGAUCGGGGUCCUGUGGGAACCGGAGCAGUCUGUUGCUGAAAAUCCUGGACUAAGUCAUCCUGCAUCUCACGCAUAAGCUCUUCCUUCUCCCGCUUUGCUUCCUCAAUGUCUGCCUCAAGCUUGUUGACAGUCACUUGCACUUCAGUCAGCUUCACAUCCAAAGCGUGGAUCUUGUCCUCAACAAUCCUCUCUAAGCUCUCCUGAGACUGUACAAUGCUGGCCAGGCAUUGUUCAAUCCUUUGGGUAGCUUCAAGAAUUUGCUCUCCGAAGCUCUUUGGUUUAGCUGCUGCUGCUGCUGCUUCCUUGUCAGCUUUGGCUUUCUUAGCAGCUUCGAUCUUGGCUUGACCUUCAACAGAUGUUGGAUCCUCCUCAUCCAUCACAACAACAUUCUCUUCAUGCUCUGGCUGCAGCGGUAAAUGUUCUCUAUCCAACAAGAAUGUGCCCGUGCCAAACUUGGCAUUGAUAAGCAUCUAAAUCUGCGGGGCAAAUCCACAUGACCUUUUCUGGUCAGCUGCAGUCCUCUUAAUGGUCUCUACCAUCAAGUCCAUCACCUUGAAAGGUGCUUUCUCAUCAAGUAUGUGCAGCAUGUUGAUAGAGUAUCCUCUGAUCAUGCGAUGAUCUCCAGACUUGGGCAUCAAGGUAUGCCUCAAAAUAGUAUUAGUGGUAGGUAAGCCUGCCUGGAGAUAGUAGACUGAGCCGAGCUUCCAGAUUCCCAAAUCCUUUGCUGGAAUCUCUUUGUACAUGUUCUUCAUAGAUUCAUGAUUCUUCUUUGGAAUCCCAUAUACAUCAAUAUCAUCUUCUCGUUGCACUGGAGCAUUCAGAAGUUCUGCCCAUUCUUCAACAGAAGAAGAAAAUCUUUGACCUUCAGUCAUCCACACAAUCUUUCCAUCAGGGUAGAAAUGAGCUGUGGCAUAGAAUUGCAUUAUCAUCUCAUCGUUCCAUCUGGUCAAUUUCUGACCUACAAAGUCUGCAACUCCACAUGCAGUGAAACUUUCAUGCACAUGUGGAAAGAAAUCUCUGUGCUCUUCGCUGUCAAUGUACUUCCAGUCAACAUAUCUUGUGUCUGCGACUAUGGGCUUCUUGUCCAUCAGCACGGUCUCAUAGAAGUCCUGCUACUCUCUGGUGUGAAAUCUGGGAUCUACAGCAGUUCUUCUCCUCACGGCAUAUGGGUCAGUUUGUCUCCAUAGCCUGAGACCUUUAUCUUUCCUUGCCUUCAUAUCCUCAGCUUGAGGAUGAGCAUCAUUAUGUAGUGGCAGUUUUGGACGAAGUUUCUGCAAAACUGGUGCUUCAUCGUCUGACACAGCUGGUGGCACAUCAUCCUUGUUCUUUUCAGACACUGGAAUGUUUCUGAUGGUCUUCUUGGGCUUGGCAGCAGGCUUUGCUGGAGGUGCCUUAGCUGGAGCAGAUUUCUUGGGCUUUGAUGUGGCUCCAGCCUUAAUGGCAUCACCCAUGAGCUUCUGCUUCUAAGGAGUAGGCUGGGGUGCUUCCUCAUCCUCAUCCUCUACUGCUGCAUCUACAUGAGGAUCAAUAUACAUAUCUGCUCUAGCUCCUGACACAUACACUAUCCUCUUUCUCUUGGAAGUUUUCUUCACUUUGCUUGCAGUUGCCUCUCCCAAAUUCAGCUUCUUAGCAACAGUUGACUGCUUGACUUUGCUGGUGCCCUUCUUAGUUUGUUGACCUUGUUGCUCUUUGGCAACAACCUUCCUUUUGGGCUUUGAGGUCACCUCUUCCUCAAAAACAAAAUCUGAAUCUUCAUCAUCUGAAUUUCUCUUCUUUCUAGCUCUGGUGGCUGCAGGAGGCAAACCACUUGGUGUACUCCUCUCACCAUCAUCAGAUGAGCUGCUAGGAUCAGGACUAGUGCCUGCCUCUGGAAUAUCUGUAAUGGGCAUCUCUGACCUGUUCUGACUGUCACUGGCAUCUGACAUGGCUGACAACCUGUGAAUAGAUAAGGUGUAGGCAGAGAAGAAGAGUCAUCACAAAAGCAGAAGUUUUUGCAAAAAAAAUGAGUUCAAAUUCUAGUAUUAGGUUUUCACAGAAGACAUUUCGGUCAGACCGAGUUUAAGAUUCGGUGAAUCCGAAGUGUUAAACAGGAGCUUGGCACACCACUUUCGGUUUGACCGAAGUGGGUUUCGGUCCUGCCGAAAACACUAGGGUUUCACAGAAUCCUCAUUUCGGUCACACCGAUUUGCACAACUCGGUUGGACCGAAGGGUGCAGUGCAAUGGCCAUAGGCCAAAUCGGUCAUACCGAAAAUGUAAAAUCGGUCUCACCGAGAUGUGUUCGGCAGAAACCUAAUCCUAAAACUUUUACUCGAAUUUAGUCCAAACGAACUAAUCUGGUGUACAGGAGGAUUUCAAUCGUGGCAAGAUACUAGGCAAUCCAAAUGUGCAUUGAAUCGGAGAUGGGAGCACGAGUGGGAUCAAAACUCACCCUAACUUGGUGGAGUUUUUCUACGGCGGCAACGGCUCGGAGGAGAUGUUCGUUGACGGCGACGGAGACCUGCGACGAGGGCGCACAGGCGACGACGGCGACGAUCCGGAGACCAAGGCGACGGCAGCAAGGGGUGUGGGGGCGAAACGUUUGAAGGAGAAAUCAACGCGCGCGGCCCUCGGAGUAUAUAUACCCCUUUGCUGUCGGUGGGACCGAGUUGUAAAACUCGGUGGCACCGAGAUGGAUAACUGCUAGGCAGUUAUGCACUUCGGUCACGCCGAAAAUCACAACUCGGUUUCACCGAGGUAAAAACCUAGAUCAGUCUAAAUGCUUUCGGUUCGACCGAGUUUGAGUGAGUUGGUCUGACCGAAAUCAAUUAGAAGGUUUUGGAAGUUAGCCCUUGAUGGAUCGGUGGCUCCGAGUGCUCCUCACCCGGAGGGUCCGAAAAUGACUUGUUCAAAAUUUGUGAUGUAAGCAUGAAUAGAAUUUGAGACAAGAAAGCAUAGAUAGCUAGGGGAGGUACUUAGGCAUUCUUGUUCAUCCAUUUGGUCAGAAAACUCAAAAAGACCAAAACAACAAAUGGAUGUCCUCGAAUGGAUAAAAUCAUGCAUCCAACAUGCUCAGACAAUAAGAUAGCAAAUGAAAUAUGUGUCAAACAUGCACAACUAAAACUCUAGCAACUAACACACAAUUUGUCGAUGACUAGGUCAUCUUUAUAUGAGUAUAUUGACUUAGGAGCCAAAUGAGAACAUUUGAUCAUAGGUCAUACUCAUCGUUUAAGCACAAGUGGGGUUACCACUUUUCCAUAAAGCAUUGAUGUGUUCACAUCAUUUGAAGAUGCUUUAGCUCAAUUUUUAGAGCAAAGCUCCCCUAGAUGUGAGAACCCCUUUUAAAGGGUCAAACUAACCUUGGGUUGUCGUAGAAGACUUCAUGUAGAUGUUGAAGAUGUGGAUGCUCAAUGUUGAUGGAGAUCAUCAAGAGUUGGGAGCUAUCCUUUGGAUUCGGGCACUUUCAAUACCUACAUGGGUUAGUCCCACAAGGAACAAACAAGGAUAUCCAUGGACAUAGAUUGAAGUUCACAAUAGAUGAUGUCCAUGAAAGCAAUGAUUACCUUGUCCCUUGACUUACCAACAAGAGGGUUUGUGACUCCAUGAACUAGUGCACGAUGUGGAAGUUGAUUGCACAAGUUUUUGCCAAAAUGAAUGUGAGUGAAGUAUGUUGGCGGAGUCACCCUCAAGAACUUUCUAGUUCUUCUUCUUCGGGAUCCACAUCAUCUUGAUGGGAAUCCUUGGGGUUGUAGUUGAGCUUGACGAAGUAGAACUUGACGUUUCCUUGGGAACCCACUUGACCAUGGCUUGAGGUGCUUCAACAAAUGCAUCAAUCUCCUCUUGAAGCUUGUCCUUGCCUUUUAGCUUGUGGUCUUGUGGUGGAAGGUCAUCUUGAGCUUGUUCCGCAUUGGAAGAAGUAGAAUCAUACUUCUCCUUUUGAGGAACAAACUGUGGAGUAGGAUAUUGACCUUCUUCCCAUUCAACACCUUCGGCGUUGAACUUUCGCUCAAAACCAAUUCCUUGAUUCUUCCGGUGCCUUCCUUGCUUGCGAACAAUUUCCUCAAAGUUCUUGCUUCCGGCAAGGCUCUUGUAGACACCUUUCUCUAUAAUCCCUUUCAAUAAACUAUUUUCUUGCUCAAGUGUAACUUGGCUUGAAACAUUGUUAGUGGAAUCAAGAGAACUACUAGAAGCAACAAUAUUGGAUUUAGCAUGGUUAUUGUUACUACUAGAGAAAGAAUUUUUCUUAUGCUUGUCAUGCUUAGUUUUAAUGGGUGGCAAGAAAUUAGACAAGAGAAGUCGUUUGGCAAGAUAUGAAGAACUCUUCUUUCGAAGAUCGUCAUUGAUUGCUUUUAGAAACUCAUGUUCUUGCUCUAGAGUGAGCUUCUCGAAGCGUAGCUUCUCAUGAGAUCUUAGGAGCUCUCUAUGAUCUUCUUGAGUUGUUUCAUGAGCUAACUUAAGAGUGUUUAGUUCUUUAGUUAGACGCUCAAUCUCCUUCAUAGCAUUGUCAUUCGACUCUUCUCGACUAUAAAGACUACUAGCAUGUUCAUCAUUACUAGGCUCACUGGAUUUAUCAAGCAAGAGCUCAUCUUCACCAAGCAAGUCAUCCUCAUCACUAUUGAAGUCAAUGAAUUCAGGGUGUGAUACCUUGGGGCCUUUAGCCAUGAAGCAUCUUCCAAUUCCCUCAUUUGGUGAAUAAAAUAAGUCGUAGGAGUUGGAGUUGGAGGAUACGAGAGCAAGACCGGCAACACCUUCAUCUUGACUGUAGUCGGAAUUGGAGUGAUAGCUUCCUUCGGAUUGAUUGUCGGAGUCGGAGCCGGAGACCCAUUCACCUACAUGAGCUUGAUGUUUUCUUCUUGUGUAACUCCUUGAUGACUUGUCUUUCCUCUCCGAAUCCUUGCUUCUCCGAGAGGGUCUUCGUUCAUAACGAUCAUCUCUGCUCCUUCUCUCUUUCCGAGGUGACUCAUCUCUUGAGCUUCUUCUUCUUGGAGAUUCUUCUCUUCUCUUGUGGGGAGCCGUACACUCAUUUGAGUAGUGUCCGGGUCUUCCACAAUUGUAGCAGUUUCGAUCACGACUAGAAGAUCUCUUUUCAUCAUAUGAUCUAGACUUUGAGCUUCUCUCUUUGCCUCUAUUCUUGUAGAAUUUGUUGAAGUUUUUGACCAUUAGGCUUAUCUCUUCAUUGGAAACUAACUUGUCACUUGAGGUUGUGGGAGCAUCACUUGUAGCUUUGUAAGCACCACUUGACUUGUUGUGAAGCUCUUCAUUAUCCUUAAGUGUCAUCUCAUGAGCAACAAUUCUUCCAAUGACUUCGGUUGGCUUGAGAUUCUUGUAGUUUGGCAUCAUUUGGAUCAAAGUGCACACGGUGUCAUACUUUCCAUCCAAAGCUCUGAGAAUCUUCUUGAUGAUGAAUCGGUCGGUCAUUUCUUCGCUUCCUAAGCCGGCAAUCUCAUUUGUGAUGAGAGCAAGCCUAGAGUACAUUUCAGCGACUCCUUCACCAUCCUUCAUCUUGAACUUGUCAAGUUGACCUUGAAGAAUAUCUAGCUUUGAUUCCUUCACGGACUCGGUACCUUCGUGCAUUUCAACCAAAGUAUCCCAAAUCUCUUUUGCAUUCUCAAGACGGCUGAUUUUGUUGAACUCCUCGGGACACAAGGCAUUGAAGAGAAUGUCACAAGCUUGAGCAUUGUUUUGCAACAUCCGCAAUUCUUCCGUUGUAGCUUCGCGAUCCGGAACUUUUCCUUCCUCGAAGAAUUCACCUUGCAUACCAACACAAAUAAUGCCCCAUGCGGCUGGGUUAUGGCCAAGAAUAUGCAUUUUCAUUUUAUGCUUCCAACUAGCAAAAUUUGUACCAUCAAAGUAAGGACCUCUACGAAAAUUACCCUCACUAGACGCCAUACUCUCCUAGGUUGUGAAACCAAGCUUAUGGAGUCCAAUGCAAUGGAAACCAAUACAAUGGAGACCAAAGCUCUGAUACCACUUGUAGGAUCGAAAGUAUGUCUAGAGGGGGGGUGAUUAGACUACUUGACAAUAUAAAAAUUCUGCCUUUUGACAAAGAACAGUUUUUUGGCAGAUUCACGAUUAUGAUCAAGUCAAGCAUCACCCUACACAUGCAAUUCUAGAGUAUAGGCAGCGGAAAGUAAAUUGCACAUGUAGUAAAGAGAGGUGGAGAAGAGCAAACGCAAUUUUGGAGACGCGGUGAUUUUUCUCGUGGUUCCAAUAGGUGGUGCUAUCGUACUUCCACGUUGAUGGAGACUUCAACCCACGGAGGGUAACGGCUGCGAGAGUCCACGGAGGGCUCCACCCACGAAGGGUCCACGAAGAAGCAACCUUGUCUAUUCCAUCAUGGCCUACGCCCACGGAGGACUAGCCUUACUCGGGGUAGAUCUUCACGAAGUAGGCGAUCUCCUUGCCCUUACAAACUUCUUGGUUCAACUCCACAUCUCGACGGAGGCUCCCAAGCGACACCUAACCAAUCUAGGAGGCACCACCCUCCAAAAGGUAAUAGAUGGUGUUGAUGAUGAUGAACUCCUUGCUCUUGUGCUUCAAAUGAUAAUCUCCCCAACACUCAACUCUC
rnacentral:lncRNA from 1 species